rnacentral:lncRNA from 1 species
UAUAAAUCUAUGUGUAAAACUCAAUUUCAAACUUAAAUGACCAGUAGGAUAUUAGAAGUCAUAGUAUUCUUAUGUUUUUACAUUGUUGCCAUUAGACUUCAUAUUUUAUUUAUAAUUUUAUUCCAAGCAUUUCAUUAAUUGCCAUAAUUGUAAUUAAAACUCCGUAUUAAUAGCAUAUCAAUCACCCUAUUUCUAUUGGUUACAUUCCCUCUAACAUAUCACCCCCAAAAUUUGCAAACUAAAAAAUAAAUAUGUAAAUUACAUAUCCAAUAAUGUACAUAUGAAAAAUAUAAAUAUAAAUAAAUACAUAUAAAAAUAUGGGUAUAUUAUUUACCCAAAAAAAAAAAAAAAAAAACUAGGCCAGUUACUUUGUAAUUGAAAUUUUCAUACAUUUUUCAUAAAUUAAAAAUAGGUACACAAUCAUUUAUAGAAAAUAGGUACGUUGAAUAAUUGAAAUUUAUGCACAUUUUUUAUAAGAAUAAUGCUACUCUUACCACAUUUGUAUACCACAUCCUUAUACCAUCUUAUGUGACAGCUGAGGCGAACAGCCACGUCAAUUAAAAUUAUUUAAUAUAUUUUUUCUUUUAUGAUUUAUUCCGGUAUUUGUUUUUCUAAUUGUCUUAAUUAAAAUACACUUAAUUGAUUUAAUUGAUGUGGCAUAAAUUAAAAAUAGGUACAUUAUUUAGAAAAAAAAUAAGUUCAUUAUACUAAGUAAUUUUUUUUACUAGGUAUACAUUAUUAGAGGGGAAAAAAAAGGUACAUUAUUUAGAGAAAAAAAAUAGGCUCAUCUAAAUAAAAAAAAUCAUAAAACAAAAAAUAAAUAGAAUAUCAAAUUAUUUUUCAUAAAACAAGUAAUAGGUAUAUUAUUUAGAGAAAAAAAAAUAGAUACAAAAUUUAGCAAACAAAUAAGUUCAUUAUACUAGGUAAAUUGUUUUAGUAGGUACAUUAUUUUUUGGAGGACCUUUCCUAUUGAAAUGGGCGAUAAUAUAUUAAACUCACACACACAACAUGGAUACUAGGACUCGAACCCAGGACCUUGCCCGAGGGAGUAAAUACUCUAAACCACUACACUAGUGGGUCCUUUGCAGAGAAAAAAUAGGUUCAUUUUUUUAAAACAAUUUCAUAAAACAAACAAUAAAAAGAUGAUCAAAUUAUUUUUCAUAAAACAAGUAAUAGGUGCUUUAUUUAGAGAAAAAAAUAAGUACAUUAUUUAGAGAAAACAUAGGUUCAUAUAAAAAAAUGUAUUUCAAAAAAUAAAAAAUAAAAAGAUUAUCAAAUUAUUUUUCAACAUAAUUAGAAUGUACACUAUUAUUCAUUAAACUAUAAUAAAAUAGAUAUAAUUCAUAAAAGGAAAACAACAUAAUUUUUUAUUAAAUAAACCAAAACGUUAAUCACCUAUAGAUUACUAAUACGUUAACGUUGAAUUUAAUAUUUAAUUUCAAAUAAGUUUCUAAAUUAAUUCCUACAUCCACUACAGCCAUUUGGAGAUCUUUCCAAAUUCAACGUGUGUCAUUAGUUACCCAUCCAUAACACAUUAACUUAUAAAUAGGGGUAGUUUUGGAAUCCUAAAACUAUAAUAAAUCAUAUUUUAAGUUAUAUUAGGUAACUUACUUAGUUGGAUCCUAGUCAUUGGGUAUUAUUUGAAAAAAUUGGGUAUUUUAAAUAGAAAAAUAAGGGGAAGGGUUGUAGGUGAUUUAAAAUGAAUUUUAUGGGUCUAAGCUCAAUAUACUAUUGUAGGGCAUGUAUUAUUUAUAAAUUAGGCACAAAGAUCAUCAGCCACAAGAGUAAAUACAAAUGUCCACAAAAGAGUAAUACAAAUAUGAAAGUAUAGUAACCACAUAUGGUUAAUCCAAAUAUAGGUCACAAAAGGCCAGAGAAAUUUCAGCAUAAAAGUCGCAUGCCUGAACAAACCAGACGUAAAUCGCAGUGCCCAAAUCUACCAAUACAACUACAACUCUUAACUCUCACAAGUACAAAAUACAAGUAAAUACUAGAAAAUAAUUAAACACCCAACUCACAAGGAGUUGAUGCAAUUAUUAUAAAAGAAAACUGCAAACAAACAACCAAAAACCAACUGAACCACUACCACCGUUGUUGCCAUCACCACCCCCACCACAACUGUCGUUGAUGCCUUGAAGACAGAGAACACCACUAAGAUUUCAGCCCGUCACACCCUACAACAGAACACCAACUAACAAUUGAAUUCUUGUGUAUUGAUCUAUGCAGAGAUUACAACAUUUAUAUUUGUACAAUGGAAAAUGGAAAUAGCCUUAAAUGAUAAUGUAGGGGCUUUUUUCUUCCGGUAGCUGUAAAUAGGUUGGGCUGCCGUAAAGGGCAGAUGGAUGAAAUUAUCUCCUCUGCCUGAGUUCAAAAAUCAAGCCCCAAAAAUGCUUCAAAAGGACAGAGAAGCCUUAAGAAACACAUUGGUUACCUUCACCAAUGAAAAUAACAACAGCUUACAGAUAAAUUUUUUUGCUUGGCAUGAAAAGCUUGUGGCAUGGGAGCAAAAUUGUCAUGAGUUUAGCACUGAAGAGAAAAGUAAGUGUUCUUGGGGGGGGGGGGGGGAAAGAGGUAUUAAUGUAGGAGAUGAACAGUUUGCAGAGAGGUUUGGUUGCGAAUAAGGAAAAAGAAAGGAAUGGGUAACUUGAGUAUUAUUUCCGGUAGCUUGACAGUGACUUUGUCAAAUGCUAGAGCAGCCUGCCAGAAAGGGAAAAAAUGGGGAGGAGGAUGAAUAGAGCACGAAUUUGUUAGGUGUUGCAGGUGAGGGAGGAAGCUUGCUCUCUCAAAUGUGGGUUGUGUUUGGUUGGGUAGAAAAGGCAUCUUUUAUAACCGCUAGAAGCCAUCUUUUUCCAAGAAACCCUAAUGGUUUCUAUCUAAUUUGGCCAAGCUUUUUCCUUCCUUUCUCCUCCCCUUAUUUGACUUAUUUUAUUCUAGCAAAAUCUUCUCUGUCCAAUCUCACAAAAUCAGGGAUUUUUGGGAGCUCAAUGCUCUUUCCCACAGUUGCCUCUAUUUCCAGCCAUCUCUUUCUUUUCUUCUCUUCCUUCUUCCAUGGUCAGGUCUGAUGAGGGAAAGAGAAUGGGUAUGCAUGCUGGUUCAAAAGGCGAUUCCUCUCCUAGCAGGCUGCACACCAAUUUCCUUUGGUCCCUUGGGUGUCUUUUGUUUGAAACUUGCUCAUUUCCCAUGUGCUGGAACCUCCCAGCAACUUUGUAUAAUGGUCCUUCAGACUUUCCCCUUCGUGGCUUUUGUUUUUCCAGCCAAGUGCUGGGGCUUUUGUAGCUAGUUAUGAUAAUUAAAUGGGCAAAGGUAAUUCAUUAAGUAAGUGUGCUUUCUUUAUCAAACGUUUGAGCUUUUUGGUUGAGUAAAUAGGCUAUUUUGGUUGGGCUAUUUUUGUUUGGAGUGAUGGGCUAUUCUUUUUUCUCUUGUACUCACCCACAUGUUUGGACCUAUGAAAUGGGCUUGAGUCCCGAGACUCCUAAGCAACCCGGGACUUCCAUUUCUCGGCCCAUUAAUGGGCCUUAUGACAAUUUAUUACCAUCUAUACCACAACCCACUCAAGCAAGCCCUGGGUAUUUGAGUGGCUUGGAGCCUACUUAAGCUUGUGGUGUGAUUGGGUGCGGAAUAAUAAUUCCUUGCGUGGCGUGGCGUGUCGCUUGCUGUACUACAAUUUUAUCAUCCUUGAAGAGGGACAUGGUGCUUAGUUUAGCAUGGACUUGUAUUUUAUAAUAUUAUCUCAGUUAUUAGCAUGACAAAUUAUUUAUUUAGCAUAGCACGUGGACUAUGACUUGUAUAUGAUGAGCCUUUGUGUACUCUGAUAUAUGACUUUUCUUAAUACAGUAUCAUAUUGGGUCGGAAACUUAUUUGGACCUAACCAUGGACUUUUUUAGGCCUCAAUAGAUAAUAACUGCAAAUAUUUGCACAGCAAGUCAACUAUGGAAAGGGAGAAGAAUGAGAUCCUGAAUCUUCUCCCUUGAUGAGCGCAGGUGCGUUUUUUUUUUUUGAGAAACAAAAUUUCAUUCAACACUCCAAAUGGGUUUUUUCUAUUUAUAAGGUCCUCAUUUCAAAUUAAAAUAGAUACAAAUUGGAAAAUGAUAUGAAAAGCAACGAGAAAAUUAACAUAUAUAUUUUAAGGUCAAUUAUUAGUUAAUUAUAAUUAGUGAGAUACGAAGUUGUGGUCAAAGCAUAAUGUCUAUUUCAUCAAAUGCUCCAGAUGUCCAGAACUCAUUGUAAGGUUGUGAAAACUAAGAAUAUAAACAAUGGCUUGAUGCUUUGAGCACCAAAAUGCAAUCAAAUUCAAUCUUUGAUCAGAGGGGUACGUGUCUAUGUGAAACUAUAAGAAAUUGCUCCACUUUAGCCAUGUGAAUAUUCUCCUCCAAUAUUCUAGGAUUAACUCAGCGCACCUUCACUUCUAUAAUAUUCCUCACCACCAACCAUUGGUCGAAUUUCAUGCCAAAAGUUUAUAUGUAUUUUUUUAAGCUUAUGAAUUUAAGACUAUAAGGUUUAGCGCUCUCGUCUUUUCAUAUAAAUAUUAUUGUUUAGAUGGUAUUCAAUCAAAUACAACACGUUGCUAUAAGGAUUAUGAUUUUGUUUUUUCAUAAAAAUUAAAAUUGCUUUGGUUGGAGUAUGACCAAACUAGAAGGAUUUAUCUGGCAGCAAAAAAUUAAGUUGGGCCUUUUGCCGUUACUGCUUGCGGCGGCCAUGAGCACAUGUUUUCAACAUAACUAAAACUUUCUUUGGAAUUAUGAUAUAUAAAAUUAAUAAGAAAAUGAUGAAUUUAAUAAAGUUCAAUUCUGUUAUAAUCGACACCUCAAGGAAGAAAUAUAUUUUGUAUCAAAAUAUUACUAUGCAUAGUUGCAUAGGCCAAAUGCACAAAACCCCCCAUCUCUGCACCUAUUUUUGCAGCCACCACAAUGCCCCUUAUUGAAAGAUGGAUUUACACAUUUUCCCUUGCAGCAUAUCUCAUUGUACCUACACUUCUUUCCACAUCUUCCACAGUUGAGGCGGUCUGUCAACACAUUAACACACUUCUUCUUGCAGCAAGAAGGCCCCGGGCUUCCCUUAGCACGGCAUAUCCUGGGGAACUUGUUACAAGUCAAUCGCCGCCGGCGUUUGCUCAAGAGAAAACGGCCAAUUCCAUGUAUGGUUGAAGAUUGUUCUUCAGUUUCGUUUACCAGAGAGUUCAAAGAAUCAUUAAUAUUGGUUUCAUGUUCCUCCUCCUCUGCAUUGGGGUUUGCUUCAAUGUUGGUUAGAACAAGAGCCAAGAGGAGAAGAAAUAUCAAGAAAUGCUGUAUCAGCUUCAUGGAGAAAGAAUGUGUAAUGAGAGGGUUUCUAGGGAGUGGUUUUGUAUUGUUGGAAGGGAAACAGGCUUAGAUGGGACUUGGGAGGAAUGAAUGGUUGAUUAAGGGUGACAAUGGAGGUGGGUUUUUAUAGGAAGGCUGGCAUGCAGAUUUUUCCUCUUGAGCUUAGUGGAGUGGUCUACAUACCAAUAAAAAACUAAAUUUGGAUCAUGAAAAUUGAACCAAAAGUUAGGUUGUCAUUCGAAUGUCAAACAAGUUGAAGGAACGCGGCGGAGAGGAGGAAGCUGACUUAUGGGGAUGGAAAUAGUGCAAUUAAAAUAUAUUGAAAUAGGUGGGUUUUAUUAAUGCAUCAAAACAAUCACACCCCCCCCCCCCCCCCCCCCCCCCUUUUUUUCUUUUUCUUUUUCUUUUUUUUAUACCCACACAAAGGGGGAGAAUUGNNNNNNNNNNNNNNNNNNNNNNNNNNNNNNNNNNNNNNNNNNNNNNNNNNNNNNNNNNNNNNNNNNNNNNNNNNNNNNNNNNNNNNNNNNNNNNNNNNNNUUGAUGAAAUAUUUUCUAAAUUUUAGUUAUACAAUGUGAUAAGGUGAAAUGACAAUAUCUUUAGGUACGGUUAGGGGAUUCGAACUUGAAUGUAGGAUGGGGAGCACAUCCAUUUUAGCCAAUUUAGCUAAGCCCAUAUUUGUCACUUUGAACAUUUUUUGUAUAAGUAAAUAGUUAUUUAGUAGUCUUUAUUUGGAUUUAUCAUGGUUUAGUAUAGUUUACGUAAAAUGCUUACUUUAAUCUAAAGGAUACCCUUUUACGCUUAGAAAUUUAAGAUUUAAGUUUCAAGUUAUUCGCGGAUCCCUCUAAGCCAUAAACAUGCAUGAUCCUAAAGAAAGUAGGCAAAUUAGUGUAAUAUUUUCAUUAAGUUACAUUUCGAAUUUAUUUGGGUUAGUAUAUAUAUAUAGGGUAUAAUUAAAAAGUGAAAAAGGAUUCAAUGUUUCUAGCUAUGACUAAAUUAUGAUACUCCAGAGACUGUGCUAGCGUAUGGCGUCCCCUUCCUUGAAUUUGAUAAAUUAACCCCAAAAUAACCUCAUAAAACAAAUGAACUACUACGGUCUUACAUCAUUUAACAUUCAAAAUUGUUCGAUAAAGUUUGAGUAAAUAUUUCGUUAGUAUUGAGAUUUUUUUGCUGGUCAAGAUUUUGUAUUGAGAUUAAUGUGAACUGUGCAGCUCUUUAUAGAGUAGAUGGAUAGACUUUUUUGUACUAACGGAUUCUGGCCAUAAUCCACAAAAAUAUAAGCCAAUGUGAUCUACUUUUAGAAUUGUAGACAAUGACACUUUUAAGAUUUCUUCUAUUUUUAGGUAGUGCUGACUCCUGCUUAGUCUGCCCCCGCCAACCCACCCACCAUAAGUGGGCGAGUCUAAUGUCCUCCAAAGUUGAUUUGGUCUCAUAGACAUGUACCAAUCCUUCAUCCUUAAUAGAAACAUGCACAAAGGUCAAACAACUUGUAAAAGGGUGCUGAUUUGGUGUACUGAAUUCAUAGAAUUAGAAUAUUUAUAUUGAAGUAAGGAGUUUGUAACUCAAGUGAUUAAAAGUAUUUACUCAUGCACCCGAGGUCUUAAGUUCAAUUUCCCCUCUCCUCAAUAUCACAUGUACAAAAAUAAAUUAAAAUUUAUUAUGCAUAUUAUUGGGUCAUUAUUUUACCAUUUAUGAUUUAGAUAGUCUAGGUACGUAAUAAUAAUAAUAAAAAUAUGGUUUGCAUGAAUUUAAUACAUUACAUAUGUAUUAUAUAAAAAUAACCAAAGUAAUUAAAGACUGGGGUCAUAAAACCUUGGGAGAAAGAAAAGUUGAAGGGUGUAAAGCAAAGGUGAAGAGAAUUUCUUAGUCCGUUGGGUUAAGUAUAUUGGGAAACACAUGAAACACGAGCUCCUAUUAUUUGAUUUUCUUUAUCUUAUGUUCCCGAACUUGCAUGGUGAAAGCAUAGACAACACCUUAUGGUGUCCCUAGCUCUAUACAUAUUUUUAUAUGUAUUUGUUCUCAUGAUCACACCUGGAUGUCUCCAACUUUUGGCAAAUUUAUUAAUGUUAAUUAAACUAGAGCUAGGAAGGUUCUGUAUAUACACUUGUCGUGUGGUGGUUAGCUAUUAAUCACUAGAAUUAAGUAAUUUUUGGAUGUUCUGGAUAUAUCACGUGGUUAGUGUAUCAUCUAAUAGACUUACGAUACGUGGGAUAUUUCUAGUGGAGCCAGCCACAUGUCGUAAAAAGCAAUGUAGUAAAUUAGAGAAUAAUUCAACAUAUUAUAUGUGUAUUGGAUGAUACACUAACCACGUGUAUCCGGAACAAGUAAAAAUUUCCACUUGCACUUUGCACAACAUCUUCAUUAACUAUUCCCUUCUUGGGUUUUAUUUCAUCCAAACUUCACCAUGAAGGCCUCACAAGAACAUUUCUUGAAGCAUUUGGCAAGCAACAACAAGAUGAAAUGUAUAAUUUUCACUUUCACUGGAAAGAAUAAGGAAUCUGAUUUAUACACAACCCGUCUUUCCUAAAGCCAGCAGAGAAGUGGCUAGCCUACUUAUGAAGGUAUCUAUUUCUCCCAUAGAAAAAGCACCAUGUGAGAUGUGACCCGACAAGCUGUAAAAAGUGAGUAAAUUUAAAAAGCUAUGCUUAACUUCUUCCUUAAUCUUACCCAAUAUUUUAAUAAAAAAUAAACAUGCGUACAUCUCAUAACAACCUAAGUACAUACCAUAAACUGAAACUCUGAAAUUAGUACAUUUGUCAGACAUGUUGGGCACUACCAAAUCUGUAAUUCUCAUGACAUUGACCAUUUCCUCCUUUCUCUUCACAAUUUCUGAGCAAUAUUCCAAUUGCAGCCCCAUCAAUCCCAUGAACAUUACCAACUGCAAGAAACUAAUCACUCUGGGAGCUGAAUUUGGGUGGAAUAUUCACAGCAACAACCAAAUUGACAUCUUGUUCAGCAUUAAAAUUUCUGGUGAUCACAGAGCAAAAUGGCUAGCCUGGGGUGUGAACCCAGAUCCACACCGGCCGAAGAUGGUCGGGACCAGGGCUAUUAUAGGCAUUUCACAGCCCAAUGGGACAUUGGCAGUCAGGAAGUACAACAUCACCAGUGAUACAAGGCUGGGUUGUAGGCUGCAGCCUUCACAAGAUUUUGAUGAUGUCAUCGUCAAAACCAUGAAAGGUGAUAUGCAGGCUGACAAAUACAUGUCAAUAUUUGCAACCCUAAUUUUGCCUCCUGAUCCAGCUGCAUAUAACAUUUCAAAGCUGAACCAUGUGUGGCAAGUUGGGUUUGAAGCUGAUGCUGUUCAUCUGGAGCCUAAGAUGCAUUCCACUGCUCUCCAGAAUGUGGACAGCACAGAAACUCUGAACUUGACCUCUGCCCGCGGUAUUAGCAUAGGACAUCGCCGGCACCACCUCAGAAAGGUAAGAUAUGACAACUUAGACUGAGAUCAUUCACCGUUUUACUAAUUUUUCUUCUUUUUUUAUCAACAACUUUUUGUUUGCUUGGUAAUAGGUGCAUGGGAUUCUGAAUAUUGUGGGGUGGGGAACACUGUUGCCAUUGGGAGUGAUUAUAGCAAGGUACUACAGAAGAUAUCCUUUUCAUUGUCAAAAAUGGUAUGUCCUUCACGUCUCCUGCCAGAUUGUUGGUUACAGCCUUGGCACAGCUGGUUGGGCAAUCGGGCUAUGGCUUGGACAUGCUUCCAGACACUACAGCUUCCCCACUCACCGAAUUCUCGCCAUGUUCAUAUUUGCAUUCACCACAUUACAAGUAUACUUACCACUCCUCUCUCUCUCUCUUUUCCACUGCGUCUUCAAUCCGUCCGACACAUGAUGGCCUAGCAUCUUUUUUGUGCACGUAUCGUAUUACAUGACAGUGUUAAAUGACAGAAUAAUUUAGUUAAAAGAUGACGUGUGUUUAAAGUUUAAUCUUAAUAUUUUAUUUCUUGACGCAUAUCAUCUCUAUAACGUUGUUCCGUACAAAACAUUCGUCGUCUUGGUGAAGUUUGACAUGGUUUUAUGUAUUGUAGAUGCUUGCCUUGCGUUUAAAGCCCACCCCAAGUGAUGACUACCGCAAGUACUGGGACAUGUACCAUCAUUUUCUAGGGUAUGCACUACUGGCUGUGAUCUCACUGAACAUAUUCAAUGGCAUUGCCAUCUUGAAGCCAGAUAAAACCUGGCUAUGGGCUUACAUCGGGGUCCUUUCUGUAUUUGCUGUCAUUGCGUUGGGUAUGGAGAUUUUUACUUGGGGUAAGUUCAUAUUUACAUCACGAAAAAAUAGACAACCCACCGCAGCAGUAUCUGCAGAUAAUAAUGCAGAAGCACCUCAAGCGUGGCAGGGCUCAGGCCCACAAUCAGAGGGCCCAGGUCCACAAUCAGAGGGCCCACAAGCUAAUAAAACUAGGAUUGCCAAUUAAUACGGUCGAGAUUUUUGUUUUUUUUUGUUUUUUUGUUAGAUUAUAUGGCCAAGUGUGAAGACACAUGAAUUUUAGUUCACAUGUACUCUUGUUAAUUGCUUGUUAACUAGUCUGUGUUUGUCCUCUCUUUUUUGAUUCCAUGUUCCAAUCUAGCUUGGACUUUGGAAUUAAAGAUUGGCUAAGAUCAUACUUGAUCUUGAUGUACUUCUUGAGCAACUCCUAUUUUAGGUUUUUUGGUUUUGACUUGAUUGUUAGAAACUUCACGUUGCCAAUUAAAUUAGUUUAUCUUGCUAUUUCUUUAAUGUUGUGUCAUGAUCCGAACUUGUUCAUAGUUUAAAUCUCAUCUCAAAUGUCAUCCUUGAAAAAAAAAAUUAAUUGAAUUGAAAAUCAUUUAGGUCCUUUAAAAAUCUUCUAGUUAAAGAAGAUUAGUGCAUAUUCUUAGUUGGUGGCAGAAAAAAAAAUCAAUUGAAUUGAAAAUCAGUUACACCCUUUAAAUGUGAUUGCUCCUUGGUAACAAAUGCCCUAGCUAAGGAAUCUAGGGAUGACAAAAAUUUCCCUUGUGCCCCCAGCCCUAACUAGGGGUGGCAAUUUCGGAUACGACCUGAUACACGACUCGAAACCCGCACGAUAAAAAAACAGGUCAAUUUCGAGUCAACCCGUUCUGACCCGUUUAAUAAACGGGUGGGUUUCGGGUCAACCCGCUAACCCGCUAUAAUACUUAUCUAACCCGUUUAUUAAACGGGUCGUGUCACGGGUCGUGUCAACCCGUGUACAACCCGCUAACCCACUAAAAAAUAAAGACAAAUGGAGACUUCAACACACACACAAGGGGUUUCGAACCCCUCCCAUCCUCAUUUUCUCAAACAUCUUAUCCACCAUGCUACAAUCAACUUUGUGAUUUUAUGGUAUGCCUUUUGAUAUUUAUAAUGUUUCUUUUUCUUUUGAGUUUUCUUUUCUUUUUCGUCUCUCUUCUCCUUUUUUUUUUUCUUUUUUUUCCUUCUUUCUUCUCCUCUCUCUUUUUUUUUCCUCUCUUUUCCUUUCCUCUUCUCUCCUUUUUUUUUCUUUUUUUUUUCCUUCUCUUUAGUUUUCUCUCAUCUCUCUUUUUUCUUUCUUUCUUUCCUUCAAUCUUCUCUCCUCUCUCUCUCUCUCUCUCUCUCUCUCUCUCUCUCUCUCUCUCUAUUUUUUUUCUUUCUUUUCCUUCUCUCUUCUCUCCUCUCUCUAUCUUUUUUCUUUCUUUCUUUUCCUUAUAUUUUCUCUACUCUCUCUGUUUUUUUUUAAUUAAAAUGUUUUCGGUUGUGAGUUUUGUAACAUGCAUGUUAUUCUUUAUGAACCCGUUACACGACUCGAAACCCGCACGAUAAAAGACGACCCGAACCCGACACGACACGUUUAUUAAAUGGGUUGGGUUCGGGUUGAGCAUUCUUGACACGUUUAUUAUCCCGACACGACACGAACCCGACACGACACGACCCAUUGCCAGCCCUAGCCCUAACGGAGGAGAAUUUAAAGAAAAUUUAGAGGCGGAUACGAGAAUUCCCAAAUUUUAAAAAUAUCAGACCGAGAACUUCCCCCAAUUAUGUUUCGCAAUAUCCUGACCAUUGCAAACAUCACUCCCUCUAUCUAAGCCGCCUAAACCUAGUGAUGUUCUAGGUUUCUUAUAAAUCAAUUUCUUUUUUCUUUUUCUUCAAAUCCCCAAAUUCCCAAAUCUAGUUUUUUUUCCCUUUUUGCCCUUUCUACUCUUUCGCCUCAUUUUCGUGUAUAAGGGUAUUUUAUCAUUUCAUAUAGUACUUUGUUUUAUUUUUUUUAUUAUUUUAAAAAAUGUGUGUUGCCAGUUUUCUAGUCAUUUGAUGAUAAUUAAAUGAUGUGGAACGUUGAGAAUAUACAAGAUAUGGUUCGAUUCCCUCUAUUCCAAUAUCGCUUGUAUACAAAAAACAAGAAAUCAGAAGUUCCCCUUAUUCAAAUAUGCAUGUAUACAAAAAUUAAGAAAUCAGAAGUUCCCCUAUUCCAAUAUAGCUUCUAUACAAAAAAAGAAAAAGAAAUCAGAAGUGAAAAAAGUAAGGCCUCUCUUUAAGAAAAAAAAAAGGUAAAAUGAGGAUGACGUGAAAAAUAAGAAAUUUUUUUUGAGUGAUGAUGGGUGCAAAUAGACACCACAAGGUGCAGGAAGAAGAAACCCAAUGGCCUUACGUUUAUCAUAUGAACCCCACAACUUCACACUUCACAGAAACCAGGACCAAGGCCCAGGAAGAAGAAACCCAAUACACAGCUUGCAUGGCUGCUCCAGCUGUCGAAAACGCCGCCGUUUCGGCGCUCCGGUCGGUCAUGCUCCGAGUCCGGCACGCUGCGGAGCGGUCGGGUCGGAAUCCGGGUCAGGUGAGGGUAGUAGCGGUGUCGAAGACUAAGCCCGUUUCUCUCAUCCGCCAAGUAUACGACGUCGGCCACCGUCGUUUUGGCGAGAAUUACGUCCAGGAAAUCCUCGACAAAGCUCCUCAGGUGAGUCCAUCUCUCUGCCUCUCUCUCUCUCUCUCUCUCUCUCUCUCUAUAAGUAUGUGGGGUUAAACGCAGCGUUUAAUGAUUGCAAACGUUUAUGUCUGCAGCUUCCUGAAGACAUAGAAUGGCAUUUUGUUGGGCAUUUGCAGAGCAACAAAGCGAAAUUGCUUCUGGGUAUCCUUUGCUUUUUCUUUUUCUUUUCAGUUUUCAAUUACAGUCUCAAAAUUCAUUUACUUUUACAUGACAGAUAUACAUGGUGUUUGGUUGCUGGAAUGAACAUUGGAAUGAAAUUCAAACUAGGAAGAGAUAAAAGUGAUUUAAUCAGAAUUGGAAUAGAAUGUCCCAUUGGGGGAGAGAGUCAGAGUUAAAAUUAAAGUAGGAAAAUUUGAAAAUUGGGAAAGAACCCAACUUUUGAUAAAUUGUUACAGAAUCUCAAACUCAGAAAAUAUUGCAACUCUUUUUAGAUUUCUGCUGUUUCAUAUUGUGAGAGUUGGGUAUCUUGGUUUGUGCAUAAUUCAAACAAUUUGCAGGUUGUUGGCUUUAUGAUAAUCUUAUAAGUUCAGAGACAGAGAUCAUAUCCUACUUUGAAUCUUAUGUAGAAAUUCUUUUAAUAAUUUGUUACUAUGUCUAUAUGCAGCUGGAGUCCCGAAUCUGGCCUUGGUUGAGGGCGUAGAUAAUGAGAAGGUAAAGACAAGUCCAAAUAUCUGUUUUAUUUGCUGAAGGUAAUUAACUUAUUUUCUGUAAAUUUUAUUUGGAGUUGUCUUUACCUUCAGAUUAUUGUUUAUUAGCCAAAUUAUUGGUAAUAUGCCAUGGAAACCUUUGUGGAUUUCAGUUGAUUAAUCAUUGUGCAGGUGUUAUGCGUGUGUUAUUACUCAAAAUGACAUUGUGUUACUUUGUGUAUAUAAUCCACAGAUUGCAAACCAUCUUGAUCGAGCAGUGUCAAACCUUGGUAGAAAUCCUUUAAAGGUCUUGGUCCAAGUAAAUACCAGUGGAGAAGUAUGUAAGUAAUUUCAAAAUCAUCACUCGUUCCUGCAGUAAUUAGUCAUGUUGUUCAAUUGAGCAUUAGUAUGGCAUUGAAGUUGCUUGAAUCUUUCUCUUCCCUGCUCUCCCUUUUUAGCUGCAUAAAAGUAUAUUUCCCUCAAUUAACUUUGUGGUCGUAAUGUAACCACAAAAAUUCUACAUGAUAAAUGCAACACGUGGUAUUUCCUCUGAAGAGCACAACCUAUGUGCAUAAUAAGUUCAGUAAUUAUAUCAUCUCAUGUCUCCAUAUCUUAACAUGUCCUUUACCAAUGAAAAGACACUUUGCCUGGCCUUCAACUUUUAACUCACCUGCUUAUUAAGGCAGUCAAAACCUUAUGCAGUCAAGAUACAUUAUAGUUGGUCACUUGCAGAAAGAAGGAUCAUACUCUUUCUAACUAUUGAACUAAAUUCUAUUUCCUGUAAUUCAGAGAUAAAUUUUAAUUUGCCCCACCUCACCUACUUCAUCUGUUUUUCUGAUAUUUUCUGUAGCCAAAUCUGGUAUCGAUCCUUCUGGUUGUGUUGAACUUGCGAAACAUGUCAAAUUUCGGUGCCCAAAUCUACAGUUUUCUGGCUUAAUGACAAUAGGGAUGCCAGACUAUACAUCAACUCCAGAAAACUUCAGGGUAACUUUCUUACUUGCAUAGUGGGGUGCAUGGAAACUGCUUACAAUGGCAUUGUUUGGUUCUUGUUUCACAGACCAAUCAAAAUAGGUUGUCUGUCUCACAAACUGAAGUCAUCUGUUUUAAGUGCCUAAACCCUGAACCCUCUGUUUUUCCUAUAUAUUUAAUUCCAUUGAUAUAUACUUAAAAUAGAAUUGAAUCAUUUGAUACUCAUUUAAUGUUGUUUUCUUUGAGAACGAAAUGGUAAUUUGUAGGCUAUGUAAUUUAGAGUUAAACUUUCCCCUCCCAGACCUUAGUCCUCCUGUGGGUUGGACUCGAGACCUAUACUUAUUAAAAGGGAGAGGUACUGGUAUCACGUUGGUUUUAUUUUUGGCCAGUGGUAUCACUUUGGCUACAAGGACUAGUAAAUAUCCAUUUAAUGUUUGAAGUCCCCGUUACUGAGUUUCAUUUGUAUUAUUUUUUCUUUUGGAUAUUUCAUUUAUUUUUCCCGUCUUUUUUGUUGUUCAUUAAUUUGAUUAGGUUUUAUAUCUUGUAAUUCAACAGAUGCUAUCAAAGUGUAGAGCUCAGGUCUGCAAGGCGCUUGAUAUGGCUGAGGAGCACUGUGAGCUAUCAAUGGGCAUGUCUGGUGACUUUGAACAAGCGGUAUGAAAUGCCCUAUCUUGACAUUGAACUUCAAGGAAAUUGCAACAAACUCAUAUUUUCCAAACGGCUGAAUGACAGUUGUUGCUAUAUCCGUUAUUACAACCUAAAUAGAACAACCUGUGCAAAUUUGAACUUAUUAUCCAGUAUUCUACUAAGCAAUGGUUGGAUUGGAUCAUACAGCGGUUAUCUGAAGACCUAGACCUUUGUGGCGAUUUUAAAUGUAAUAUUUAAGAACCAUCUCAAGGAAGAAAUGAUUAACACUCUUGAUUGUACCGUGCAGAUUGAAAUGGGCAGCACCAAUGUCAGAAUUGGAUCCACCAUAUUCGGGCCGAGGGAUUAUGCAAAGAAGCAACCAGAUUAGAAUCUUCCAACCCCUGCCCUUCAUGCCUUUAUGUGUUUCUAUGUGCUUAUUGAUCCUGGCAAAGCUUGUAUCCCUCUUUUUCAGUCGUAUGGUGUAACAAUCAUCAACUGUCAUUCUGCUGCUCAUCAUAUGCAGCUCCUGACCUUUAUUGUAAUCAAAUCAUGUACCACAAAAUCUUUCAUAUAUUGAUAUAUUUGUUAUGAAGUCUUUCUUACAGAGCCUAUGGUUCGACUCCCCUUUUAAAUAAAAUUAAGAGAAUAGGAAAAAAAAAAUAUAGAGAAAACCAGCUACUCGACAAUAAAAUGGAGAAAAAUCAUCAAUUUUUACUCUUUAUUUUAGGUAAUAUGUAAUUAAUUUUCUGUCUUAGUUGGAAGGUUCUUCCAAUCAUAGCGAUUUGUACUCCUAAUUGUACAAUGGUCCCGUCUGAAUGAGCCCUUAGCAUCCUGUAUCUAAUCAUUAGACCAUAUAAGUCUAAUAGAUGGUAGGUCUAGGUUACAAGAUUGAUUAUGGAGGUCGACGACAUGGACAUACAUUGAUACUGUCUAAUCAUUCUCAAAUGCAAGUCUAAUAGAUGGUGGGAAUAUAAGGUUCGUGGGGAAAUAUAACAGAGGGAUGAAUCAAAAUAUGGUAACUUUUUUAUUACUAUUGGUGCAAUUUGAUUGGCUUACAUUGAUACUGUUUUUACUGAGUUACAACUGAUCAUAGGAAAUUAUAGUUACACAAAUAAAAGAAAUAUAUGGUUCAAGACUUGCAGAAGGAAAAAUUACCCUGCAAAUCUUGUUCUUGAAGGAAUUUUAAUUAAUUUAGGACAUCAAAGUUGUGGGGCACCUGUAUUACAGGUUUUGUGCAAGCUGGUGGGUUUUGUUUGCCACCGGUUAUAACAUCUACUUUUGAGCAUGCUGAUACAGCCGGUCCAUCAGGACCCUCGUAACUUAGGUUGAUGUCUCUCAACUGAAUCUUCUGACACGGCUUCGUUUCGCUACACUUGAGAGUAACAACAUUUGGUGUGCUUGAAGUACCCCAAAUGUUAAUCAUCUUGACAUCUACAAUCUGAAUUUGGGAUGAUUCCUGCACGCAAUGAAAGCGAUUAAUCCGAUUUAUAAAUCACAAUGUGCAUAAAUUAUUAGGGGAGCACGUCCAUCUGUGCGUCCUCUGUUGGUGUAUUUUUUUAAUUGGCAUGUUAUCAACACCAUAUUAACAGUCCAUCUUUAAAGAAACCCUCACAUUGUAUACCACAUCUAUAAUUAGGCGUACAAACUAUAGUUGGUUUAUAGUUACGUACCGUUGGACUGCACCUACGAGCAGGGCAAUAAUUUUGAUCGAUGACUAUAGGGUUUUUAACCCGAUCCAUUCGAAUGUUCUCAACGUAAACAUGUGAAACAGUGCCUUGUUUAGAGGGAGCCCAUGUUUUGAUUCUCACUCCAUUGUCAGUGCCAACAAAGGAGCAGUUUCUUAUGUCCACAAAAGAAACAUUAUUAUUAUUUCCCCUGCCAAGGCUUCCAAUGCUCAUUCCAUGGCCUGGUCCACAGUGAACACCGCUAACAUUGAUCUUGCUUGAUCCGGCACUGAAGGAUAUGCAGUCAUCCCCGGUGGCGAUCACGGAGUCCAAAAUUUGGACGUUGGACGAUGAACCAAUGUGGAUUCCGUCGGUGUUGGGGCUUUCAGCGGGAGCUGAUAUGUUAACGUUGGUAACUUUUACGUCUUGGCAUGCAAAGAGGUUGAUGUGGAGAUUUUUGCUGUUAAUCGAUGUUAUGUGAUCUAUGUUUAGAUUUGUGACGAAAUCAAAUCUCAAAUUCUGAAAAAAAAUAAGGCAAACACAACACAAACAUUAGCAAUAAACUAGACAUACCAUAUAUAUACUUUUCGCAUUCAAGUCCAUGAUAUAUAUAUUGAACAAAAUGAAGGGCAAGAACUUACUGCAGGGAGUCGCUUGCAUUCUGGAUCUUCCAGGCAGUUGUUAUGGUGCCAAGCAGAGGGUCCUUGCCCAUCCAAUAAACCACCACCAUUGAUGUCCAAGUUGUCAACGUGUUGGAAUUUGAUCCAAUGGUCCAUAUCAACCGAAGAUUGGACCCCCGGGGGAGCCAGUAGGGUCCCUUCUAUCUGCAACCCAAUUGGCCCCUUGCAUUCCCCUUUCAAAAUCACUGGCCUCACCAAGUAUUUCCCGGUUGGAAAUAAGAUCACACCACCUCCAUUUGUUUGACAAGCUUGAGUCCAUGCAUCAGUGAAGGCCUAGAAAUAAAAAUAACAAAUAAAUAUUGACAUCUUCAUCAUAAUCUUAACAUUUGGAUUAAGACAAACUCAGAAAGAUUACCUUGCUGUUAUCAGUUUUUCCAUCAGCAACGCCGCCGUUUUUCGUCACAUCAAAAACUGUUUGCUUAGCUCGAACUCUGGAAAUGGAUACCACCAUGAAGAACACAAUGCAAACAAAUUGACCAACCAAGCUGGAAACCAUUUUCAUAUUUUCACUUUAAUAUUUGUUUACCAGUGAUCUUCUUCAAUCACAUGUCUCUAUUGAUGUUAUGGAUUAUGUGUUUUUAUAUGCUGUUUGUGCAGAUAGAAAUGGAAUGAUACCACCAUAUGAUUUUGUUUCUGAUUUUGUUUCUAAUUUUGUUUUGAUUGAAUUUUCUUUUAAAGGGUUUAAGAAAAUCUGUUCCUCCCAAAUUGAAAGCUUUUUGUUUUUUUUAUUUUCGUACAUUUUAUAUGUAUUAGAGGAAGGGAGUUGAAUUUCAUGGCUAGCCUGCUAAUUAUAAGGUACAUUUUAAGGUAAAUAUAUUGAAUAUGGUAUAGUUGCAUAGCUUAUGGUACGAUUUUCCUCUUCUUCUUCUUCCAAUAUAGAUUGGUUUUGUAAUCUUUGUUUUCUUUUUUAAGAGGAUUCAUUUGCAAUUCACAUUCACAUGGUCUGUGGUACACGUUUAGGGUGGGUUAGGCAGAUCGGUUGUAAACCUAAGUUCUUCACAAAUGAGCCCCUGAGAACUACAUGUCAUAGUAGAAAACACUUCACCAUUUUGAAGUAAAAAAAAACCCAUGAAAUCAACUUUUUUUUGUCAAAGUUUGAACUCGAGAUCACUGAUAUACAUGUAAAUGCUUUUACUAUUGAGCUACAGAUCCUUUAGGCUAUUGAAAAUUGUAUGAACCAAACCAAACACCUAUAACAAUUAUACUACAUUUUGACACAUUAGAUUUAAUUAGUCUCACCAUUUAUUCAUGUGUUUAGUCUCAUACUUUGACAUCAACCAUUUCAUACUGAAAACUAAAAUCGCAUUUGGCUCUGAAUAUUUCUCCAUCUUCUUCGGUUUGAAGCUCUCUCAAUUAUUGUUCAAUUUAGAAUAUGAAGUAUCCAUUGUACAAGUUAGAGAAUAUAAAAUAAUUGCUUAACCCACCAAAUCAAAUCAAGCCAAACUGAUCACUGAAUAGAUCAAUUUGAUUAAGUUGUGCUACUAGUUUUAGGGUUACACCAAACCUAUUGAAUUUUGGUUUGGUUUGCGGUUUGAGACUUAUAUUGAACUAAAUCAUACUUGAAAUGAAAAAUUCAUUUCCUAAUAAAUGUUUAGUAAGUUUAGUAAUGAUGGAAAAGUGACUAGGAAAUAUCGUUUCAUCUCCAUUCAUAUGUUUGGUUUGUGUAUGAAUUGGAAUUGAAAUUGUAAACCUAAUUUGUUUAAUUUUCAAAUGUAUAGUCAUAAAUUAGAAUAUGCAUUAAUGUGUGCCUUAAUUUUUGUAGAUAGUAUCAACAUUUUUAAUUUUUAAUUUUUAGUGCAAGCGAUUAGGGGAGGGGCGUUUACACAAAUAUUCAUUGGGUACAUGAGGGUUUUCAAAUCUCCGUCCACAUGAGUGAAAGUGGAAGAGCUCAACCAAUUGAGCUAUACCACACUAACUUUUUAAUUGUUAAUAUGUAGGAUUUGGUUUAGGGUUUAGAAGAUACCUGAAAUGCUUAAUUUCUUUAGGACUCACCAAAUAAAACCUUUCCAUUGGAAAUGCACUUAGCGGAAUAACUUUUGUAUACAACUGCCCUAGGCACAACAUGGAAGGCUUUCUCUUCUUUUGAUACAAAUGAUAUUGAGUGAGGGGUUUUUUAUUUUCAUACACACACUUGAAAAGGUGCCUUGAAAGUUCAAACUUGAGGCCACUCAUUUGCAAGUCAAAACUCUUUGGGAGACUUUGGAAAAGCCCAAAGGAGAGAGAAAAAUUUUAAAAGAAGCCGAAAUGGACAAAAUUGCCCUUAUUUAUUUUUUGAUUUCCUAAAGAAUCUUUUACAUUUGCAUGUCUUUGGUUUGAAAGUUGAGAGGUUUUUCUGUCUUUUUUGAAAAAGCUUUGGCUUUUUCCAAAAGUAAAAGUUUUUUUAUGGGUAAAACCUAAAUUUACUAAACUCUUUUCACUGGACUAAACCUCAUUGGUGGAACACUUUCUCUUUUUCAACUCUUAACAGAAGAAAUUCUUGUAUACGGGCCGAGCCGGCCCAUUAACGCGUCAGCAGCAAUCCUCACUGUUGGGUCUUGGGCUGGGCUAAAUGGCCUACAUAUAACUUUGUAGAUUGAGCUGCCCAGUCCAAUUCAAAUUUUCAAACACUUCUCUAUUUCCUUCUUCAAAGCUCUCAUACAAUACAACAAAACUCACAGUACCCGCCUUCUUAUCCCAAAACCCAAAACCCCAGACCCCAAACCCAGAACUGCCAGUCUCUCUCUCUCUCUCUCUCUCUCUCUCUGUGCAGCAGCAACAACAACAACAACUAUACCACAACUCCUCACCAUGACUUCACUUUCGCUUUCAACCAAGUUUUCUCUCUAUCCAAACAGCACAUUUCUCCAAUUUCAGUUCCCAAACAGAACUCAAAGAAUCAGCUUCCCCAAGAAAACACAAAUAGCGUGCUCAGCCACAGAGCAACCAAAAGGACAGCAAAAAAGGCCAAAGAAGAAAAAAAGCGUUACGGACAGCGAGAAAGGGAUUGACCCAGUUGGCUUCCUUACCAAAUUCGGCAUUUCCCAUAAACAAUUUUCUCAGUUCCUCCGUGAAAGGUAUAUAGAUAUGAGUCAUUCUCUGCUAAUUGGUCAAAACUAUGGGAAAGUAGAAAAUUUUCAAACUUUGAUACAUCGAUAAUUUGAGCCUGGUUUCACUUUGAAAGAAUUGCUCACUAUUCUUUUUUGCUUCAAAGGUUGUGAAUAAAAAUUGGUUUGAUUAUGCAGACACAAAUCCUUGAAGGACCUCACGGAUGAAAUUUUCAAUCGUCACAUUGAUCUUCGAGAUAUGGCUUCAGGGUUUGUUGCAAACUAAAAUUCCAUUUACUUCAUUUCAAUAUUGUUUCCAAUGCUAGUUAAACUAUAGUCUUAAAUCUCACUUGAGUGGAUUUGUCUGAUUUUUUUAAUUGCAACCUCAUUCUUAUAACUUAAGAGGACUUGCAUUCAAAUAAUUGAAUAGUUACUUCCAUUAUGUUUGUGAAGUUGGCGAUGUUAUAGCCACAACUUAUCGUGCAUGCAAUUUGAAACCAAACCAAAAAAAACAUAUGGCUGACCCUUUAGUGGUUAAGGUUCACUAUUCGUGAUGUAAUUGCUAUUUUUCUUCUCUAGAUUUGAGAUAUUGGGUAUUCAUCGACACCCGGAACAUAGAGAGGAUUAUAUGGAGUGGGCUCCAGGUUUGAUAAAAGCCUAAACCCUUUUCCUUUUUCAAUUUUUAAUUUAUUGUCAAUGUGAUUCUCAAAUGUUUUUACUUGAUUGAUCCCCUGGCAUGUGAUUUUUCCUUGAUAAUUAAAGAUGGCCUAGAGUUUUUUCUCUAACCUUUUCUUCUGUUAAUACAUCUUCUAUAACUUUCUUAUGGUCAUUUUUUGUCUGUCUGAACCAUAUAUUGACUAGAUGCAGAACAGGGUCUUUAUUCAAAUUCUAGUGAGCUUGAAUUAUGACUAGUCACCAAUAGUUCGGGACCAUGAUAAGAACUUGUUUCUCUGGUUUCUAAUUUGUAUUGUUUGGACUUUCCAUCUACCAGAUGAUAUGUGUCUGAUAAGCUUGUCGCAUGCAGGUGCUCGCUACUGUGCACUGGUUGGUGAUUUCAAUGGGUGGUCUCCUACAGAGAACUGUGCAAGAGAGGGUCAUUUUGGCCAUGAUGACUAUGGAUACUGGUUCAUCAUUCUUGAAGAUAAGUUGAGGGACGGAGAAAAACCAGAUGAACUCUACUUUCAACAGUAUAACUACAUUGAUGAUUACGAUAAAGGUGACAGUGGUGUUCCCAUUGAAGAAAUAUUUAAGAAAGCAAAUGAUGAAUAUUGGGAACCUGGAGAAGACCGGUUUAUAAAGAACCGUUAUGAAAUUCCAGCAAAGUUAUAUGAGCAGAUUUUUGGGCCUAAUGGUCCUCAAACAUUGGAGGAACUUGAAGAAAUACCGGACGCAGAAACAAGAUAUAAAGCAUGGAAAGAACAGCAUAAAGAUGACUUACCUAGUAAUACACCUUGCUAUGAUGUGAUUGACAAUGGAAAAGAGUAUGACAUUUUCAAUGUUGUGCUUGAUCCUGUAUCACAAGAGAAAUUUCGUGCAAAGAAGCCUCCCUUGGCAUAUUGGUUGGAGACACGCAAAGGAAGGCAGGCAUGGUUGAAAAAGUACAGUCCUUGCAUUCCUCAUGGGAGCAAGUACAGGGUCUAUUUUAACACUCCUAGUGGGCCAUUGGAACGAGUACCUGCUUGGGCUACUUAUGUGCAACCAGGUAAAUUUGCUUUGCUUUUGCUUGUUCCUCCUUUGUUGAAGAUAUGUAGAAUUUAUUGGCUAUUUUACUUCAUCAGGUAAAUAGGAUAUCCGCUUACAGCCAUGCUUUGUACAAUCAGGACCUGUGAAGACUAUUCUGGUUGCUUUUGUGUGUGUGUGUGUGUGUGUGUGUUUCUGUCUCUGUCAGUCAGUCAGUCAGUCAGUCAGUCAGUCUGUCUGUCUCUCUCUCUCUCUCUCAUGCUCUUGGUUUCUUUAGGAACUUCUGAUAAGCAAUGAUAUGCUUUUUUCUGUAGUGGUAUCUUGUCAUCCCUUUUAUUAUGUUUUCUGCAUUUUGUCAUUAUCUAUGUAGGCAUAUUAUGUUUCCUUUAUUACAUCUGAACUCUGUUGGUUACCUUCAGAUGCAGAAGGAGAGCAAGCUUUUGCUAUCCACUGGGAUCCGCCGCCAGAAUAUGCAUACAAAUGGAAAAAUUCACGCCCGAAAGUGCCAAAAUCUCUGCGUAUUUAUGAAUGCCAUGUUGGCAUAAGUGGAUCAGAGCCAAAAAUAUCUUCUUUCAGUGAUUUCAUAGAGAAGGCAACUCCUGGAUUGCUGCGUUAUUAAACUUACAUCUGCUAUUAUAGCGGUCAAAUUCCUCAUUUUGCACUCGUUAUGUUUCUUACAGGUCCUUCCUCAUGUAAAGGAGGCAGGAUAUAAUACAAUCCAACUGAUUGGAGUUAUUGAACACAAAGAUUAUUUCACUGUUGGUUAUAGAGUGAGUCAAAUAUUCUUUCUGCUCUUUCUAUUCGCACAUUUAAACAUUGAUUACUUCUACCUUGUCAAUUUCCAUGGUUUGGAUACACCCAUAUAAAUAUGAUGUUAACCAGAAGAUGAAUUUGUUCAAAGAAUUUCCUGUGAUCUUGAUUUACAUGGCUGUUCAACAAAUGUGAUAAAACAAUUUUAUGGAUUUCAGGCCACUAAUUUAUAUGCUGUUAGCAGCCGAUAUGGCACUCCUGAUGAUUUCAAGCGGUUGGUUGAUGAAGCACAUGGUGAUCACUAUUCAUUCAAUUCCAUUCAUUUCAAUAACCUGUAACCUCAAAGAUUUUAUGUACGCUUUAGCAGUGGCUAUGUGAUUUUCUGCUUGGGCUGUUCAGCUUUGCAAAAGAUAUUUUACUUGCUGAAAAAUUCUUUUUGUAUUGCAUCACAUUUGAGCUUGACAUAUGAUAACAAAUGUAAAGGUCGCUGCUUAUAUUUUCAUGAUGCAUGGGUUUGCAUCUUGUUUGUAGAUUCCAAUUGUUGUAUAUCGAUGGCAUCAGUAAUAAAAAGUUGUCUGUCAGCUCUUUUAUUUAUUUUUAAGGAAAGAAAAAUAAUUGACAAAAAGAUAUGACGCCACAGGAUGACAAUAGCAUAAGCCUCUUUAGAUAACAAGUAUUUUCAGUUCAUGCUUCUUAAUAAUAAUAUUCAUGAAGAGAAUGCUAUUUCUCGACUGUUUUGGCAUCAAUAACAUGUUUCUUCCGCAUCUUUUCCCCUAUAUUAUUUACUGAACGAUUAAAGCUUACAAAAAGCAACCUACCUUCUUUACUUCACAGGACUAGGACUGCUGGUCUUCUUAGACAUUGUCCAUUCCUACUCAGCUGCAGAUGAGAUGGUUGGAUUGUCACUAUUUGAUGGAACAAAUGACUGCUACUUCCACACAGGUAUUUAUACUACUUGUGCUUGCUCUGUAAUUGACAGUAGAUCUCACUUGGGGUAGAUGCCUCAAAUUUGUUUCAUAGUGAGCCAAGAUAGAUUACGAUUACUAAGAAACCAGAACUGAUUGAAAUGCAAAAAAACUGACCCAAUCCAACACAAUAGAGAUUGGUUGGAUCUGAUCGGUAUGGGGGAAGAGAAUCCUAAGUGCUUGUCUUGAGAUCAAACCUAGAUCUGGGAGGAAUCAUACCCUGUUAAAAAAAUAAUAAAUAAGUAUACAAGCCAAAAAUUUUACGUCAUUAGGUGGAGAGGUCCCUUUAAUAUUUAUCAAGGGCUAUAUCGAACUAAUUGAAGAUUUCUUUCUUUCAUGGGACUGAAGUGAAUUGUUUAUCGAACUAGUUGUCAAACCUCAAAGACUGAUAGAAAGAUCUGGAACAUGGCCAUGAGGCUAUUAGAAUAGGCAGCUAGCCCUCCUGCUAUGUUUGUAGAGGCCAAAAAAAAAAAAGAAAAGGUCCCAAAUGCUUGAAGAGCCAACAUAAGUCAUAUUGUGGUAAUAUAUGAGGCAUGGGAAAGAGACCAACCAAAACCGAGCUAUGUAAUUGGAUUAAGUACUAUAAAGACUACCGUACCCAACACUUAUGCCAUGAAAUUAGUAAUAAUGGUAUCUAACCAAUGUGGGAUUAUUCUCUUUGGCAAUAUUGGCCUUUUUUCUCAUUUCAUAUAUCAUCUUGUUCUGCAAUCACAUUACUUUUUUAUAUAGGUAAACGGGGACAUCACAAGUAUUGGGGUACCAGAAUGUUUAAAUAUGGUGAUCUGGAUGUCCUGCAUUUCCUGCUCUCAAAUUUGAACUGGUAAAUGUGAAGCUCAACGAACGGUUCUAUGUUUUAAAACAUUAGUAGAGUUGCUUUCUUGCACCAAACCAAUCAUCAUUGAACUGCCUGAUUCAGUGUUCCAAUACCAUUUUAUCUGCUAUUAUUUUGUUUUUGGAAGUUAUAUGUUUCUUUCUUUCGUUUUGAUUCAGUGUGUUAUCUCAAUAAUAGCGAUUUUCUACAGGUGGCCCACAGAGUACCAAAUUGAUGGUUUUCAUUUCCAUUCACUCUCAUCAAUGAUGUAUACGCACAAUGGUUUUGCUUCUUUUACUGGUGACUUGGAGGAGUAAGGCAGUGAUUGAAACUUCCAUAAUUUCCUAUAUUAUUGUUUACACUUUAUAAUAACUGCCAAAGUUUCUUGGGCUUAACAAAGGCAUCGUGAGUUUCCAAGAUAUCGCUUAUAUGCUUAUCCUUUUGCUGAAUAUUUACAGUUUAACAAGCUGGAUUUGACAUGCAGUCUCUAUUAAUCAUAAUUGUAUUUUGUUUGUUUGUAAUUUAUGGUCUAUAUAAGAAAAGACCUCAACUGCCUCUGUUAAUAUGUUGGUGACUGAAUUACAUUGACCAAGAGAAAAAUUGGUUGAAUUAAGGAUGGAACAUAACUGGUAUGGAAAUUAAAUACUUUUCUAGGACUAGAAAAUGUAAACUUUUGUGUUCUAUGACCUACUAUGGUAUUUCAUAGUCAACCUCCUAAAUACUCUCUUUCAACUGAUUUCAGUGUUUUUCACCAUAUGUUAUGGUUCAGGCUAGCUAUGAACUCAAAACUCAAUCUUGCUAUUUUGGCAGGUACUGCAAUCAAUAUGUUGAUAAGGACGCACUAUUAUACCUCAUUUUGGCAAACGAGAUACUUCAUGCUUUGCAUCCAGAUAUAAUAACAAUUGCCGAAGAUGUGAGAAAUUGAUAUUUAAAUGUUUGUUUCUAGUAUGAGAACUCCUAUAAAGAAACUCACAAACAUUUGUUUUUCUUCUUAGAAGGCUCUGAAAAAAAAAAUUAGCACAUAGCUGCUAGUGGGGUCCAUAGUCCAGGUCAUAUUGGGAUAUUGGCUCUACCAAAAUUUAUAUUCUGAUUUUGUAUUCAAGUCGAGCAGCAGAUAUAUUGAUAUCAUUAAAGAUGAUUAAAAAAAACAGAUUUGAACCUUCUUUUUUUGCUGUUUUUUUUUCCAUGCAAAGUUUAGGGUUACAUAUGCAGAGACUUGCAAUUUUAAUUUCUCUUCACUCUAUCAAUUAAUGAAAUGCAGUCCAUUCAUUUAUUGAGGUGUUCAUGUUCUCACUGAAUUUAUUCAGUGCUAUGCAUAAUUUGUGGCUUCUACAGAGUUUUAUUCUUGAUAUAUUUUCCAGGCAACUUUCUAUCCUGGGCUAUGUGAACCAACCUCUCAAGGCGGGUUGGGAUUUGAUUAUUGUGUCAAUCUUUCUGUGUCAGAGAUGUGGUCAUCUUUUCUUGAGACUGUUCCAGACCAUGAUUGGAGCAUGACUAAGGUUGUAUUAUUUAAUUGUUAUAUAUUCUCUUAGAAUCAAGUGGGAUUGUGUCGUUUCCUUGUUAAUUUACUUACUUUUUUUCGCUUCCAUAAGGUGAAAAUUCAGUGAUGUUAACCUACAUUGCAGAUUGUCAACACAUUAAUGGGCAACAGAAAAUUUGCAGAUAAAACACUUGUGUAUGCUGAAAAUCAUAACCAGGUAUUAAUCUCUUGUACAUCAACAACUCUAUUGAGAUACCCUAAUCAUAAAUUCUAUACCUUGUUUUAAUUUAUUUGUGUUUGAUUUAUUGCUACACCGUGUUAUUACAUUCUGCAUGUCAGUCGAUAUCUGGAGGGCGGUCAUUUGCGGAGAUAUUAUUUGGUGAAAUCAGGGAUGGUUCCCAUGACACGGAGAAAUUACUGCUGAGAGGUUGUUCCUUGCACAAGGUAUGCUAUGUGCCUUCAAUAGUAAACACAUCUUUAUUAUCUUGAAAAUCAAAGUCUAACUGGCAGAAUUUGUGUACUGUUUUAUAUACAUACAUGCCCUCACAGAUGCAUUGCUUCUUAUAUACACAUAAUGCACAUCUGCAUGAAAACACAUGCAAUGAAUGCAACAUGUAAUGUGUAAAUUUUGUAAGCUGUUGUUCUCAUCUCAUGUUUUUGUUUGGUCUGUUUAUUUAUAUGUUCAUUUUCGGUCUUGAGCCAGAUGAUCAGGUUAAUUACUUUGACAAUUGGUGGCCGUGCCUAUCUCAACUUCAUGGGCAAUGAAUUUGGACAUCCAGAGGUGAGGUUACUGGCCCCUGCAUGACCAAGAACUUCAUUUCAUGUGACUAAUGAUCUUUCUCAUGUUGCAGAGGGUUGAGUUCCCAAUGCCAAGCAACAAUUUCUCGUUUUCACUUGCCAAGCGUAGGUGGGAUCUUCUUGCAAAGGAAGGAUUGCAUCGCAACCUGUUUAUAUUUGACAAGGUGUCAAAUAAUAACUUUUUGUUACCAUCUUAUUGCCCUGACAUGCUGACAUGUUAUGAUCUUCUGGCUGUCUUUCUGUGGCAUCUGCUGUUGUUAAUAGUUGCUGAAUACUAUCUAGUACAGGUUUCUAAUAAUUAAAAAUUCCCCCAUAAAUGCAGUUUCUCUAAUGUGUGCUCACUCUUGGUUUCACCAUAAGCCUGUUCAACUUAAAGUUACUAUUUUGGAUUAUUCUUAUGAACUAUUAAAUGGCCUCUGUCUUAAGUGACUGAUGUUCCGUGAUAUCAUGGUAGCAAAGUAAUUUUGAUCUUUCCUCUUUCCUAGGACUUGAUGAAUUUGGAUGAAAAUGAAAGAGUACUUACAAGAGUUUUACUCAGCAUUCAUCAUGUGAAUGACGAUAACAUGGUAUGAUGACUCUUCCAUUCAAUUACUUUGGUGUGCUUGCAUGCAUUUGGGAAAGAAUUUUGUGCCAUUUACUGAUUAAAAUAUUUCUUUCCCUUUACAGGUAAUAGCUUACCUAAGAGGCCCCCUUCUCUUCGUAUUUAACUUUCAUCCAACAGAUUCUUAUGAAGGAUACAGAAUAGGUGUAGAAGAGGCUGGAGAGUAUCAAGUAGGUUUUGACAAACAGCUUCUAGUAGUUUAUCAAGUAGAGACAGGGCUUUUAACUCUUAAUUUUUAUUGUUUUAUUUUAUUAUCUGUGUGCUGCCAUGAGUACAUGAAUUCUGGGAACAGAAGAACCAAGUAUUUUGCUUUUGAUGUCAAACAUUAUAUGUAUGCAUAGAACUGCGGGGCUUAAAUUAAAUAAAAAUCUUUUACUUUUCUGAUCACAGCUUGUACUCAAUACGGAUGAAAUAAAGUAUGGAGGUCAGGGACUUAUAAAGGAUGACCAGUAUUUGAGGAAAACUAUUAGCAAAAGGUUAGUGUUAACUUCCUUGACUCCACGACUACCUUUACAAUAUUUCUUAAUUUCUGUCUUUUAUCUUUGUGUGCAUGUUUUGGAAUUCAAUUCUGGUUACUUUCUUUGGUUCUGCCCUUUAUGUUGUUCUGACAUCUUGGUUCUGCAGAGGCGAUGGCCUCCGAAACUGCUUAGAAGUGCCUAUGCCCAGUAGGACUGCCCAGGUUGGUAAAUCUUUCUGCAGUUUUUCUUUUGUUAGUAUCUAGUUUUGUGGCUAUUAAUUUUCUUUGCUUUAGAUGGCUAGGGGAUGCAACAACUAUUGUAAAGGGCUUUUUUAUCUGUUUAGGACCAUACUUUGUUUUCAAAUUGUAUAUAGCCUCACUCAAUAAUUGACUGUUGUACUUGAUCUACUGCGUGCAUUUGGAUACAUAUUAAAUAAUUUUGGUACAAACACUAUAUCUUGAGGCAUUUUUGCUCUUGUACAUCCACAAUCUUGCUUUUGGUUCUGUUGUUUCAAGUCCCACUGAUACUGUGCGGGACCUAAAAGGCCAAAACCUCUUCUCACUAUGCACCAUGUGACCAAACUGUGUGAUAUACUGAAUAGUGGUGAAGAUUACAUUUUGACAUGAAUAUUUAUUAUGUUAAUUUUCUUAUUUGCAGGUUUACAAAUUAAGUAGAAUUUUGAGAAUAUAAAAAAUAUUGCACUCAGAGAGUAACUUGUAAGCCGACAUUCAAGCACGAAGGCUAACACUUACUACAUACCACUCAUCAAGUUAUAAAGUUUAUAUGGUUGCUCAUCACUUCUGUGAGUGGUCUGUGAGUGGCCUUGAUGGGAAAUCUCAUAUUUUAACAAGAAGAUUAAGCAUUGAAGAAGAAAGGUAGUUUGUUCGUCUAUUCUUUGCAUUACCAUGGUUCUUUAUUUUGGAGGCUUUGGCAUGUUGAUCUCAUUUCUUCCAAGUGAACUCAAGGAAGUGUAUGUUAUGAUGCAGCAAGAGGGUUCAAGCAGAAUAUUUGGAUGGGGCGAAUUGUGAGAUGACACUUCGAUUCCUAACUGUUUCUCUCACCCUCCCUCCUUAGAGGAGAAUGUAUAAAUUAGACAGGAGAAUGUAUUUAUAAUUUUCCCCCUUUUUUGUAUGAAGUUUGAGACUCAAGGGAACGUGUUGUCAACCAUAUACAAGAAAUAACAAUUAUAUUCUUAUUUCAUCAAAUAAUUUUGACAAUCAAUUUUUGAAAACUAAAGUUGUUAUAGUAAUUAGACAGUCGCUUUAAAGACUUUUAAAAUGCUCACUUUUUUUGCAAAGGCCUUGUGGUUAAGAGUAGUUAUCCAUGCAUACAGUCGUGUGUUCAAAUCUCCCUCUCCCAAUAUCAUUUGUGUCAAGAAAAAAAUGGCCAGUUUCUCUACGUAAUAGUCAUCAUUUUCCAUGUCAAACAUACAUGAGUUGAUGCAAUUAAUGGUCAAUCCAAAUAUGUUAAACAUCAUGUUAUAUUCGAGUUGACAUUUAUUGACCGAGUUAUCUUACUAAUAUGAGUACAUAUCAUACAUUAAGUUCAUGCAAUUAGUGGUGAAACCAAAUAUGCUAAUAUUUUGUUGAGUUCAAGUUAACUUACUAUAAAUAAAUAAAAAUAGUCGAGCUAGCAUGCCAUGUCACAAAUGAGUUCAUGCAAUUAAAGAUCAAUCCAAAUAUUUUAGUGUUAUGUUGGAUUAUACGGUUCUAUCAUAAUGAGCUAACGAGUCAUGUUGUAUAUGUUUUUGAGUAAUUAAUGGUCAAUUCAAAUUUGUUAAGAACCAUGUUAGAGUCGAGUUGUGUUCUAUAUGACUUCGUGCAAUUAAUGGUCCAUUCAAAUUUGUUAAGCAUCGUGUGGGAUUUGAGCUGUAUUCUAUCUUAAGAAGCUAGGGGUUCGUGUUGUAUAUGAGUUUGUGCAAUUAAUGGUCAAUUCAAAUUUUAUAAGUGUCAUAUCGGAUUCGGGUCGUGUUGUAUUACAACUAGCUACGGAUUGUGAUGUAUAUGAGUUCAAGCAAUAAACGGCUAAUCCAAAUUUCUUAAGCAUCAUGUCCGAUUUGAGUCAUGCUCUAUCAAAACAAGUUAGGGGGUCAUGUCGUAUAUGAAAGUUCGUACAAUUAAUGAUUAAUCCAAACUUAGUAAGCAUCAUGUUGAAUUUGAGUUGCAUUUUAUCUAACUAGUUAGAGGGUCGUAUCUUAUAUGAGUUCAUGUAAUUUACGGUCAAUGUAAAUAUAUUAUAUGUAUUGUCGAAUACUAGUUGAAUUAUCGUAUCUAAAGCAAUGUCGUAUAUGAUUUUAUGCAAUUAAUAUUCAAUCUAAAUAUGCUAAAUGUCAUGUUAAUUCGAGUUGUGUUAUCUUAUCGCGAUGCAAAUUAUUAAGUAAUUGCGCUUGAGAGCUUUAAAUUGCUCUCAUGGGACAGAGUGGAGCGUAGACACUUUCUUUUUGAAGCUAAGUACUUUAUUUUCUAGCGAAGCUGAGGUGUCACUUCAUGUAACUCAAAUGUAAGGGUCAUUGCCACGCGCAUGUAAAGUACGUGGCUUUAAAUAUAAAUCCAAUUCCUCGUCUCGAAAUUGAACUUGUCUUCUACACACUCUCUCUCACUCUUUCUCUCCCUCAACGGAAACUCGUAGAAAAUUGGAAACUGUGAGAAACUGAUGGUAAAAGUUUCAAGCUUUGAAAGUCUUCUGCUAUGAAAUGCCGAAUCUGCGCUAGUUUCUUUACAUGAGCGCACCGUUUGGAGACCCGAUCGCUUCUAAUUCCAGUGCAGCCGGAGCUCAGCCUAACAAGGAGCCAAAAAUGGCGUCAGCUGAGCAAUUGGUGCUCGAACUCAGUAACCCUGAUCUUCGUGAAAAUGCCCUCCUUGAACUCUCGAAGGUAUAAUCUUUUGGCUAUAUUCGUUUCUAAAUUCAGUUCCUCUGUCUUUGAUUGGUUCCAUUUAGGGUUUUAUUUUCUUUUUUGUUUAUGGGGUUUUGGGCUUGAAGGUAUGAUCAAGCUUAAAAUCUGGGGUUGUUUGUAAUUUGGAUUCUAUUUAGCUUUCUUUUGUUUUAUCAUCAUUUCGUUGCUGUGUGAUUCUGUGUAUUUGAUGAGAACCCAAGGAAAAGGGGAAAAAGAUAGAUAGUUCUACAUAAUAUGUGUUUCAUGCGCAAAGGGGGUUCUUUGCGUUUUUCUUUUUUUCCAUUUAAGAAAAUUAGCAUCGUUGUAGUCACAGCAUGCAUGUGGGACCCACCUACUAUAAUUAUUCCCCGGGUAGGAUAAAAAUUCCAAGUUUGAUGCAUUUCUUUCAUGUUUCCAGGUAUACAUUCCUUAAUUAUGUUUAAUCAAUUUCCUUUUUAGAUGGAAUUUUUAACUUUUGCACUAAGGUGGUAUUUGAAAAAGUUCAUAGCUGGAAACUGUUGUGUGUUUCUGGAUUGGGAAUAGUGUAGUGGUUGCUGAGAGUAUAUCUCACAUGCGGGAUGUAAGGCCUUGCAUUGCAUCGUGGGCCUCUCCACCCGUUUCCUAUUGGUUUUGGGUUGGAUGCUCUAGUUCUGUCAUGUAUCUGUCAGGCCCAACGGCUACACAUGCUCCCGCAUCGAUUGAUAUCUGUGUCACACUGCACUUGAGGGUGUGUGUUGAGAGUAUAAAUCCCAGGUUGGAAAUGUCACACUAUAUAAGAUCUUGGGUGUCUCCAUCCAUUUCCAAUUGGUUUUGGGUUGGAUGCUCCGCUCUGUUUCUAUCAGCGGUGAGGGAAUUGAAGUGAUAUAGAUACUAUUAUAACAUACUAAACGGGCUGCAUAAUUUAGUAAUUUUUCUUUAUUAGUUUGGGUUUUUCAUUGUCUACAACAAUAGUGACAGUUACACUUGCUUAGCUUAUGUCACACUCGACGUGAGGAGGGUGUUGAGAGUGUAAAUCCCACGUCAUACUUUAUAAGAUCUUGGGCGUCUCCAUCCAUUCCCAAUUGGUUUUGGGUUGGAUGCUCUGCUCUAAUUCAAACAGGUGAGGGAAUUGAAGUGAUAUAGAUAUCAUUAUAACAUACUAAAUGGGCUGCACAAUUUAGUAAUGUUUCUUUAUUAGUUUGGGUUUUUCAUUGUCUACAACAUUAGUGACAGUUACAUGUCAGAUCUGGAAAAAGACUUGGUUUCUAUGCAUAAGCUCUUUGGCCAAAGGAUUAUUGUUCCCGCCUAUUGUGAAGAGCCAAACAGUGCCUUGAAGCACUUACUCCGAAGAUUAUUUUGUUCAAAUUUUCUUUUCUUUUUUAAGGGAUUUAAAAAAAAAAAUUCAUUAUGAUUAUACCCGUUCGAUAAAGUUGCCACCCCCGUGAGAGCUAUGCACAUGUUUUCUUAACGGAGUAAAUUUUUAAGUUGUAACUGUUGAACAUUUUUGGGCUGCAAAUAGACUUGCAUCUGCCUUCUGGUUUUGAUGGUCUUUUUUAAUAAAAUUUGGCAUUCUCAUAUUCAUUUUGGUACUUUUAGUGCGCUAUGUGUAUUCCUGGUUAACCCUCCUUAUCUCUUCUCUUUUUCAAUUUGUAGAAGAGAGAAUUAUUUCAAGAUUUGGCUCCAUUGUUGUGGAAUUCUUUUGGUACUAUUGCUGCUCUGCUACAGGUAAGCUUGUUGUGGCAUUCUUAUUGAAUUGAAUUUUUUUUUUUUUUCCGCUUGUUUUGUAAAAAUGUCUAUCUACAAAGGUAGCAUUUUUGGCACAUGCUUUUAACUUGUUUUCAUUUUUCUUCUAUAUUGAACUUACCUUGUGUGCUAUACAUAUGUCCAUGCAUCAUUGACAUUCCAGCGUUUGACUGCCUGUUUGAUAAUCAACACUACUGGGCACUCUUUUGUCUUACUUCCUGAUCAUGGAUUCUCACUCUGUUUUCUCAUCCUGUGUGCAGGAGAUAGUUUCAAUUUACCCUGUUCUGUCACCACCAAAUUUAACUCCUGCUCAAUCAAAUCGAGUUUGCAAUGCUCUAGCUCUUCUUCAGGUCCAUUGAUGUCGCCUUUUAAAUUAUUUAUUGUGGAUGCACUUAUUUCAUUCUGAACAACAGUUAUGUUCUAUUUAAUGGAGUUGGCCCAUAUUUUACAUAUUUUAUUAUUAUUGUGUGUUUCAUUUUCCUUUUGUAUUAUCUUGUAGUGUGUGGCUUCUCACCCAGACACAAGGAUGUUAUUCCUCAAUGGUAAUAACCUUUAUUUUGUUUACAUUCAAAGGCUUCAAAUUUCCUUCUUAGAGUGCUGGUACAUAUAAGCAUAAUUUUCUCAAGCAACUUCGAGUACUUGAGGUUUAAAUUUCCUUCUUGUGCUGGUACAUUUAAAUUUUAAAUAUUAUAAGAAAGGAUUAUUUCAUCUGAGAUUUUGUCCUUGGCAGCUCAUAUACCUUUAUAUUUGUACCCUUUCCUUAAUACAACAAGCAAGUCAAGGCCUUUCGAGUACUUGAGGCUUACUAGCUUAGGUGUCAUUGGUGCCUUAGUGAAGGUAUGCUAUUCUUGCUGCCAUGUUAUUGCACAAACUGAUAUGUAUAUUUGUCUUUUUAUUUGUUUGUGUGAUAAAAUGUGUUGCAAUAAAUUGACAACAUGAUAUCCAAGUAUAACUUGAUGACACUUAGUCUGUUAUGAGUGUGAACUACGAACAAGAACAUGGUUGAUUCUGUAGUAUUGCUUUAUUUGCAUAAGUAUUAGAUUAUCCUCCAUUUGCUUUUGUAUCAAAUUAAAUAUGCAUGACUGCUUAUCAUUUGUAAUAUUUUCGUACACAUGCACUUUUCUGUGCAGUUCUUCCCCUCACUCUUUCCCACACAUGAACACAUGAACACUUGAAACCUGAAAAGGAGAAUUAUGUUACCAUGAUAGAUCCUGCUAUUUUGAUAAGAAGUAUUCAGCAUUUUUAUGGAAGUCAUGUCACAGUAUAUUUGGAAAUUGGAAUAUUAAUUCUUUUACUCCUCUUUACCAGGUCGAUGAUACAGAAGUGAUUAGUUUUCUUCUGUCAACAGAAAUAAUUCCACUGUGCCUGCGCACUAUGGAAAUGGGUAGUGAACUCUCAAAAACAGUUGAGUGUCCUUUUCUAUCUUUUCACUUUUUUUCCAUCUGUAUAUGCAUCAUCCGAUCUUCGUAUAGCUUACUGUACAGGGUCCUUCCCCUAUUGCUUGAGUUUGGAUGUAAGGUAUGUAAUUGCCUGACAAAAGGUUUUCUUCUGGCAGGUGGCCACAUUUAUUGUUCAAAAGAUUUUGUUAGAUGAUGUGGGCUUGGAUUAUAUUUGUACUACAGCUGAGCGGUUUUUUGCAGUAGGUCGAGUCUUGGGAACCAUGGUAGCAUCACUUGCUGAGCAGCAUUCAUCGCGCUUAUUAAAACAUAUUAUCCGAUGUUAUCUUCGAUUGUCAGAUAACGCAAGGUUGGUUAAAUUAAGUAGAUUCUUUUUUGUGUGUUUUUAAUUUCUCUUGUUUAUGAUUUUAUAGACCUGUUCUUUGUCUGUUAUCAUGCAGGGCUUGUGAUGCUUUAAGAAGUUGUCUUCCAGAGACAUUAAGAGAUGCUACCUUCAGUGGUUGCCUUCGUGUAAGAACUUCUUUGCCUACCUAUGUUGUUCAAUUCAUACUUGAUCUUAAUUGGUAUUCUGGAGAAAAGUAAAAAUUAGCCUGUUUCAUGACUGGCAAUCAUUAAGGUGUUUGCCAAGUCAUAUCACACCCUACUUUCUGAAAAUAAGUUAGCAUAACUUUGUCCAAUGCAUGUUUUGGUGUUCUUCAUGGUAGUUAGCCCUACUGUUGUUUUUCUUACGUUUGUUUUUUAGGGAUACGUUAAUACUUAUUGUAGCCCACUUGAUUUCAGUUUCAAUGUUUCCAUUAGGUGGUUUCAAAGUGCCUUGAUACCAGUUACCCUAAACUGUUGGUACACAAUAUAACAUGAUGUUCACAUGCAGUAAAAUUCGUCACGUUUCUCCCCAGAAUACGAAUAAAGUCAAUCUUUUUGAAUGAAUUCUUUGUUGUAUUUUACAAAAUCACUGAUUCUAGUUUCUAUUUUUUGUCUUCAUAGAUCAGUUAUAGUUUGCGAGAUAUUAAAAAAAAGAAAAAGGCUUUCAGUCAGAUAAACUUUUAGACCCAAUUGUCUGGAUUAACUUUUGCUUUCAGUUUCCCCUACUGUUUUGUAUAGACCCAAUUGUCUUGAUUAACUUUUGCUUUCAAUAUCCCCUAUUGUUUUAUUUCGACCCAAUUGUCUGGUUCACUUUAGAAGUUAAUUGUUUUCAUCCAUGGUUUCAGGAAGAUCCAACUACAAGGAGAUGGCUGCAGCAGUUGCUUCACAAUGUUGCGGUUAGUCGGGUUCCUGCACUUCAGGCCGGAGGAGGGUUUGAUCAUAUGAUGGUGAACUAAUAUAAAUAAUUCAAUGUUGUCCUUGGGCUGCCAUCUGCUGUUUAGGCAUCAGAGAGGGCUGCAUGCUUCUUAUUUAUCUACCUCAGUGCUAAUGGGAAAAUUUCAUCUUUGUAAUUACAAAAUGUUUCUUCUGUAAACUUUGCCUGAAAAGGCGAAGCUUUUAACUAUUGACUUCCAAGAGAAAUCAAUUGUUCCCAGAAGAAAUUGUCUUCUUAGCUGAUUUCAUGUGUAAUUUUUUGAAUUGUUCGGUUUAUUUAACAAACCUCCAUUACGGCAAAAUUAUUCCUAAUAAAGUCAGCCUUUCUUUUGACACAUUUUGUUUUCUAUACAUUGUACCUGGUUUUGGGGCUUCUAGUCUCAAUGGCAGGAGAAAAACUUGGUUGCAAUGGGAUAACACUAUUUUGCUAAUUCCGGUCAAUAUCCCAUUUUGCUAAUCCUGGUUAAUAAUGCUGUCACGUUAAAAAAUCAUCACGCGUGUCGGCAUUAUUGGUCUCGUUCCAUGCAAGUGUUAAUCCAGUGGUAGAGCAUUUUACUUGGAAAUGUGGUUUGGCUUCUAACAGCGGUGGAUUGUAAUUUUGUGUGUUCUUAUAAAUAUAUUUUUCUUUCUAUUCAUGUCCCAUUGGGAUUUGCAUUGCGGGAUGUAAAUGUGAUUUUUUUGGGUACUAAUUCGUUUCCCUCUGAAUUUUUGUGUGUUAGAUUUCAUCCCAUAGAUUUUAGUUCGAAUCCGUUUGUCUAAAUUGAAAAUAAAAUAAAAUAAAAUUCAGAUCCGUUGGAUGAAAUUGCAGUUACAACCUCCUCCAAUUUUGGUUAAAAUCUGGCCGCCCAAUUUCAAUGCAUCCUAGUAGUUCAUCAAGUAACCGUUGGUGAAGAUACUCUCAAGUAAGGUCUAAAAUAUUGAUAAUAUGGGCAAAAUAUUGGGGAUUUAUCCUUUUUUUGGGAGGAGGAUAUUUUGGAACCUAUCCAUACAAUUAUAGCAUAAGUAUCGAUAAUUUCAGGGAAAUUUCGGAUUCGAGAAAAUAUUGGGAUAUUAUCGAUAAUAUGUAUAUGGAAUGGAAAAAGGAAAAAAAACUCAUAGCCACACGCUGGGGAUUCGAUGCAUUUUGAGAUGAAAUCGAACGGCUCAUGGAAAGAAUUCGAGACCCAAUCUUCAAAUAAUUUUGCUUAUGUACAACGUCAACCAAUCUGGGAGCCAUCUGAGUGACAUGUUAACAAUUAUAUGCAAAAAUAUUUUGGGAAUUUAUCAUUUGAUAACUAUUCUUCACAGUACACGUACUCUACACAUAGAGAUUAUGAAGACAAUAAAAAUUUUGAAUCUCAUAGGAACUCUAUGUGGUAUUAAGUCACUCAGGUAUCUCACUAUGCGAUGUAUAAGGUGUAAAAUAUUGUAAUAAAUUAUUAUAAAUAAAUGAUUAUGGUGUAUUUAAUCUUCUCUCAUUAAUUACUACAUGUUUUCUAUGUUUGUCAGCUUGCUAUUGACACCCCAUUAUUUGCUAUUUGUACCCCAUACUAAUUUUAAACAUGAAUAACUUAUUUUACCCUUGUACAUAAUUACCGUUAAGGACAAAAAAUAUUUAAAAUACAAAUUAAAUUUGCUCACUAUACCCCACAUAUAUUCUUGCAACCCUAGUUAGACUUUUUUCUCAAACCUUGCACUUAUUUCGGUUGUGUUAAACUAGGUUCGAACCAUACAUUCACAAAGUUGAAGAAAUCAAACCUUGGCUUUUCGGAGGAUUUUGAGGUAAGAUGGAUUUGUGACGGGGGUGAGAUCGCUUGGCUGUGAUGGGGUGAGGCGAUUGGGGUUGGGGUGUGCGAUGGCUCUGUUUCAAAUGGGAUGAGGUGUGCGAUUGGGGUUAGGGUUUGUGAUGGAGUUUGUUGUAAAUCGGGUGAAGUGUGCGAUGGGGUGCAUUUGAAACGCCAGGGGGUUUGUGAUGGGGUGUGUUUGCAAGAGGAUGAAGUUUUUAAUGGGGUGAGGUUUGAUAUGGGAUGAGAUUUACACAGGUAAAUUAAGUAAUGGGGUUCAUGAGGGAAUUUAAGAAGAAAAAUGGGGUGUAGUGAGUAAUUUUAAAUUUUACUAAAAUUCAGUGGGGUGUAAAGAGAAUGUGGGGUACAAAUAGCAAAUUUUAUGGUGCCAAUAAAAUCAUCUUAUAAUUAACUUAAAUCAGUCAAACUCACCAUGCAAUGCAUUUCUUUUCAAUUUUAUUUUAUUUUACGAUAAUAAAACAAUAAAUAAUUGACUAAAUAAACAUUCUCUAAAAUUUCAAUCAAAAUUUUCAUAGUUUUUAUUCAAUCUUUACCAAUAUCAAUAUUUUUCUAAUAUUUCCAUUACAUGUCGAUGGUUUCGAACAACUGAUAUUUUCCAAACCCUCGAUAUUUUAGUUUCGUCACUAUAAAUUGUAAAACGACUACAGUCAAAACUUGCAUUCCCAGCCAACCAACACGAAUCAGGUGCUUCAACUUCAAAACGACACCGCAGAGAGUUGUCUUCCACUUCAAACUCAUCAUACUCUUUCUGCAACCGAAAAAACUCAAUUCUGCAAGCAAAUCGUGAUCCCCAUCAUGAAUCGCAGCGUACAGCAUCCAUCACCAGAAAUGGGGCAGUCGGUGUCAGCCGUGGAGCAAAUCCUGGGCUACAAUUUCACGGACAAGAGGCUUCUAGAAGAAGCUCUGACCCACCCCUCAUACACCGAAUCGGCGUCGUAUCAGCGCCUGGAGUUCAUCGGCGAUGCCGCUGUCAGCCUCGCGCUCAGCAACUACUUCUUCCUCUCUAAUCCUGGGGUCGACCCUGGCACCCUCUCUCUGCUACGCUCCGCCAACGUCAGCACCGAGAAGCUCGCACGUGUGGCCGUGCGCCACGGCCUUUAUCACCACCUUCGCCACAAUGCACCUGCUCUCCUAAAUAAGGUAAUUACUUACUAUUAACUACUUCUUCCUUUUUUUCUCUCUCUCUCUUCUUUAUUUUUUUAUUUUUUCCUUCUGUUUCUCAAGCAAUUUCAUUUGUAUGCUUCUCUGUUUUGUGUGUUGGAACUGCUUAAUUAUUUCGUAAAUAUGAGUUUUUUUAGUUUUUUUUUCUAGUGAUAGCAGAAGUUGGUGAAAAGAAUUUAGAAUUGUGUCUAAAUUGUUUUUUUGUAUAUGAGGGUGAAUGUUUAAACAAGGGGGAAGUUUUUUUUUUUUAUUCCUUCCCUCUUCCCCUGUUUUUCUGGGUAAUUUUUCUUUAAAAGGAUUUGGAUUAUUAAAUGAAAUGGUUUGAAGUCUGGGUUUUGUUUGCGAUUUGUUUCUAAAUUUCAGGUUAGGGAGUUUACUGAAGCUGUCAAUGGAGAAGAUGAGACACCGCUUGUAUAUGGUGGCUCUGUAAAAGCCCCUAAGAUUCUUGCAGAUAUUGUGGAGUCUGUGGCAGCUGCUAUUUAUGUUGACUUGAAUUUUGAUCUGGAGAAACUGUGGAUGGUGUGUAUCUUUAUUUGCUUCUCUUUGUUUUAAACGAAAGUGAAAAGCUUGGUUUUGCUAAGUUUGUAUAAAAGUUUUAGCAAUUUGGCUAUAGACUAUAGUAUAACCUUUGAACUUGUAAUUGUUGUGUAUAUUUGUAGAUAUUCAGGGGUUUGUUGGAGCCUAUAGUUACUCUAGAAGACUUGCAAGGUCAACCGCAACCGGUGACAAUGUUGUUUGAGCUUUGCCAGAAGCAUGGGAAGCAUGUUGAUAUCAAACAUUGGAGAGAUGAGAGGAAGAGUAUUGCUAGUGUGUAUGUUGAUGGAGAAUUUGUUGCUUCGGGUUCUUCUGAACAUAAGGAAUUUGCCAAGCUUGAUGCUGCUAAGGUAGCUGUUGAUAAGUUAUCGCCAUCAAUGGGUGUAAAUGAUGAGUCGUUUGAAGGUGUUGUCUUAAUGGAUGGGUCAUUUCAUAUUGAAGAAGCAAAACAGAAGUUGCAUGAGAUUUGUGACCAGAAGAAGUGGCCUAGACCAAUUUACCAGUAUGAAUCUUUACGUUAUCAUGAUUUUCUGUUGUUGUCAAUUCUAUUUGUUAAGCAGAGCCAUAUUGGUUUUUCUGUUGCAGCAUUGAGAAAGAUGAAGGUCCUUCACAUGAGAAGAGAUUUAUGUCCUCAGUUAAAAUUUCAACUAUAGAUGGGGUGCUAUACAUGAAGGGAGAUGAAAAGUCGAGAGUAAGAGAUGCAGACAAUUCUGCAGCUUCCUUGAUGAUCCGGGCUUUACAAGAAUAUCGUUAUAUAUGACGCAACGCUCUACCUACUGCAUUUGAAGGCAUAGGUUGGAUGGAAAUUUACAUAUUUAAACUUCAGAGAAAGCAAGAAUUGCCAUGGACUUUAGGAAAUUGCUGUGUUUCAAUGCCUCAUGGAUGCUAAGGCUUGUAAAUUUCAGAUGGUACAAAGCUCACCUUCAAUGUAAAAAGCUUUUAACGUUUGGUUUGGCAGACGCACUUAAUUUUAAAUUUACCUGCAAGCUUCUCUGGCAUUCCCACAAUUUACAUGCUAGUUUGUACUUGCAUGCAGAGUACAGAGCCCAACUGCUUCAACAUCCAAACGACAACACAAACAUUAAACCCUGUCGUUCUCGGCUCUCAGAUAAACAAGGACAGAUUAGUCUGAGUAUUUUUAAAUUCAAAAUUCUCAAUCCCCAAAUUCUAUCAUGGGAUACAGAUUUUUCAUCAGCCAAUUCCCAACAUAACAUGAGCCCUGUUUCUCAUUUUCGUUUUCUUAAACGUCUCAUGUUCAAACUCUAUUGACUUACUGAUAGUGUGUGAGAAACCACCCUUAUAUCACUUGUAUAAAAAAAAUGAAAAAAAAAAAAUCUUUUUGGUCCUUGCUCUACUAGCUGAACUCAGGUUUCAUCACUUCAAUUUUCUAGCCUCUUUUUGGACAAUUUCCACACAAAUCGUGGGUUAUUGGCUACACUGUUCUACCUUUACUCUUUUGCUUUUUCUUCAAUAUUACGUUUCCUCUCUAAGCUAUAAUUGGUUUCAUCACUUUAACAAACUUCAAACCACGAAUUCAUCAACAAGAUGAAGGUCUUCACCACCCCAACAUCCCUUGAUCGUGUACUUGAGCCGUCACCGGACAUGAAAGAGUCAGUGAUGGCCGUGGAGAAGAUCGUAGGCUACAACUUCAAGAACAAGAAGCUUCUAGAAGAAGCUCUCACCCACCCCUCCGUCGCUGGGUCCGCUUCCUAUCAACGCCUCGAGGUCCUCGGCGACAGCGCUCUAAACCAUGCAGUGACCAACUACUUCUUUUGUAUGGCUGACCACCAAAAGUUCACCCAAGGCCAAAUCACUAAGCUACGCUCCGCCAAUGCUGGGAACCUCAACCUCGCCCGCGUCGCCGUUCAUCAUGGGCUUUAUCGCUACCUUCGCCGCCACAAUACAGCUGAUCUUGAUGAUCAGGUCUUUUUCUUUUUUAUUUUAGUCAAGCGUUUUCUGAUUCUGAGUCUGAUUGUUUAUAUAUUUUUUUUCAAACCUUUCUUUUUUAAUUUUAAACUUUUAGGUUAGGGAGUUUACUGAAGCUGUAACUAAUGGAGAAGAAGAGCCGGGGCUUGUAUAUUGUAAAUCUGAAGAAGCCAAAGUUCUUGCAGAUAUUGUUGAAUCCGUGGCAGCUGCUGUUUACAUCGAGUUGAAUUUUGAUCUCGAUAGACUAUGGAUGGUGUGUAUUUAUAUUUAUCUUCUUUUAUUUAACAUGAAAGCGUGAAAAAUUUUGUUUAUAAGUUUGUAAAUGCGUGGAAGUUGGGCAUAACUAUAUAUAACUUACGAAUUUUUGUUGUUUUCCUGUUGUGCUUUUGUAGAAAUUUAAGCCUCUUUUGGAGCCUAUAUUUACUCUUGAAAACUUGCAUGACCCCACGACAGAAUUGAAUGAGUUUUGCCAGAAGAACGGGAAGCGCUAUCAAAUCAAGCUGCGGCCGAGACAUGAGACCCGAGAUGUAAGUAUUGCUGAUGUCUAUGUUGAUGACGAGUUUGUUGCCUCAGGUUGGUCUAACAAGAAGAAAGGUGCAAAGCGCAACGCUGCUAUAGAAGCUGUAAAUAAGUUGUUUCAAUCGGUGGUUGUUGACGAUGGGUCGUUCCAAGGUAGUGCAGUUGGAAACAACAUGUCAUUUCGUAUUGAAGAAGCGAUUCAGGGGUUGCAUGUGCUUUGUGUCAAGAAGAGGUUGCCUAAACCUUCAGAAUACAAGUAUGAAUCUUUACUUUAUGAAACCCGUUAUAUAUUGCUGGAAUUAUGUUGUAAAUUCUACUGUUAACUAGAUCCAUAUUUGUUCUUCUAUUGCAGAGAAGAGAACGUGUUUGGUCCUCCACAUGAGAAGAAAUAUGUAUACUCAGUUAAAGUGGUAACUUCAGAUGGUACCGUGCAAUCUGUGACGGGAGAUGAAAAGCCAAGGAAAAAAAAAGCGAUGAAUUCUGCAUCUUACAAGAUGAUCCGUGCUUUACAGCAAAGAAGCUAAUAAUAUGGUCAACAGCAAAGAAGCUGAUCGUAUGAUCAACACCAAAGCUUCGAAUGAUCAACAGCAAAGAAGCUUAUCAUACGAUCAAGACCGAAGAAUCCGAUUGCAUGAUCAAGAUCAAAGAAUGGGAUUGCAUGAUGGGUUAUAUUCCCUCACUCUACAAAGUUUGGGCUAAGGCCAUAGGGUGAUAAUAAGUCUCUUGGUUUUUUGUUUGAAGGGAAUACGCCUGCUAGUUUGUUUAUCCUUAUGUGUGUUACUUACACUAGUUAUUGUCUCUGUUUUAUCCAACUUGGUUAUCUUUUGCCAAGGGGUUAAGUAAUUCCUAUUAAGUGUCAUGAGGUGAAGGUCUCCUUCAAUUUACCUAUAUAUGUAUAAAUUCCUUUAGCCGGACUUGGCAAGGCAUGUGAAGAAGAUAAUCUCAUUGUCUCUAUAAUUUCUACAGUUCUCUUUUCCAAAAUCUUCCACACCUGCACCAUUAUACGUGCUUAAUUGUAUAUGUGGUUCCUCUAUGUACUGCCACAAGGGUCUUCUUGUUUAAAACACUCCGGUAGACAUAUUCACUGACCCAAAAGAAAGGGCAAGAAAGAGGAAGGAGAGGAGGGGUAGUGAUGCUUCUUCCUCCUCCCCCUCCAUGGAGUUUUUCUUUAGGACUCACAGAGGGAAAAGUGCGGUUAGGGUUUUCAAAACUUAACCUGAAAUUGGUUUCAAGUUCUACUUGCAAGUAAGCACCAAUUGGUUGAUGAUUUGAUUUGAGAGUAGUUGUUUGUAAUUGUAGCUGGAUUAUCAUACUUGGAUCCCACUACAUUUUUCAUUCUCUAAUCUUCUUGCUUCUAAUAUCAGCUUUAUUUCUAUCUGUUGAUCACCGUUUAUUUGUAGAAAUUAUCAACAUGAGAGGUUAUCGAAACAGAGGUUCUAGUUAUCCUAAACUAUACAAGUGAUAAGGUAGGAAUUAAAUAAUUAUCUCAAGAUGAGAUGUCGCUUGUAUAUGGUGGGUCUGUAAAAGCCCCUAAGAUUCUUGCAGAUACUGUGGUGUCUGUGGCAGCUGCUAUAUAUGUUGACUUGAAUUUUUAUCUGGAGAAACUGGUGGGUGAUGUGUAUCUUUAUUUGCUUCUCUUUGUUUUAAACGAAAGUGAAAAGCUUGAUUUUGCUAAGUUUGUAAAAAAGUUUUAGCGAUUUGUCUAUAGACUAUAGUAUAACGUUUGAACUUUUGUUAUUGUUGUGUAUACUUGUAGAUAUUCAGGGGUCUAUUGGAGCCUAUAGUUACUCUUGAAGACUUGCAAGGUCAACUGCAACCCGUGACAAUGUUGUUUGAGCUUUGGCAGAAGCAUGGGAAGCAUGUUGAUAUCAAACAUUGGCGAGAUGAGAGGAAGAGUAUUGCUAGUGUGUAUGUUGAUGGAGAAUUUGUUGCUUCGGGUUCUUCUGAACAUAAGGAAUGUGCCAAGCUUGAUGCUGCUAAGGUAGCUGUGGAUAAGUUAUCGCCAUCGAUGGGUGUAAAUGAUGAGUCGUUUGAAGGUGUUGUCUUAAUGGAUGGAUCAUUUCAUAUUGAAGAAGCAAAACAGAAGUUGCAUGAGAUUUGUGACCAGAAGAAAUGGCCUAGACCAAUUUGCCAGUAUGAAUCUUUACGUUAUCAAGAUUUUUCUGUUGUCAAUCCUAUUUGUUAAGCAGAGCCAUAUUGGUUUUUCUGUUGCAGCAUUGAGAAAGAUGAAGGUCCUUCACAUGAGAAGAGAUUUGUGUCCUCAGUUAAAAUUGCAACUAUAGAUGGGGUGCUAUACAUGAAGGGAGAUGAAAACUCGAGAGUAAGAGAUGCAGACACUUCUGCACUUGAUGAUCCGGGCUUUAAAAAGCUCUACUUACUGCAUUUGAAGGCAUAGGUUGGAUGGAAAUUUACAUAAUUUAAACUUUAGAGAAAGCAAGAAUUGCCAUGGACUUUAGGAAAUUGCUGUGUUUCAAUGCCUCAUGGAUGCUAAGGAUUUGAGCCUUUAACGUUUGGUUUGUGCUUGUAAAUUUCAGAUGGUCCAAAGCUCACCUUCAAUGUAAAAAGUGUUGAGAGUGUUUGUCCCACAUUGAAAUGUUAAGGGACCUAGCCUGGGUUUAUAAGGAGUUGGGCAACUCCCCCCAUUGCCAAUUGGUUUUGGGGUGGAACCUCAACUUCCUUCAUGGUAUCAGAGCAAGGCUUCACGUGUUGAGCCCAACAGCCACACGUGCUCCCACGUCACCCAAUAUGUGUUGUCCACGUGUUAGGCUUGAAAGUUCGCCACACGUGCGGGGGCGUGUUGAGAGUGUUUGUCCCACAUUGAAAUGUUAAGGGACCUAGCCUGGGUUUAUAAGGAGUUGGGCAACUCCCCCCAUUGCCAAUUGGUUUUGGGGUGGAACCUCAACUUCCUUCAAAAAGCCUUUAACGUUUGGUUUGGCAGACGCACUUGUUUGUAAAUUUACCUGCAAGUUUUUCUGGCAUUCCCACAAUAUACAAGCUAGUUUGUACUCGCACGCAGAGUACAGAGCCCAAGUGCUUUGAACAUUCCAAACGACAGCUCAAUAAUUAAACUUUGUCGUUCUCUCGGCUCUCAGAAAAGCAAGGGCAGAUUAGUCAGAGUAUUUUAAAUUCAAAAUUCCCCAAUUCGAUCAUAGGAUGCCGAUUUUUCAUCACCCAAUCCCCACAUGAGCCCUGUUUCUCUUUUUCUUUUUAUUAAAUAAUCUUUUUAGUCUCACGUUUCGAACUGUUAUCAUACAUUGGCGGUGUGUGUAAGAAAUACCUCAUCCUACAUUGUUUGUAUGUAAAAAAAAUAUUUUCUUUUUGGUCCUUUACUUUACAAGCUAAACUUAACGCAUAUCUAAUGAAUGAGGCAAACGAGUAGGUAAAUCUUAUUAGCAUCUCUUAGGGAAUGGGUAAAUAGGCAGGCCAAAUAUACUUAUUCCCCUAACAACGCAAUGUUGCCUACUUCAUGAGGCAAAUGAGUAGGUAACAUGCAAUCUAAGAGUAUCUUCAAGGGAAGAGACAAAUGAAAUAGGCAAAAUUGCAUUAUAACAACCUAGGUGACAUAUUACUUACCUAUUUGCCUCAAGAAAAAAAUUGACCUACAAACUAUUAUUAUAUUAUUUAUUUUUAUCUAUUAUAUUUACAAUUAUAUUUUAUAAAAAUUAUAAAAAAUAAAUAGGACCUAAUAUACCUCUUCACUUUGAAGUAGUAAUUUUGUGUAGGUAUAUUUUUCCUACCUAUUUGCGAGUUUAACUUCAUCAAACUUCAAACCAAGACGACCCUGAAUUCAUCAACAAGAUGAAGAAAGCCUUCACCACCCCAACAUCCCUUGAUCGUGAACUCGAGCCGUCGCCGGAUAUGAAAGAGAGAGUGACAGCCGUGGAGAAGAUCGUCGGCUACAGCUUCAAGAACAAGAGGCUUCUAGAAGAAGCUCUCACCCACUCCUCCUUCCCUUGGUCCGCUUCGUAUCAACGUCUCGAGGUCCUCGGCGACAGUGUUCUGAACCACGCAGUCACCAACUACUUUUUUUGUAUGGCUGACCGCCGGAAGUUCAACGAAGACCAAAUCACUAAGCUACGCUCCGCUAAUGCUGGCAACCUCAAGCUCGCCCGCGUCGCUGUUCGCCUUGGGCUUUAUCCCUACCUUCGCCGCUACAAUACACCUGGUCUUGAUGAUAAGGUUGUUUUCUUCUUCUUUUAUUUAUUUAUUUUUCUCAAGCGAUUUCUGAUUCUGAUUUUAGAUGGCCAUGGAAUUUAGGUAGGCUCUUUUUAUUUAUUUAUUUAUUAUAAAUAAAUAAAAUAAUAAUAAAUGUUUUUUUUUUCCUGAAUUGAUGUUGUGCCCUAAAAUAUGGUCAAAUACCACGUUAUUUCCCUAAUAAAAGAUUUGGGAAACAAGAUGCAAAACGUGGGAGGGUAACAUAUUUUCAGCAACACUAAUAUCAUUAUACCCUUCUUUUUUUUUUUUUUUUUUUUUCUUAUUUGUGCCAGAAGAAUAUUUGUUAAGUAUUAAUUUAUUAUUAUUUUUGUUGUGUAAAGCAGAAAUAGGCCUGGUUUUUCGGAUGGAAUGCAUCGGAAUCAAAAGAUUCCAAUUUCUUCCAAAAAAGGAACAACCUGUGUAGUCUAACCUUGAAACUCCAUUAUAUUUUAGAAUGCAGAAUUUUUGAAAAUUAGAAAUACAUUUCAAUUCCAAUCCAAAUUUUUUUGGAAUUUUCGGUCCAACUUGCACCCCUAAGCACAGCGUAAUCGACUCAAAAAGACAAGGUUUUGAAUUGUAUUAAAGUUUGCAUGUUUCUUUUGAGUUGUCGCUAGCAAGUGAGCAUUAUGUGAUGCAAUUACAUUAAUGACUGACAACAACUCGCGUGUGUGGGCAAUACUCCUUAACAAUUGUUUUGUUUUGCUAUUUGGUGAAAGGGGAGUUGAAGGCCAAACGAAUACGAAUAACAAAUACGCACAAAAAAUUUGUUUUUACAUCAGCAUGAUUGUUUAUAUUUGACUAACCGUGCUUUCGCGGUUUGUUUAACAUCAUUGGUUGUUAACUAAUUGUUCUUUCUUUGGGUUUUAUGAGCAAGUUUUAUUUAUGUAUUUAUUAUUUUUUAAAGCUUAGAUUAAGGAGUUUAUCGAAGCAGUAAUUAAUGGAGAAGACGAGACGGGGCUUGUACAUAAGGUUCUUGCUGAUAUUGUUGAGUCCGUGGCAGCUGCUAUUUACGUUGACUUGAAAUUUGAUCUCGAUAAACUAUGGAUGGUGUGUAUUUAUUUUACCUUCUAAUUUUAUUUAACAUGAAAGUGGAGAACUGUUGUUAAGUUUGUAAAUGCUUGGAAGUUGGGGCAUGACUAUGUAUAUAUAUGACCUAUGAAUUUUUGUUGUUUUCUAUAUAGAUUUUUAAGCCUCUUUUGGAGCCUAUAUAUACUCUUGAGGACUUGCGUGGUCGCCCCAUGGCAAUAUUGUAUGACUUUUGCCUGAAGAAAGGGAAGCGCCUUGAGAUCAAGCUGAAGCCAAGAGAUGAGACUGAAAAUAUAAGUAUUGCUGGUGUCUUUGUUGGUGACGUGCUUGUUGGCUCGGGUUCUUCUAAGGGGAAUAGUAAUGCAAGGCAGAAUGCUGCUAAAGAAGCUGUACAUAAGUUGUCGCAAUCGAUGGUUGUAAACGAUGGGUCCUUCGAAGGUAUUCCAGCUGGAAACGACAGGUCAUUUCGUAUUGAAGAAGCGAUGCAAAUGUUGCAUGUGCUUUGUGCCAAGAAGAGGUUGCCUAAACCUCCAGAGUACAAGUACGAAAUUUUACUUUAUCAUGGUGAUAAAGUAUUGGUAAACUAAGAGAAAAAGAAACGUUAUCUAGCUGUAAUUAUGCUGUAAAUUCUAUUGUUAACUCGAUACAUAUUUGUGUUUCUAUUGCAGAGAAGACGUGUUAGGUCCUCCACAUGAGAGGAAAUAUUUAUACUCAGUUAAAGUGGUAACUUCAGAUGAUACCGUGAAAUCUGUGACGGGAGAUGAAAAGUCAAGAAAAAAAUAUGCAAUGAAUUCUGCAGCUUACAAGAUGUUCCUUGCUUUACAAGAACAUUAUAAUAUGAUCAACACCAUAAAGUCUUAUAGAAUGAUCAACAGAAAAGAAGCUGAUAAUAUGAUCGACACCAAAGACACUGAUCGUAUGAUCUGCUGGCGAGAUAUCCUAGUUCUAUUAGGAUAUUUCAUUCUUAUUCUAUUAGGAUUUUAUUUAUUUCCUGUUGUAUAGAUAUUAUGUGAUUACUUUUCUUAUUUCCUAGUAUAAUCGUAUGAUCAAGACCAAAUAAUCUGAUUGCAUGAUCAAGAUAAAGGAAUCUGAUUCCAUGUUGGAUUAUAUUGACUCACUACUCGACACACUUGGGGCUAAGGCCUAUAGGGUGAUAAUAAGUCUCCUGGAGUUUUUUUUAACCUAGUUUGUUUCUGCUUUAGUCUGCUACUUUGGGUGAAAUUAGUUGGUUUUUUGCUAAGUGAUUUCUAUGAAGGGUGAUGCGACGAUGGAGGUAUCCUUCGAUUUACCUAUACAUGUAUAAAUUCCCAUAGCCAGACUUGGCAAGGCAUGAGUGAAGAAGAUAAUCUCAUUUUCUCUAUAAUUUCUAUAUAUAGUUGUCUCUUCCAAAAUGUUCCACACUUGCACCAUUUUAUGUGCUUAAUUGUAUAUGUGGUACGUUCCUCUACCUGCUACGUAUCUGUGUAUAUGUUUGUUUUCUUUUUGGAAAAUUGUACCCAUCAUCAAUCGCAGAGUCUAGCAUCCAUCACCAGAAAUGAAACAAUCGGUGUCAACCGUGGAGCAAAUCCUGGGCUACAAUUUCAAGAACAAGAGGCUUCUAGAAGAAGCUCUGACCCACUCCUCCUACACCGAAUCGGCUGUAUCAGCGCCUUGAGUUCACCGGCGGUGACGCCAUCUCCAAGAUAAGGUCAUAUACUAUUCAAUUAAUUGUUCCUUUGUUUGUUUGUUUGUUUGUUUUUUUUUUUUUUUUCUGUCUGCUUCUCUGCUUUGUAUGUGAAAAGAAAAUUUUAGAUCUUUCUUAUUUUGGGUUUAUGUUGGAACAGCUUAGUUAUUUCAUAAGGAUUAAACACCCCACACCCCACACCCCCCCACCCAGCUUAGUUAUUUCAAUUAAACAGCUUAGUUAUUUUCUUAAAAAGGAUUUGGUUGAACUUUGGGUUUUGUUUCUGCAAGAGCUCCUAAGGUUCUUGCAGAUAUUGUGGGAUCUGUGACAGCCGCUAUUUUUUGUUGACUUGAAUUUUGAUCUGGAGUAACUGUGGGUGGUGUGUAUUUAAUUUGCAUUUGUUUGUUUAAAAAGAAAAUGAAAACCUUGAUUUUGCUAAAUUUGUAAUAGAGUUUAGCAAUUUGGCCAUAGACUAGUAUAACCUUCGAACUUUUGUUAUUGGUGUGUACAGUUGUAAACUUCAGGGGUCUAGUGGAGCUUAUAGUUACUCUUGAAGACUUGCAAGAUGAACCGCGACCCGUGACAAUGUUGUUUGACCUUUGCCAGAAGCAUGGGAAGCAUGUUGAUAUCAAGCACAUUGGACAGAUGAGACCAAGAGUAUUACUAGUUGUACGUUGGUGCCAAAUUACUUGUUACUUCGGGUUUGUCUUAGCAUAAAGAAAUUGCACCAAGCUUGAUGCUGCUAAGUUAGCUCUAUAUAAGUUGUCGCAAUUGAUGAUGAUGGGUCGUGUGAAGGUAUUGUUGGAAUGAAUGGGUCAUUUCAUAUUGAAGAAGCAAAACAGAAGUUGCAUGAGCUUCGUGACAAGAGGAAAUGGUCUUUACCUUUUAAUGAUUUUAAGCGGUGUUAGAAUUAUGUUGUUAAUUCUUGUUGUUAAGCAGAGCCAUAUUGGUUUUUCUGUUGCAGUAUUGAGAAAGAUGAAGGUCCUUCACAUGAUGAGAAGAGAUUUGUGUCCUCAGUUAAAAUUACAACUAGGGAUGGUGUGCUGUGAAUGAAGGGAGAUGAAAAGUCGAGAAUAAAAUAUGCGGACAAUUCUGCAGCUUCCUUGAUGAUCCGGGCUUUACAAGAAUCUGGUUAUAUACGAUGUAACGCAUAUGUUUAUAUAAUCAUCGACCUGCGGCAUUGAAUGCAUUGGUUGGAUGAACCAUAUUUAAACUUUAGAGAUAGCAAGAAUUGCCAUGGACUCUUGGAAAUUGCUGUGUUAAAUGCCUUAAGGAUGCUAAGGAUUAACGUUUGGUUUGUGCUUGUAGUUUUCAGAUGACCCAAAGAUCACCUUCAAUGUAAAGAGCCUUUAAUGUUUGGUUUGGCAGACGCUUUGAAAUUUACCUACAAGUUUAUCUGGCUUUUCAUAAGUUACAAGCUGGUUUGCACUUGCACCCACACAGAGUAGACAACACAAGUGCUUAAAGAUUCCAAACGACAACACAAAAAUUAAACUUUGUCGUUCUCUCGGCUCUCAAAGCUACAAGGGCAGAUUAGCUGAUUUUUAAAUUCAAAAUUCUCUACCCCGCAAUUCGAUCAUGGGAUGCUGAUUUUUCAUCAGCCAGUCCCCACUUGAGUCCUGUUUCUCUUUCUUUUUCUUAAAGAACCUUUUUGGUGCUUACUUUUCUAGCUUAGCGUAAUUUUUAGGUUUCGUCAGUUUAACUUUCUGUCAUUUCCAAUUUCCAUACAAAUAGUGUGUGAUUGGCCGUUCUACCUUUACCUACUAUUAAGGUUUUUGUGAUGAAGCUAAUUGGUUUCAUCACUUUAAUUUUCUGCCAUUUCCAAUUCUUACACUAGUAGUUUUUACUUUAUCAAACUUCAAACCACCACCCCCCACGAAUUCAUCAAGAAGAUGACGAAGGUCUUCACCACCCCAACAUCCCUUGAUCGUGUACGAUCACCGGAAAUGAAAGAUUCAGUGACAGCCGUGGAGAAGAUCGUCGGCUACAACUUCAAGAACAAGAAGCUUCUAGAAGAAGCUCUCACCCACCCCUCCUAUGGGUCCGCUUCGUAUAAACGCCUUGGCCUUGCGACCCUUGGCGAUAGCGCUCUUGGCCAUGCAGUGACCAACCACUUCUUUUGUAUGGCUGACCACCCUCAGUUCAGCGAAGGCCAACUCACUUUGCUACGCUCUGCCAAUGUUAGCAACCACAAACUCGCCUGCGUCGCUGUUCGUCAUGGGCUUUAUCGCUACCUUCGCCACUAUGAACCUGCUUUUGAUGAUAAAGUCUUUUUCUUCUUUUUCUUUUUAAUUUUAGUCAAGCGAUUUCUAAUUCUUAGGGGCACUUUACUUUAUAUUUUGACUAACCUUGCUUUUUUUAUUCAUAAACUCUUAGAUUGAGGAGUUUAUUGAAGCUUUAAUUAAUGGAGAAGAAGACGUGGGGUUUGUUGAGGCCGAUGAACCCAAGGUUCUUGCAGAUAUUGUUGAGUCCGUGGCAGCUGCUAUUUACAUUGAGUUAAAUUUUGAUCUCGAUAAACUAUGGAUGGUGUGUAUUUAUAUUACCUUCUUUUAUUUCACAUGAAAGUGGAAAACUUUAGUUUGUAAAUGCGUGGAAGUUGGCAAUAACUAUAUAACCUAUGAAUUUUUGUUGUUUGCCUAUUGUGCUUUUGUAGAAAUUUAAGCCUCUUUUGGAACCUAUAUAUACUCUUGAAAACUUGCAAGGUCACCCCAUGACAAUAUUGAAAGAGUUUUGCGAGAAGAGCAGGAAGCGCCUUGAAGUGCGGCUGAGAGAUGAGACCGGAAAUAUAAGUAUUGCUGAUGUCUAUGUUGAUGGACUGCUUAAGGGAUCGGGUUCUGCUAAACGGAAGAAUACCGCACAGCAUAUUGCUGCUCAACAAGCUAUACAAAAGUUGUCGCAAUCGAUGGGUGUAAACAACAAAGGUACAGCAGCUGGAAACGACAACUCAUUUCGUAUAGAAGAAGCGAUGAAUGAGUUGCAUGUGCGUUGUGAAAAGAAGAGGUUGCCUAAACCAGAUUACAGGUAUGAAUAUUCUUUAGUUUAUCAUGAUCAUACAGUAUUGGUGAACAAAAAUAAAGAAAGCCCUUAUCUUAUCUAUUGCUGAUUCUAUAUUGUUAACUAGAUCCAUAUUUGUUUUUCUAAUUAUUGUAGAGAAGAGAAGAAAUCAGGUCCUCCACAUUCACCCAAAUUUGUAUACUCAGUUAAAGUGGUAACUUUAGAUGGUACCGUGAAAUCUGUGAAGGGAGAUGAAAAGUCAAGAAUACAAUAUGCGAAGAAUUCUGCAGCUCACAAGAUGAUCCUUACUUUACAAGAAUAUGAUAAUGUGAUCAAAACCAAAGAAUCCGAUUGCGUAAUGGGUAAUAUUCCCUCACUCUACACACUUGGGGCUAAGGCCUAUAGGGUGAUAAGAAGUCUCUUGGUUUUUUGUUUGAAGGGAAUACUUACACUAGUUAUUGUCUCUGUUUUGGCCAGCUUAGUUGCUGAGCGGUAUAAAUUCCCAUAACCAGACUUGGCAAGGCAUGAGUGAAGAAGAUAAUCUCAUUUUCUCUAUAAUUUCUGUACUUCUGCCUCUGAAUUUCUUCCACAGUUUCAUAUAUAUAUAUAUAUAUAUAUAUAUAUAUGUGCUUGUAGUUGUAUAUGUGCGUAGGUUCCUCUACCUGCUACAUUGAUUUGAACUUGUAACACUUGGUUCGUGCUCGUAGGUUUUAGAUUGCUCUGAAUAAUAAUUGCAUAGUUGUGUAUAUGUUUGUUUUUAUUUUUGUAUCCAUUAGUCUCAUUUUUCUUCUUUCCUUUGGGUCUGCGACUAAAAUCAGAAAUCCAAAUAUGGUAACCGAUCGCUAACAUUCAAAAAUUAAAUGCCAAGUGAUUCAUGAAUUAUAUUACUUCUCUUUGUAAGGAUCUUUUCUACUGAAAGGGGCAAAAAUAUACUAAACUCACACACACUACACGGAUGUUAGGACUUAACCAACGGCUUACCUAAAGGAAUAAUUGCUCCAAACCACUAUAUUAGUGGGUCAUUUGCUGAAUUAUAUUACUAUUAAUCAACAAAACGAAGUUAAAUUAUAGAAUUUCUCGGUCAGAAUGCUAGGUAUAACCCAAAGGAAGUGAAUCCUGCAAUCAACAAUAAAAAUUUAGCAAGUUACAAUGAAAUCCACAUGCUAUACUUGCUCACUAUGUUGGAAUAAAAAAAUCACAAAAAUCACAAAAAUAUUGGAACGUGGGAUUGGAUUGGUGGGGGGAAGUUUGAAAAAAGGUGGGGGUCUAAACCAAUGAAAACGUUUAAGAGAGUUUAGUGGCUCCUAUUUUUGGGGGAGCUGAUUAUUCAGUUUUCAGUAUAAGUAUUCUACACUAAAAAGGAAAAGAAAAAAGGAGAAAAGGGACAGAAGAAGAAAACCAGGAGAAAAAUUGGAGGAGCACAAAUACAAGAGAAGACAUUUUCACAGGUAUAUGGGUUCUGUCAAUUAAUUCUUGUUGGGUGGCAACCCUCAAAUAAAACUCUUGGAUGAUAAAUCCAUAAUGGGUGGCAACCCUUAAAUCAUGAACAACAAAUCCAUGAGAGGAUUCCUGUUUAACAAAGCUCUGCCGAGCAAAAGGAAAUCCUUUGAAAUGGAAAUGGUGUUUGGAGGGUCAAUUCCACAAAUGCACAGAAAAAAGAGAGCGUGAAUUACCUCUUGGGCUCUCUCACCACUCCUCUCCAUCUCUGCUUAAGAAGGCCUUUAUUUUUCUCUCUGAGCAAACUACAUCAAAAAAAAUGUAAAGGAUGUUAGUCAUGAAGAAAAGAAUAGGCAGAGAAAAAAAAUGGAGAUCUGUAAAAAAAAGGGGAAAGAAAAUAGAGGCCAUGUUUUUCUGUCACAGCCUCUCUCCCUCUCUCUCUUAGAUGAUCCUCUUGUUGAGCACACAAUCACAACAGACAGAAAAAAAUUAAAGCAGGAAAACAGCCACUAAAAAAAAAAGGAGAGAAAGUGGCUGUAUGCCACUUCGUGGGUGUCGCUGGGUUAGAAGGAGAGAAAGGUGCCAGCCAAAAAGCAAAACUUGGGAAGGGCCACGUUGGGGCAGCCUACGCAUUGAAUGCCCCAUCUGUUGGUUUCUUAGCGAACAACCCAAAUACAGGUCAUGGUGUAUGACAAUAAAAAAAAAGAGAAAAGGUUUGCUACAAUCAUCAAAAAGAAGAAGAAAAGUCAAAGCAAAAAAAAAAAGAAAAAAAAAGAAGAUGGCUGAGGCCACUUUGCUGGAGAUUGGAAGAAAAGAAAAACAAAGACACAAGAAACUUGGUGUUGCAGAGGAAAAAGACAAAAAAAAAAGUCUGAAACCUCUUGAUGUAUUGCGGCAGUUUCCCUUUGGUUUUCUCUUGUUGUUUGCAGAGGCUCUGUACCGAUUGUGACUUGGUGUACUUUUUUUUAAAGACUGAACAGUAACAAUGUUUGCUCUUAAUUCGGACUGAUCACAAGUAUUCCAGAUAAAGAUGGGACUGCAAGGUCUGAUUUUAUUUGGAAACAAACUCUACAAAGAGUUGGAUAGCUAUCAGGUUGUUUCAAUCGCCUGCUGGACCAAAGUUUUUUUCUGGGCUCUUUGUUCGUGGGCUCUUUUCUAUCAUAUGGUUAAUGGAUUAAUUCAACAAUCCUCAUAGCCAUAGUUGGGCUCAAGUACAAAUAAUGUCAAUUUUAGAAAAUUAGUGGGUUAAUCAAAAUUGCUCAUUAUUUUUCUUAGACAUUAACAAAAAGAAAAAUGGUACAAAACCAUCCAAUUUUUCCCAUGAGUUAUCUACUCAUGAAAAUUCCAAAGAGAUUAAAUUCAAAUAUCUCAAACACCAAUUCUAAAUUAUUGGGCCACACUUACCCAUUAAUUUUCAAUUUUUCCCAUGGGUUAUCUACCCAUGAAAAUUCCAAGGAGAUUGAAUUCAAAUAUCUCAAACAGCAAUUCUAAAUUAUUGGGCCACACUUACCCAUUAAUUUCUAAUUUUUUCCAUAGGUCAUCUACCUAUGAAAAUCUUCAAAUCGUCUCAAAGACACCAAUUCUAAGACAUUGGGCCACACUUACCCAUUAAUUUCCAAAUUUUGGAACUACGUCGGUUUGAUCCCCGUUAAGGGUACGUAGGCAGUCUAACAUCUCAAUAGGCGCAACCGCAACCAAAUUUGAAUCACUGGUUACAUCAACCAAAUUCCCCCAAAAUCAAAUAUCUACCUUUACACAAAUCAAUUUCGAACUACGUUGGUUUGAUCCCUUUAAAAGGGUACGUAGGCAAUCUAGAGAUUCAAUCUAGAUGCAACCAUCCCAAACAUAUUUCCAUAUCGAAUCCCUGGUUUAUUCAGCUAAAUUCACUCAAACACUCCUCAAUCAAACUCAUUCAAAUUCUUCGUUUUGCGAUGAGUCAUUUAUUCAUCAUGAAUCUUUGAACUACGAGUGGCUUGAUUCCCGUAAGGGAUACGUAGGCAUCCUGAGUUUGGACUUGGGAGCAGCUGCAAAAUCAAACACACACGUUCUGUUUCUUUAUGAUGGAAUCAAAGGGUUUUCCCUUGAAGCAAGGGAUUGUAAUUAAGAGACUUGCGUCUCGAAUGGGUCGAACCUAAAAUAAUAAAACCCCAUUAUUUAAUUAGUGGUGGUGAAAUUAUAUUAGGAAGAUCACAAUUUUCCUUCAACACACUAACUUGUUGUAAAUUCUUUGCUAACAUUCCUAGAAACUCAAUCACAAAUUUCAGAGCUCUACAGGAAUCAACAUGAAAACUAAACAAUAGAGAGGCUGAAGAUUUAGGGCAAAUGAUUUUAUAUUGAAGAAUUCACUGCAAUUCAUUCUAUUGAAGAAUUAUUCUAUGAUCAAAAGCUAACUAAUUAGUAAGUUAUUAGUAAGGAGCUCACUAGUCUAUUGGACCAAGCACACAACAUAAUCUCAUUAUUUAUCGUCCAUUUUUAAGGUUCUCCUUCAAAAUCACAUUUGCAAAAUAUCAACUAAAUGGGACUUACACAUUCGAUUAACCUGACUAUCAUCUUGAUGUCUUUUCACAAACACUUUUAUGUCUUUCUCUUCGACCACAAUUAGAUAAUUAUUUGAUUUUUGACUUUUGUGCGUUUGGAUGGAGGAAAUAAAUUUAGAAUUUGGACAAAGUCAAAAUUUCUAAAUUGACAUGCACCAACUUCUCUGGAUGAAAAAAAAAUAUGGAAUUUGGAGGUGAUAAAUUUCAAGUUUAAAUUCUAUCUAAAUAGUUGUCAUCAUUUUUAAAAUUCCAAAAGAGGUGGAGUUGAAAAAAAGAAAAUUCAUGUAUGUCGUCACCACCACCACUUCUACUACCACCACUUCUACUACCACCACAUUAUCCUGACAAUGACCACCACCAUCCUCGCCGCUGUCACCAUCCUCUCAACCAUCACCGCCACCAAUAGCACCACCUUACCAUGGCCACCAAUACUUUGCCAAAUAAUAGAAUUUUAAAAUGGCAGAAUUUAGAUCGCCAUAGUUUAAAUCUUAGGCAAUUAAUAAUUUUAGUGUUUGGAUUUAUGUAUAUCGAAUUUUAUAAAUGACAGAAAUUACAAAUUCUAUUGUGAAACGGAUUCCCGCUCCAUAGCAAUUCCUAAAUGACACAUAUUUUGGAGGAAAUUAAACUAGGAAAUCUUGAUUCCUAAUUUCCACGAUUUUUUCCACGCGUCAUUCAAUAAUUUCUGUGCAUUAGUUGCCAAACAUAUCCAUUUUUUGAUCAACCUUAUUCGGCAAAUAAGAUCAAAAUACCAUACUGUGCAGAUUAUAAGAUAUAAAGGUCUAAGUACUACUGAUGAGAGCUCUCAUUAUCCAACUGCUUUUUUCAUUCUCUAAUACUCUUGCUUGUAAUAUCGGCUGUAUUUCUAUAUGUUGAUCACCUUUUAUUGGUAAAAAUUGUGAACAUGAGCGGUUAUCGAAACAGAGGUUGUAGUUAUCCUAAACUGGUACUUUUUGGUUGUUCAUGACCCAAGUUCAUAGCCGAACAUAUGGAACGAUCCUGUCAUCUGCGACUCAAAUAUGUAUACAAACGAGAAGCUAACAAGUUCACUACUAUUUUCGACACAAACUUCGUAGUGGCAGAGUUUUGUGCUGGCUUGGUUCUAGAGAAGAGUCUUACUAAUUCUCAAGUUUUCCAAAUUAGAAAUCCUGCAACCCAUCAUGUACUUCUCGUGCGCUUAGAAAACUUGAUGGGUCCAGAGGAGCCAACCCACAACAAAAAGUUGUAGAGGAUUCCUUGCAAGCUCAAUCCACAAACACGUCGAGCAUGCAGGACAGUCGAGGAGAUCUACUCCGAAGAGACAACGAGAUGGUAAGCCAACGACUCCAGCAUCAUGAAGGACACCGAUGUGAACCGCAAGCCAUGUGGGCAGAUGAUGUCGAGAAGCUCGUGAAUGACCGACUACAAGACUUGAAGAUUGGAGGAGAUUUCAAAGAUGCUCGGUGCACAGAAGUGGACCAAGUGAACUCCUCACCGUUGGCGGCCAAGAUCAAGCAGGCGGCUCCACCAAAUCGAUUUUCAACGCCUUCUUUCACACACUUCAAAGGAGAUUUCGAUCCCGAGAGCCAUUUGAAGCACUUGCACCAUUUUAUGUGCUUAAUUGUAUACGUGGUAGGUUCCUCUACCUGCUGCAGUUGAGCCUGUAACACUUGGUUUGUGCUCGUAUAGGUUUUAGAUUGCUUGGAGGUAAAAUUGCAUAACUGUGUAUAUGUUUGUUUUCUUUUUUAUUCCCAUCAUGAAUCGCAAGGUCCAGCAUACAUCACCAGAUAUGAAAACAAUCAGUGUUAGUGGAGCAAAUCCUAGGCUACAAUUUCAAGAACAAGAGACUUCUAGAAGAAGUUCUGACCCAUUCCUCCUACACCGAAUGGGCGUCGUAUCAGCGCCUCAAGUUCAUAUUGAUGGUGAUGGGUCGUUUGAAGAAGCUCUAUAUAAGUUGUCGCAAUCGAUGAUGGGUCGUUUGAUGGUAUUGUUGGAAUGGAUGGGUCAUUUCAUAUUGAAGAUGCAAAACAGAAGUAGCAUGAGCUUUGUGAGACGAGGAAUGGCCUAAUGAUAUGAUAUUGACCUUAUCAUGAUUUUAAGUGAUGUUAGAAUUAUGUUGUCAAUUCUGUUUGUUAAUAAGCAGAGCCAUAUUGGUUUUUCAUUAGUUUUCCUGUUAAAAUUCAUCACGUGCACAUGACCCAUUUCUUUCAUUUCCUUUCAUGCGUACAUACACAAUCUAUAGUUUCAUUUCCUCUACUGUUUGUGAAGCUAUAUGGCUAAGAAACCUUUUGGAGUCAUUGAAUGAUCCACAAGAAGAAUAUACAGUGAUUAAUGUAGACGACGAAUCAAUAAGCUCUCAAAGAAUCCAAUACAACGUGGAAGAAGUAAGCACAUUGACACAAUGUUCCAUUUUUAUUUUAUUUUAUGGACAAUAUUUGUGAAGUACUGUAGAAGUCCUUCAAGAUAUUAGGCAAAUUGCUCUCUCGAAUCACAAAAACUACAAGGAUAGACUUGGAGAAAAACUUACAUGUGAUAGAGACAACACUAUUUUGUUACCAAUCAUAUUCCACCAAUCAUUAUAAGAAUUCCAUAUGGCUGAAUAUGAUUAGAUGGGAAUAGUGCUACUCCCAUGACAUGCAAAUUCUUCUCGUUUACUCGGUAUCAUAUCCGUUACAGAUCUCUCUGUAAAUCAUGAAACUGCAUUGUUGUCCCCCACUUAAUCAAAGUAUUUUUAUUUGUUACGACUGAAAAUGGAUGCAAGUGAGAAUAAAUUCGGAGUUUUGGUCAGCCAAUCCCAACGUGACAAACCUCGGGCUACAUAGGUUUACCUUUAUUCCUUCUCCUUUAACUUUUUCUUUAAAAUAUUCUCUUUCCUUUUACUUUGCCAUUAGGUUUCUGGCAUUUCCAAUUCUUACACAAGUAGUUAGUUUUACAUCGACACAACACGCAUGCACCAUCAAAGUUCAAAUCAAACCACGACCCGGACGAAUUCAUCAACGAGACAAGAUGAGGCUCUUCACCCGCCAACUCCAGCCAUCACCGGAAAUGAAAGAGCGGGUGACAGCCGUGGAGAGAAUCGUAGGCUACGACUUCGUGGACAAGACGCUUCUAGAAGAAGCUCUCACCCACCCCUCCUCCUGUCGGCCCAAUUCGUAUCAACGCCUGGAGCUCCUGGGCGACAGCGCUCUCAACCACACAGUGACAAAGUACUUAUUUCGUGACAGCCGGAAGUUCAACGAAGAAGAAAUCACUAACCGACGCAAAGAUACCGUUAGCAACCCCUACCUCGCCCGCAUUGGUGCUCGGCUUGGGCUUUAUGACUACCUUGUCCGCCACAAUACACCUGAUCUUGAUGAUCAGGUCUUUUCUUUUCCUUUUUCUUUUUCAUGUCUCUCUUGCGAUUUCUGUGUGGGACUUUGCUUUAUUUGGGAAAAGAGAAAACAAAGCAUUUUAGGUGGAAUUUAGUUGGGUAUAUUUUAGUUGGAUAUUUAUGUUUGCCGAGUUUUUUUUUUUUUUUUUUUUUUUUUAAUUCGUGUAAAUUGAGGACAUAAUUCAUUGAAAGAGACAAGGUUUAGAAUUGUACUACAGUAGUUAUCUUCUGAAAAAACAAAAUUAGAAUUUCACUACAGUUUGCCAAUUUCUUUUGAGCCAAGGUUUAGUAAGUGAGGAAGUACCACCCAUCCCCAAUAAUUCUUAACAUGAACGGAUGACAACAACUCAUGCAUGUGUGGACAACUAUCUUUAACAUUUCUCUUGUUUGUUUUUUAGUGAAAGGGAAACCAAAGUCCAAAAAAACAAAAAUGACACAUAAAAAAGUUGUUUGUAUAUCAGCGUGCGAGUGCCUAUAUUUCGACUAACCAUACUUUUCCGCUUAAAAUUUGGUUAAAAGAUUUUUACUUGUUAGUAAAUUGUUUUCAUAUUAGGUUUAAUGAGAAUUUUUUUAAAUUUAUUUCAUAAUUCCAGGUCGCAAAGUUUACUGAAGGAGUAAUUAAAGGAAAAGAUAUGACGGGGUCUCCAGGCUACAAGGUUCUUGCAGAUGUUGUCGAAUCCGUGGCUGCUGCUGUUUACAUUGACUUGAAUUAUGAUCUCGAUAAGCUGAUGAAGGUGCGUAUUUCUAUUAGCUGGUUUUCUUUAGCAUGGAAGUUGGAAGACUUCUGUUAAGUUUUUAAAUGCUUGGAAGAACUAUAUCUAUAUAUAACCUCCAAAUUUUUAUUAUUUGCUAUUCUUCAUUUGUAGAUAUUUAAGCCUCUUUUGGAUCUCGAAAAAUCUGAUUCUAUGAUGAAGACGAAGGAAUCGGAUUCCAUGUUGGGUUAUAUUGCCUCACUACUCUACACACUUGGGGCUAAGGCCUAUAGCGUGAUAAUAAGUCUCUUGGUUUUUUGUUUGAGGGGAAUAAUACUGCUAGUUAUCGUCUGUGUUUUGACUAAAUUAAUUGACUGUUUUGCUAAGUAAUUCCUAUUAAGGGUGAUGAGAUGGAGGUAUCCUUCAAUUUACCUAUAUAUAUAUAUGUAUAAUUCCUGUAAAACUUGCCAGACUUGGCAGGGCAUGAGUGAACCUGUAAAACUUGGUUUGUCCUCGUAGGUUUUAGAUUGCCUGGAAUAAUAAUUGCAUAUUUGUUUAUAUAUGUUUGUUUUUAUUUUUGUAUAUAUCCAUUGGUCUCAGUUUCUUCUUUGCUUUUGGGUCUUUCCCUAAAAUCAGAAAUCCAAAAUGGUAACUGAGGAAGAGCUAUAAUUCGAAAAUUAAAUGCUAACUGUAAGAGAUUACUAUUAAUAUUAAAAAAAAACAAAAAAACAAAGUUCAGUUAUAGAAGAACUUUUGAGGUUUUCUUUCUCGGUAAGAAUGUUAGGUAUAACCCAAAGGAAGUGAAUCCUGCAAUCAACAAUAAAAAUUUAGCAAGUUACAAUAAAAUCCACAUACUACUUGCUCACUAACUUGUUGAACGCUUGGUAGCUGCGUAAACAAUAGAGAGGCUGAAGAUUUAGGGCAAAUGAUUCUAUUGAAGAAUUCACUGCAAUUCAUUCUAAUAUAUGUUCAAAAGCUAACUAAUUAGUAAGUUAGUAAGGGCCUCACUAGGAACGUUUACGUAAAAGAGUGUGAGAAGUGGGCUAGCUUUAGUACAUUGAGGUACUAAACUGGGAAACUUAGGCCUCGAAGGCUUUCUUCGUCAAGUGUUGGAAUUUGUGUUUGUAGAUAUAUCGAAAUAAAUAUAAUCAACAUAUUUAAACUAGAUUGAUUUUAAGUCCAUUUAUCCGGAUCUUUGAAUUAAAUGGCGCCUCCCACUAUUUUGGUUAAUUCCACAAUUCCUCAAAAGGCGAAACUCGAGAGUAUUUUAUCUUGAAAACUCUUAGUGAGAUGGGAAACUCCAUAUUACUUGGAUCAUCCCACCAUAAUAGAAUCCAGGGAUAUCACAAAUAAUAGAGAGAGAGAGUCCUUCUUCUACUCUUUCACAUUUUAAUGUGAGUUCCCAUAUAAUUUGGCCUCUAACAAAUAUGUAACCCCGAAUAUUAUGGUGCAUACCAUUGUACUAGUUAAGUAUUAACCUACCAUGGUUGCUUAGUAUAUAGAUCCAAACACAAACCUCAUCAUAUUGGAAUGUUUGCCAUGUUUUGUUCCUACCCUUGCAAUAUCCAAUGUAUAAAAUGGAUUCCUCUUAAACACAAGUACUACGUGUUAGGCCCCCACAUCUGAGGCAAGCCUUUACGGGCUCGUUUGGUAUACCGUAUUAGACUCUGGAUAGGAGUAAAUAGUCUAUGUCAAGUGUUUGGUGUCAACUUGUAUUAUUUAAUUACCCGACUAUUUUAUACGGGUUGGGCUUUUAAUACUCUCCUUACCUGACUAACUAAUACAAUCCACACACUCCGGUUUAGAUAAUACACGCUUAAUUAUACAGCUAAGCACGGGUUCUACCAAAAAAAAUCAAACGCUCUUUUCAUCUUCUUCUCUCUAGGAUUUUUCUCUGCUAUCUUCUCCAAAGGUUAUUUUCUUCACUCUUCUCUAGAUAUCCAUCUCUCACUCUCUCUCUCUCUCUCUCUCUCUCUCUCUCUCUCUCUCUCUCUCUCUCUCUCUCUCUCUCUCUCUCUCUCUCUCUCUCUCUUUCAUACUCUCUCCAAUAUGCUUCUUCUUGCUUCUUCUCUAUUCUUUAUAUAUUUCAAUUUUUUAAUUAAAUUUUUGUGGAAUUAGGUUAUGUAUUUUUCGUUUUUGAAAUUAGGUUAUGCUUACUUACAUGAAUGAAAGCUAAAUCGAAAAAAAAAGAAGUAAGAGGUUAUGCUUAGGUUAUGCUUAUUUUUCGUUUUUGAAAGUCUUUCUUCACGAUCUUUGCGCGACAGAUUCUGCGUGACGAAGUUUCUGUCGCGCUGAAAUUUGUGCGACUACAAUGUAUUUUGCGCGACGAAAUUCUCUUCGUCGCGCAAAGUGUAAAAUGUAGUAAUGGGAUGAGUAGAGAUUGGGGUGGAGAUGGGUUGGAAAAUCUGGGUGAGCAACUGGCUGGGAUGGGGUAAAUGGCUAGGGAUGGUGGGGGGUGGGGUUGUUCUUGUGAGAGGGAGAGAGAGAUAUAUAUAUUAAGGAUUGAGGUAGAUCAGAGUUGGGAUGGUGUGUUGUUGCUGGGGAGAAAGAGAAGAGAGAACAAUGGUGGCUGGCGAUUGGGACUGGAGGUGAUGUCUUUCAUUUUUUGAUUUUUUAGUUCUGGUUUUUUUUUUUAAAAUUUUAUUUAUUUAUUAAGUUAACUCUUAUUUAUCUAUUUUAAAUUGUAUUCAACAGUUCCGAUCUCUUGGACCGGAGUCCAAGAGAUUGUGUUCACCCACCGUUAGAUAUUAAUCCAAUGGUUCAAAAAAGUUUCUUAAAAUGAGUGCAAGAGUGAUAUGUUUUUUAAUUAAUUUUUAAAUAUUUUUAAAUUAUUUUCCCAGAAAAUUUAACGAAAAGACUAAAAUACCCUUAAAAUUGGUGGAAAAUUGGAUGGUGUUAAAAUCAGAUGACAAAUCAUAGAUUUAAAAAAAAAAUAAAGUGACAUUUCUCUUAAAUUUUUCUUUAAGGUGAAAAAUUAAAACUGAGGUCUAAGUUCAGGUGACAUUUUUAAAAAAAAUCUCUUAAUAAUUUUCAUUUUUAAAUGGCCAAACAUCCAUUUUAUGAUAAACCUUACUGUGCAAAUAAGAUUUAUUUAUUUAUUUUUAUAAAAACCAUACUGUGCAGAUGAUAAGAUAUAAAGGUCUUUUUGUUGUUGUUCAAAGAUAAGAUAUAAAGGUCUAAGUACUAAAUGAUGAGAGCCCUCAUAAAUUCUGGUACACGAAGCAAAACUAACCCAAUUUUGUCAUAGCAAUAUAUCAUGCUUCCUUCGGGCUUUCUUUCAAUGUAAAUAAAUCUUAAGUCUGUUAGACACCACAUAAUUAUUAUUAUUUAAAUAAUUCCCAGAACCAUCAAUACCACCACCAAUACCACAUUCUCCUGAAUUCCCAGAACCAUCCAUACUACCACCAAUACCACAUAAUUUUCUAUUGUUGGCAACUUAGCACCGAAAUUAUUAAAUGACACACUAAAAAAAUCGUGGAAAUUGAGGAUAAAUAUUUUCGAGUUUAAUUUCUAUCAAAAAGUGGUGUAAUUUCAAUUGCUAUUGCGCCGGAAUUCGUUUCCCAAUCAAAUUUGUAAUUUAUGUUAUUUAUUAUAAAAUUCGACAUACAUAAAUUCAAACACUAAAAUAAUUAAUUGCCUUAAAUUUAAACGAUGAAGAUCUAAAUUCUGUCAUUUUAGAAUUGUAUGCGAUUUUCAAUUCCUUCAUCCAAACGGAGGGUUAGUGUUUAAUAGGAUUUGUUCUACUUUUUAAAAUUAAAGAGGUAACAAGUUUUACUUGGUUGAUGAUUUAAUUUAAAAGUCCUAGUUUGAAAAUGAUUUGAUUUAAAGGUAUCAACUGCUUUUUUCAUUCUCUAAUAUUCUUCCUAGUAAUAUCGGCUAUAUUUCUAUUUAUUGAACACCGUUUUUAUUGGUAGAAAUUGUCAACUCGAGGGGUUAUCGGAACAGAGACAGAGGAUGUACUUAUCAUCAACUAUACAAGUGAUAAAGUAGGAAUUAUAUAAUUAAGUAACACGAAACCAUGGAGGACUCUACUAAAUCUUAAUUUCUAGUAUAUUAUGGAAAGGGCAUGAAGAUGGUGCGUUGCUACCAGAGAAACAAAAUCAUCAUGAUGAGGAGAGCUGAUCCUGUAAAAGCAUCAAAGAAGCUUCCCUUUGAUAUUAUCACAGAGAUUUUGACCUGGCUGCCUAUAGAUUCUCUAGUAAGAUUCAAGCGUGUCUGCAAAAACUGGUACUUUUUGAUUGUUCAUGACCGCAAGUUCAUAGCCAAACAUAUGGAGCGGACCUGUCUUCUGCGACUCAGAUAUGUAUGCAAACAUGAAGCUAACAAGUUAACCGUUAUUUUCGACAAAAGCUUCGGAAUGGCAGCGUUUUGUGCUGGCUUGGUUCUAGAGAAGAGUCUUACUAAUUCUCAAGUUUUCCGAAUUAGAAAUCCUGCAACCCAUCAGGUACUUUACUUGCCUAAUGCACAUGAGGGUACCAGGAAUAUGGACUUUGCUUUGAACCCAUCCACUCAUGAGUGUAAACUGGUAUGUUUUUAUGGCAAAGACAGUGAAGUUGGUUUUGAGGUGUUAACUAUUGGGAAGGAUGAGCAAUGGAGGCCAAUGAAACACCCAAACACAGAUUUGCUGAAACAUCGUGGCAAACCAGCGCUACAAAUUUAUAGAGGAUCAUCUUUUAAGUGUGAGGGGCGUGGUCACUUUGUCCAGGUUACUGGAGAUGUGAAAGAUUGGAACCUGAAAAUUCACUCUCUUGAUAUUUUGAGUGAAUGUUUCAUUACUAAUACCGUGCCCCGGGGAUUUUAUGUAAAUUGGUGGGACAGUUUGGUUUUCUAUUGGAAUGACUGUGUAGCUGUUGCUGAUAUAGGAGAGGAAAAACUUACCGUGCUGGUGUUGGAGGACUACAAGCAGCACAAAUGGAGUAAAAAGACGGUCCGGGUGACAUUUUCAGAGGAUCACAUGACACUGCUGAAGGAUCCAUUUUUUGUUAUCAAUGCUCAUUCUGAUGGCCUUAAUUUUCAUUUUAAGGACAGAUUUAUUCACUAUGAUCUGAAGAGGGAGACAAUUGAGAAGGUAAAUAUUCGCCUGGGAAUCAACUUCUGUUUGGUGAAGCCAAGCCUGAUAGCUCUUAAGGGAAUGAAAACAGGAAAGGUUGCCUGCAGCAUUUGAAUGCAGGUUGAAGGAAAAUGUUCUUAUUUGGUCGGAUUAAUUAGGACCAAAUGCUUCUACCAGUAGAUGCAACAUCCCUACGGAAGAUCAGCCGCAUAUUAUAGGAAAUUAUUGCGCUCAUGCUUAGGAUUUGAACCUGUAAACAUUUGAGAUGUUGGCAUUAUUAUUGGGUGGGAUGAUAAUUAAUUGCAUGUUUUCUAUAUCUUUGUGUGUUUCAUUCUUGUAUCUAAUUAGUCUCAGUUUUCCUUUUUCCUUUUGAAUUUAUUUUUUAUUAAUAAUUUGGAGCCUGCUUCCCUGCCCUCUACCUGAAUUUUCUUUACCUGCCCACAAAAUGAUACAAUAAGUUGAAAGCAUUGUUGCUUUCAGGGGGGUCUUAGUGUAAGUGAAGGGACUGUUGCUAUAUGGUAGUUUUUCACUAUGGCUCCAUUGUCAUGUUUAGGGCUCUUUUGGGAUUGCUUAUCUAGGAAGUACUUCUACUCAUAAGCGCUUCUAACAAAAGCACUUUUAUUAUAAAAAUCUUGAAUUUUCAUAAAAAAUCCAAAUGCUUCCUUAAAAAGCACUUAGGAGUGCUUCCUGAAGAAGCAUAUAGCAGGUGCUUUUCCAGAAAACACUUCUAUGACCCAGAAUAGCUUCUAAACUUUUGUGCCAAACGCUGUCAGAAGCACUUUUAGUUGUUAGAAAACGCUUUUAGCUUUUCCAGAAGCACUCCCAAAUAGACCAUUAAUGUUUCGGCAACAUGGGAUCGAUGGGUAUCUAAAAAUUGUGGCAAAUUGUGGCAUAAGCCCAAACAAUGGCAACUGUUUUUUUUUUUUGGGGGGACGAACAAUGGCAACUGGUUUUUGCUCUCUGGAAGACUUGAUUUUCCCUUGCAAAGAGCAGUAUAUAUACUUACAAAAUUUGUCUCAAAUGAUCCAAGUGCGCCUCCAUAACAAAUAGUUAAAGACUUAGCCUCAGAUUAAUUAAUAAAUUAUUGCAAAUAUUGCUCUUUGGAAAACCAAUGGGAAUUAAUGACCCAAUUGCUCUAUGGAAAUAUUGCAAGAAAAUUGAUUAUUCAUUAAUAUGAACAACUGCAGCUUUCAAACUAAUAAGCUAUUAUUUUUCAGAUAUGUUGUAACCGUAAAAAAUAAGGUAAUUUUCACUUUACUACCCUGAAGUUUACCGAGUUUUAGCCUUUAGUACAUGAAUUUUUUUUUAAUUUUUUUGUCUCAGUCGCAUACACAAAGUUAAUUUUCCUACCACUUUCAUACCUACCUUCAGUCUUGCCGUUAAUAAAUCUGUUAACCACUGACAUGACAGUAAAUAUGCCAUGUAGACCCACCCAUACGGUGCCGCGUGAUCCGCAUAUAUUAUUAACUAAAUAAAUAAAUAAAUAGGAAGCUUAAUGAUAAUGCCUGUUAUGGGAAUUUCAAAGAGUUGAAGAGGCUGACAUGGCGAUGAAGAUCGAAUUUAGCUCUAGAGGAGGACGAGUUCUCUCAAAGUGUUGGGGACUCAUGUAGGACAAAAUCCGGAAGUUUAAGUGUUAUUAGUCUUUUUGAUGGUUUUCCUAGUUUCCUGUUAUUUUUAGGUUUAUUUUCCCCAAAGUGUUGUGGACCAAUGAUGGAAGUUUAGGUUGUUACUCUUUUUGAUGGUUUUCCUAGUUUCCAAUUAUUUUUAUGUUUAAUUUCCUUGUGCUACCUAGCCAAACAAGAUAUUAGAUUUACUUUCCCUUUGUUGUAUUUUACUUUCCUUUUUUAUGUUUUUCCUAACUCUACUUGGAUAAGACUAAUGCCUAUAAAAGCACUACCAUAGACAUGUAAAUUUCAAUUCGAGUUAUCAAUCAAACCCAAAUAUUAGAGAUUUUCUGUACUCAUCCAUCCAAUUCAGAACCAAAUAAAGUUUCUCUGCUCAUCUCUUUUGUCUGAACCCACAGCAUGCAGAUGGUGGAAGGGAGAGUGGAUCCCAUAAAAGUACCAAAGCUUCCUUUUGAUAUUAUCAGUGAGAUUUUGAGCUGGUUGCCUGUCCAGUCUUUGCUAAGAUUCAGGUGCGUGUGCAAGCAAUGGUGUUUGUUGUUGACUCAAGACCACCAGUUUAUUGCCAAACAUAGCGGCCGAGCCAGUCGUCUGCUACUUCCACGUAUGUCAGGCCCAGGAAAAAUUCUUUAUGACGAAAACUUCAAGUUUCUUUACCAUUUGUCCGGAGGCUUGUUAAUGGAGAUGAGCCUAAAAAAUUCUCGAGUCUACAGAAUCAGAAAUCCUGUAACCCAUCAAGUGCUUUACUUGCCUGAUGCGCCUGAAGGCACGGAUGAAAUCGACAUUGCAUUUAAUUCAUUCACUCGUGAGUGUAAAGUGGUAUGUGUUCAUGGUGAAGACGGAGAAGAGGUCGGUUUUGAAGUUCUAACAGUUGGAAAGGAUGAGCAAUGGAGACCCCUCAAACACCCAAACCAAGACUUACUAAAGCAACAUGGCAAGCAGGCGCUGAAACAAAAAUAUUGGCCAGCAGCUUACAAGGCUGAAGGGCUUGGCCAUUUCACUCAACUUAUUUCAGACGGGAAAGAUUUGUACAUGGAAAUUCAAUCUCUUGAGAUCUGGAGUGAACGUUUCACUACUAAUACUGUGCCCCGGGGAUUUUUUGCAGACUUGAAUGAAGUUUCGGUUUUAACUUGGAAUCACUGUCUAGCUGUUCGCAAUAUAACAGAGGAGAACCUUAAUGUCUUGGUGUUAGAGGACUUCAAGGAGCACAAAUGGAGUCAAAACAAGAUCAUCGUUCCGUUGACAUUUUUAAAGGACCGCCCGGAAUGGAAGGACAAAAUUGUUCAUGCCAUUGGCAUACCUAAGUCUGGUGUACUGCAAUUGGCUAUUAAUCAUGUUUACCGAGACGGUAUUACUAAAACAAUAAUAGUUAUUGACUAUGAUAUGAGUAGCCAGACAGUAAUACAUGAGCGCAAACCUCCACCGCCCUUUCCAUUGCCUGAAACUUGUUGGCAUGAUCCAAGCCUGAUAGCUCUUAAAGGAAUGAAAUCAGAGAAGGCUGGCUUUUCUCCUGGUGAUGGCUUUUUAAUCUGCUUUUUCUAGCUUUAAAAAUGUAACAGCCCUGCAAGAAUAGUCACAGAUUGUGGGAAGUUAUUGUCUUUCAUUCCCAUGCUUGCUUAGAAUUUGAGCCUGUAACAUCUGGUCACAAUUUGUGCCCGUAGUUUACAGAUGACCUGGACCGGUUUUGGUAGUUGUUAAUUCGUGUAUGUUUUUAUUUGAUUCUUUGUAUCCCAUUAGUCUCCAUUUUCUUCUUUUCUUUCGGUCUUUAUCUGAAUCUGGGAAUCCCAAAUAGCCAAUUCAUAAGAGCUCAUGUUGAUCAAGCUGUGUCUAAUUCAAUUUGUAGCAGUAAACUACAUAUACAAUAAAUGUUAUUAACAUUUUAUACAAAUUGCGAAGUAAGGGUUUCAAUUUCAAGGGGUGGAGCCUCCAAGAGGUUUCAUAGCUUCAAUAAGCAUUUCCCUGAACCUCACCAAAUUAACCUUGAGAUUCUGCCCAUCAACAUACACAGCCCUGGCAGCCUGAUAGCCCUUCAAGAAUAUACACAUGGCCAUAGACAAUAAUAAUGCGUGAACUAUCCUCUGGUUUAAUCUUCUACUCCAAAUAACACAAUCCCAUUUCACUCGCCGGUCCACCAUAAUAGUUUUCUGAAGGCCAAUCUAGCCCCAGUGGUACCACUUGCACCAGCAUGCCCUGGCUGGUAAGAAGAGUGCAUUUGUAAGGCCAGCACCAUGAGCUCCAACCAUGACACUACACAAGUUCACCAAUCCGGAAAACAUGUCCAAAUUUGAUGUCUGGGUGGGUAAGCUUUGCAGCGAUGACUUGAAAGUCUAAUUGUUCCAUCAUUCCACCAUUUUAUCUUCAUUCAAAAACUUCCUUGUUUUGCGACGAGAUAUGAGAACUAGCGCUGGUUUUUUAUUCUUCUGAUCCGAUGCAUCCUUCAUUUUCAGCAUGUAUGAUUCUCUUAGGAACUGCUUGAACCCGAACAUUAACCUCCAGGAAUUUCUGUAGAAUUUAGAGCUAAGUUGUCAUGAUAUAUAUACUUGACCCUAUGACAGCUCCAGGAUAGCACUGAACACUUGCAUUCUCAACUGGAUUUAUAAACAUCAUAACUGGACAAUGUUGAUAGAAUGCAUUCGUACUUGCUAACCCACCAACACUUCAAAUCAGUUCUGACAAACUGAAGGUGGGAUUGAAAGUGCCGGGACGUGAUGAACAAGGGGACGAUGGAUUCAUUGAACUCAUGAAAUAGAUUUCCUGUGAAGCCCCAAGAGGAAAAAACCACAUCUGGGACUUUGUGAGUAAAAUUGCAAGCUGGUGGAAUACUAGUGUUUCCAUGUAGUAUUUUCACUCGAGUCACAGCCUUCAUUGCAGUCUGAUCCUCUUUCCUUGCAUAUGGCUGAACCUUGUGUUCAUCUUGGGCUUGAUUGGAUGGUAUGUAAACUGUUAAGGCAUUCUUGUCAAUUAGAACUGGUUUAUUAGCCAGACACACUUCAGAGUAAAGGUCAGAGUGGCAAGAAAAUCCGGUUGUUUCGAGAUGUAUUCAAUCUUCCCCUGCAGUAUGCAUAUUCAUUAAUCUUCAUAAUCUUACAUGACUUAACACAAACAAAAUCAGCAAUCAUGUAUUGGAUCUGUCAACCCCUUUUCGUAACAGCUGGUUAGACUUAUGCUGUAUUAGAAAGCAAGUAAAUCAAACCUCUAGCUAGUCUUCCGAAGAGAAACUUGAGAGGCUCUUCCACUCCAAUGCCUUUAUCAUCCUUUCUACUGUGGUCAGUACCAUUCCAAUUGAAUAGCUGGUGCUUCCCUUCAAUUUCAUUCUCAAAUUAGUCAAUUCAAUGGCUAUAGCAAAAGAAGGAGAAAACAAUCACCACCAUAAGUCUCACAUCUGAAACUUGACUAAAUAAAAUAAAAUAUAUAAUGAAUGGUUCAAUUACUAAUAUCACCGGGGCCUUUUGUGAUAAAACCUCACACCUAUUAGGCUUUGUAAGUGGUUAAGUUGGGGAUAAUAUCGGUGUUAAUGGUAGUAGGCCGCUGGCCUGUCUCUCUGAAAUUUAAUAUGGUAUCAGAGCGAAUUGAUUGACUAAACCUGAAUUGGACCUUUACCCUUACCCAAUAUGUGGUAGCUUAAAUGAUUGACUCCGAUGUAGACUUGACUCUACGUGUAGCCCACUAUAUAGUGGUCCCACGUGAGGGGUGUGUUGAAGAAUAUAAAUCUCACAUCGGAAACUUGACUAAAUAAAAUACAAUAUAUAAUGAAUAGUUCCACUAUUAACAUCAUUGAGGCCUUUUGUGAUAAAACUCUACACCUAUUAUUAGUGUUGCUAGUAGUGAGUUGCCGACCCGUCUCUCUGAAAUUUAACAACCAUGGCCUAACUAAAGAAAUAUUACUGCUGCAAUUGCAAAUUAAGUACGCACUUGCAUGUACCAAAGGGUUCAUAUUGGAGGUAAUGCAACAUAAAGCAAACCAAUUGUAAGCAACCAAAUCACUGAAAUUGCACCAAACAUAAAGCAAACCAAUUGUAAGCAACCAAAUCACUGAAAUUGCACCGAGCACCCUUUUUUUUUGGAUAAGAAAAAAGGAAAUCACAAACAGAAACCACUCGAGCAUGCAGGCCCAAACAGGUCGAAGAAGAAAGGAACCGAACAAUUCAAAGGCAAGCCCGAUUCCCACAGCUUAGAAGGGUUGAGCCCAUGGCCCAUAUUUGCAACAGCAUCUACCGUGAAGUUCGCCUCGCGAUAGAUAUGAUUGAAGGAUGCACCAAGCACCCUUGUUUUGGUCUCCUUGGUCAUCCUUCAUUGAUCCAAAAUCCUUUCAUGGCAUAUUUACUAAUCCGUAAUUGGAUUAGGAGGAAUUGAAUUGAGGAUGAAUUGAAUUGAUAAGGAGGAGUUGAAUUGAGGAGAAUUAGAUUCCGGAUUCCUAUUGAAGUUGUUUACUAAACCAUAUGGAUUGAGGGGAGUUAGAUGCCGGAUUCCUAUUGAAGUUGUUUACUAAAUCAUAUGGAAUUGGGGUAAGAGUGGUACUAAUUACUAAAAUAUCCUCGUUGUUAGGUUAAAGUAGAUGACAAAUUUGGAAUUUUAAAAAUUGUGUGAGGAUAUAAUUGGUAAAAAUGAUGAAUUUCUAAUGGGUUAGUUCUCGAGGAAUUAGAAUACCACCUCCCACCCAAAAAUUGAAUACCUCCAAAAUCAAGACUUCAAUUCCUAAUUUUGUGUGGACCCCCACUUACUUUUCAAUUCUUCGAUAUAAAGUAAACACAGCAAUCCUCCAUAUAUGGAAUUCAAUUCCUGAUUAGUAAACACAUUAUCAAAGUUUUCAAGUCAAAUAUGAAACAAACAAGAAGAUGACAACCUAGAAAUAUCCUGCCAUCUAUAAUUCAAGUGUCCAAUAUUAUUUUCGGACUGCGCAAUUUUGUUUCUUUCCACUUUGUUAGCCUGCAGCCAUCAACUUUUUUUUAUUCGUAAUUAUUUAUAAUAAUAUAAUAAACUUGUAAAAUAGAGCAACGUGUGCUAAACCAAUUUUUGGUUACUUCUGCUGGAUUCAAAUAAACACAAUAUAUUUGUUAAGGGUCGUUUGUUCUUCAUUUUUUAUUGCUCAAUAUAGUUCAAUUUGCUUCAAAAUAGGCAGCUUGGACUAUGAGAUGAAUGAGCCUAUGGACUUGAGAAUGACAGUAAACUCUAUCGGUCUAUCUCAUAUCAUUAAAACGAGAUAAAACAAGAUAAGGAAACUAUAGAAGAGAACUUUGGGUAGCGUUUAUCAGGAUUCAUCAUUGGACUGAUUCCAAUUUCUGUUUUUCUUGUGUUUACUAAAACAUAUAGGUAUUUUGAGUUAUUCCAAAAUCUGACUUCCCUUACAUUUACUAAUACAUAAAGAAACUAUAGAAACUUUAAAUAGAGAACUUUGGGCAUGCACCUUUUAUCAAUGGCCAUUGGAGUGAUUCCAAUUCCUAUUUCUCUUGUGUUUACUAAAACAUGGGUAUUGGAGUUAUUCCAAAACCUAACUUCCAUUAAAUUUACUAACACAUAAGGAAUCAAAAAAUUAUGUAGAUUCUAUGUUAAAUCUGUAAUCAAAUACCUUAAAAAAUAUGAAUGGGAUUAACAAGGGGGAGUAGUUAAUCCUAUUCCAAUUCCCUUAUUCCCCUAUCUAAGUUCCUUGAUUUAUGGCUUCUCUUAUUAAUUCCUGAUAAGUAAAUAUAUCGUUCGGGCCCACUUCUUUAGUGGAGGUUUUCUUUUGGGGUAACUUGUUUUUUAUUUCCUUAUUAAAAAUUGGUUAUAUCAAUCUUAGUAAGAUUUGGUUUUCUUUUACCAAUAGGAUUUGGAUGACUUGUUUUAGUAUACUUUUUGGGAGCCUAUAAAUUCAGAGAUUUAAGUUUGGGUGUUUUAGAACACAGAAGAGAGAUAGUGAGAGCCAAAAGGUUUGAGAGUGAUCUUCACGGGUUUAAGAUACAGUGUCCAAGAGUUGUAUCAUAUUGGCUACGAGCUCAGGUUUGGGACUAAAAUAUUAAGUGGCUAUUCUUGUUCUUAUUUUGUUUUCUCAUACAUAGUCUCUCAAUGAUCUGAACUGUUUAUUUAUUUUUGUGUCCUCAUUGAAUGAUUAAUGACAGCACAAAAAUUCAUUUAAAUCGAAAAUCGUUGGAUAAUCUAACUAUUUUGCCAAACUUAGGAAGACGAGGAGGAACAUAGUAUUAAUAAGCAUAUGGUAAACGUGGAUUGGGCCAGUUGGCCAUAACAGUGAACUUGCCACUUACACCCAAAUUCGAGCCCCCUUCCCCGAAGAUUAGAUUAAUUUAGAGUAGUUUACUGUUUGUGUCAAAAAGUAUUAAUGCAUAUAUAUAUAUAUAUAUAUAUAUUCAAAUUAACAUGGUGACAUAUACAUAUGAAUAAGAGCGUUGAUUGUUUACCAGUUAGUUGUUAAUAUAACUAUUAAAUUAGUACUCAUUCAUAUUCAAUCCAUUAUGUUAUAUCUCAUGAUCUACACUGUUCAAUUUUUAGGUCUUCAUUCGAUGACGACACUUGCACAAAUCAACCAAAUCAGAAAUCAGAAUGCGUUCAAGUAAGUUAAUAUACUUUCUCUCUCGUUGAUCAUCGUUCAUUCAAAACAGUUAUAAUUAUAAUCAAUAGAAAUUUCAUGCCUCAAAUCAAUAACUACCGAGUAAAAAAAUUAUAUCAUCUAAAUGACUUCAUAUAACUUUAUGGUACACAGGUUGGAGAUGGCGCAUUGCUACCAAAGAAAUAAAAGGAGAACAGAACCUCUCCAUUGCUACCUGUUGACCUACCAAAGAAAUAAGAGGAGGAGAGUGAACCACGUAAAAGCAUCAAAGCUUCCCUUUGAUGUCAUCACUGAGAUUUUAAGCUGCUUGCCUGUGGACUCUUUGCUAAGGUUCAGGUGCGUCUGCAAGCAAUGGUUUUCGUUGAUUCAAGACCUCCAGUUCAUUGCAAAACACAUGGAUCGAGCCCGUCCUCUGCAAUACUCCUGUGCAUUAAUCAAACAUGAAACUAAAAUAUUAGAAGCUGUGAUUGAUGAAAAUUUCAAGUUCCUUAAGGUUUGUUCUGGCUUGUUUUUGGAGAAGAGUCUUAAUUCUCAAGUUUGCCGGAUCAGAAACCGUGCAACUCAUCAAGUACUUUACUUGCCUAAUGCACAUGAAAGCGCAGAAAUAAUGGACUUUGUUUUUAAUCCAUCGACUCAUGAGUGUAAAGUGGUAUGUGUUGGAGAAGCUGGUUUUGAAGUCAUAACUGUUGGAAAGGAUGAGCAAUGGAGACCUCUGAAGCGCCCUAACCAAGAUGUGCCUCAACAGCAUAGCAAGAAAGCAAUAAACCUAAAAUAUCUGAAAGCAACUAACAAGGCAGAAGGGAUUGGUCAUUUGGUUAUAUUUAUCGUCGACGGGAACAAUUCGUGCCUGGAAAUUCAAUCUCUUGAUAUCUGGAACGAAUGUUUCACUACUACUACGGUGCCCCGGGGAUUUUUAGUACAUUUGCCUAAAGUUUUGAUUAGCUAUUGGAAGCAAUGUGUAGCUUUUGCAGAAAUAGCAGAGGGAAAGCUUAACAUAUUGGUGUUAGAGGACGUGAAGGAGCACAAAUGGAGUAGAAAGCAGAUCACUGUUCCGUCGGAAUUUUUAAAGGAUCAGAAUCUUCCUAAUAGGAAAGCUAGUAAAUUUAUUUUGUGUGACAUGGAGAGGCAGAUAAGUAAGGUCAUGUAUUUAGAGAAUGGGAAGAAAUAUUUAACUUCAAGGCAGUACAAGCCAAGCCUGAUAGCUCUCAAGGGAAUGCAAUCAGAAAGGGCUGGAGUGGAAAUGGAACUAUGAUCAUUUAUAUGUUGGCGAGUUCUUACUUAGUUAGGAUUUUGGUUCCUUAUUUUAUUAGAAUUUUAGUUACUUACCAAUUAUUAUUUAGUCCUAUUGUAAUAGAGAUUUACUUUCUAUUAUAAUUUAGAUAUAUUUCCUAUUUUAUUUAGGGUUAACACAUCUUUGUACUUGUAUAAUUACCUCCAUAUUGGAGAAGAAUAAUAAUAUGAGUGAAUCUGAGCAUAACUAAAUAUUUGCCCUACUUUGUUUGACAGUAUAUAGGCAUAUAAGAAACUUGGUGGUGUAGCAGGAAUGAAAACUGAGACACCCCAUCUCCAAUUCCAUUAUGCAUGAUGAGACGGCUACUCUCUUGAGUUGUCUUUCCGCUUCUCAGUUUGAGCACUUUAUCUUUGUCUUUGUCUAUGUUCAUGAUUUGCUGGGUUUCCUCCCUUACUAUUCUCCUUUUAUGAAGUUUUUUCUUCAUGGGACAGACGUAUGCUACCACCUUCCCCUCUUGCAUUUGUUUCUGCCAUAAGAUUGGCAUGUUUGAGUCUCUUUACUAUUAUUUCAAUUUCUCUUCUUUCAAAUCUCGACCCUUUACCAGUGUCUGAUUUGAUAGGGAGAUAGAUGCAACUUUAUUUUUCGGUGUUGCUUUCUCCAAAUCUCGACUCUCAUACAUCGUCGGAUUUGAGGGGGAGUGAUACCACUGCUCAUCUAUUCUGCUGCAAUUCAGCUACCUAUAUGUCAUGGCUGAUUCUUCUACAUCUGAGCGUCAGUCAGCUUCUGUUUCUUAAGUGCCACUUUUCUUAUGGUUCUGACGACCCUCUUCUCUUCAGGGGGAGAGGGAGAGUGAAGAUAAGUUGUCUGUGCGAUAAUGGAAAUAUUUGUCAUUGUUAUUGUUGCUAACUACUAUGUCCUUUGCUGGUGCCAGUACCAUUGCUCAUCCUUGUUAUGUCUCUUGCUGGGGACAAUGUUACUGCUCUUCCCUAUUAUGACUCUUGUUGGGAACAGUGUUGAUUACUGCUGAUGAUGCCUGUUAUGUCCAUGCAUUGUUGCUCUUGCUGGUGCCAGUGCCUUAUAUUGCUAUUGUUUGGUACCAGUAUUAUUGCUCCUGCCUAUUAUGACUCUUGCUGGGGACAGUGUUGAUUACUGUUGAUGAUGCCUGUUAUGUCCCUGCCUUGUUGCUCUUGCUGGUGUUAGUGUCUUGUAUUGCUGUUGUUUAGUACCAGUAUUUUUACUCCUGCCUGUUAUGGUGCCAGUAUUGUUGCUCAUGCCUUUGCUGGUGUGUUUCUGUUGUGGUCGAUGUUGCCACUGUUAAUGUUGCCUUUACUUGCUUCGCUUUCCGUUGAUGUUGUUGUGGCCUUGCCCUUUGCCUUUGCUUCUGUCGUGCUCACAGGAUUUCUCUGUUCUGCCUUAUCUACUGCCGUGCUCACAGAUUUUCGGUUUCUGUAUUUUGCCUAAUCUACUGUCGUGCUCACAGAGUUUCUGUGUUCUACCUUACCUACUGCCGUUCUCACAGGGUUUCUGUGUUCUGCCUUAUCUACUGCCGUGCUCACAGGGUUUCUGUGUUCUGCCUUACCUACUGUCGUGCUCACAGGGUUUCUCUGUUCUGCUAUGUGCCCUAUUUUUUACUGUUUGCUCUUGUAUUUCCGCUGCGAACUUUGCUUUAGUUUGUCACUUGUUUCACUCGUGGUUGACGAAAAGACGUUCUCUACAAUUGGUGCUUCUCAAGUAUGGUGUUCUGUGACUCGCUUGUCAAGUUGGGCUUGCGAAAUAUCUUUGCCCAACUUGAGGGGGAGUGUUGGUGAGUCCUUACUUAGUUAGGAUUUUGGUUCCUUAUUUUAUUAGAAUUUUGGUUACUUACCAAUUAUUAUUUAGUCCUAUUGUAAUAGAGACUUACUUCCUAUUGUAAUUUAGAUAUAUUUCCUAUUUUAUUUAGGGUUAACACAUCUUUGUACUUGUAUAAUUACCUCCAUAUUAGAGAAGAAUAAUAAUAUGAGUGAAUCUGAGCAUAACUGAAUAUUUGCCCUACUUUGUUUGACAGUAUAUAGGCAUAUAAGAAACUUGAUGGUGUAGCAGGAAUGAAAACUGAGACACCUCAUCUCCAAUUCCAUUAUGCAUGAUGAGACGGCCACGAGCCUGUAGAUUAGGUGGCUGGGAAUAUGGUGGUGCUCUAUUUGAUGCAUUAUUUCGUUGUAAUUGAAUUUCAAAUUUUAAAUUUUGAAUUCUUUCCUUGAUAAUAUUGACCAAAUAUAUGGAUAAAAUUCAAUUUAAUCAAUGAAAGUAAAGACUCACAUAUUAUACCAAUCGAUCUAACAAGCACCUACAUGAAAUUAUGUACCUGCCAUAUAUGUAAAUAGUGUUAUUAUUAGCAAUGAAAAAAACUUAGUGAUAAAUCGUGUUAUCUAUAAGUCAUGAACAUAAAUUAGAAGACUACCUAUAAGUUAGGAACAUAAGUUAGAAGACUACUUAUAAGUCAAAUACAAAAAUAGAUAAAUAAAAUUGUAUGUUACCUAUAAAAAAUUUUUUUAAAAAAGGCUUAAUUAUUGUUUCACCCCCUAGAACUAGGGCUAGCAAUGGGUCGUGUCAUGUCGGGUUCGUGUCGUGUCAGGAUUAUAUACGUGUUAGGAAUGCUCAACCCAAACACGACCCGUUUAAUAAACGUGUCGUGCAUAGGUUGACCCAUUAAGUUAUCAUGCGAGUUUCGGGUAGUGUUGGGUUGACCCGCUAAGUAGUUGCAACUAGAAGACAUUAAAAAAAAAAUUAGAAAAAUGAAGAAUAAACAAAUAAAUGGGUUAGUGGGUUGGCGGGUUACAUAGGUAUUUAAGCGGGUUAAUAAGCAUUUUAACGGGUUGGCAGGUUGACUCGCAUGACUCGUUUUGUUAAACGGGUUACAUAGGUUUUUUAGCGGGUUGGCCGGUAGACCAAAAACCCACUGUUUAUUAAACGGGUCAAGACGAGUUGACCCAAAAAUGACCCAAAUUUUAAUUGUGCGGGUUGAACCCUCUAAAUUCUCAUGCAGAUUUCGAGUCGUGUAAUGGGUCAUGCCCGAAAUUGCCACCCAUACCUGGAAUGGACGCUCAGUCUCACUUUACCACUUGAAACUGAAAUUUUCUCACUUAACCCUCUGAAUCUCUAAAAAUUGCUGAAAUUUUCUCACUUCAUCACUUCCGUCCACAAAACUAUUAAAUGUGCUGACGUUACAUAGAAUUUUAGUAAUUUUACCUCAUCUAUCUUUUCUCUUUGCCUCUCUCUCACUCACACUCCCACUGCCUCUAUUUUCUCUCCUCUCCCCUCCACUCCCCAACCCUAACCCCAUCGCACCCCACCCCCUCCCUCUCGUCUCUCUUCUCUCUUCUUUCUUCUAUCUGCCUCUCUCCCCUCCCUUCACUAGACCCAGCCUCCACCCCAGACCCAACCCCCACCCCAAACCUAACCUUCCUUCGAAUUACUCAACACACCCAAACCACCAUCACCCACCACCUUAGUUGCCACCACGCACCAUGUCUUCUCAAGAGACACCACCUCGUGAGGCAGAGACAUAGAGACAGUGCUUGCUUAGAUUAGGGCCAUGCCGAGAAUGGAGGUGAAGACUAUGGUUGCCCAAAUUCUGACUUGUACAGGCAUGAAGUUAUUGGUCUCAUCUCACAUGCCCAAAUUCCGCAUUGGAUUCCAUUUUUGCAAGCUAGGAAACUACACUACGAUUUGCAAGCUUGCUAAUGCUUCCAAUUUUGGGGCUUUGGGGCUGGUUGGAUAAGGAGUGAAAGUUUGUCAUUGUGGGAGGGGGGGUAUAGGGCAGAGGUUGCUGAAGAGAAUAUGGGGAGCAGCUGUCGAUGAGAUAUUUUUUUAAUUUUGAGUUUAAAGAUUUUUUUAAUAUAUCUCAUUUUCAAAUACUCAUCACACAAGGAGCUAAAAUUACUAAGAUGUCCAUGUCACGUUAGCACACUUAAUAGUUUUGUGGACGAAAAUGGAUGGAAGUGGUAAAGUGAGAAAAUUUCAACAAUUUUAAGUGAUUCAUGGGGUUAAGUGAGAAAAUUUCCGUUACAGGAGGUAAAGUGAGACCGAGUGUCCGUUUCAGGGAGUGAAACAGUAAUUAAGCCUAAAAAAUAGGUAUAUAAAAUACUAUUAUACAUUGUCAAAAGUAUGAAAAAAAAAAACACAUACAUAUACCUAUGCUCAAUAGGACAAUAUACCUACACCAUAGAAUAUGGAUAUGUUAACAUAGCAAAAAAUAGAUGAAGAAAAUAAGAAGAUGGAGAACGAAGAAGGGAAUAAGAAAUGGAGAACAAAGAACAAGAAAGCAGAAGAUGGAGACGAAGAACAAGAAAGAAUAACGUGCAUAUGGUUAUAAGCUAAAUUCAAGGAGAAGUUGUAUCUCAAAAAUAAUAAAUUGUCCUAAAAUUAUGGGAUUUAUUAAUCUAUGUAUACAGUCCUGAUCUCUUGGACCACAGGAGUCCAAGAGAUUGUGGUCACUCACCGUUGGAUAUUAAUCUAAUGGUUCAAAAAAGUUUCUUAAAAGGAGUUCAAGAUUGAGUGAACCGUUGGACCACAAAUCUCUUGGACUCCUGUGGUCCAAGAGAUCGGGACUGUCUAUGUAUAUCCCUAUAUUAAAAUCAUAAUAAAAUUUCAUAAUUGUUGUCCUAUAAAUUAAUUUUUAUACGAUUUAUCCUUCAGGGGCAUAAUAGGAACAACUACAUAAUCUAAAAAUAAUAGGGUUAAAUACUUUUUUGGUCACUGGAUUUUACCCAAAAAUUUAAUUUGGUCACUAAGAAAAAAAUUUAACCAAAUUGGUAGCUGUGUUUCCUAAAAUUUACAAUUUAUAGACAUUCCUUUAAGUGCAUUUGUUAUUUUUAUUUUGUUUUAGAAAGCACGUCCAGCCUUCUUCCUCUAAUUCAAUGAGUUAGGGUACGUAUAUUAUGCUAUUAGGGAUUUUAAAUUGGGAGAAAUCUUAGGUUAAAAUCGAAAUUGUGAGGUAUAAGGAAAAUCGAAAAACCAAACAAAAUUAAAAUGAAAAAGCAACUCACUAAUAUAUUCUCAAAAUUAAAAAAAAAACCUACCAAAAUAUUUUGGUGCUUUAUAUAACCUUAAUUACGUCUCUUUGCCAUCCGAAGUCACAAUGCGAUUCUCACUCAAUCGAUUCAAGCUUCAAUAUAGCAUCCAAUAUGUGACCUUGUAACUCACAAUUUCUAUUUCAACCCAAUAUUUCCCCCAAUUUGUUAAACGCUAAUAGCACAAUAUACCAUAACUCGUUGAGUUAGAGGAAGACGACUGAAUGUGUUUCCUAAACAAAAUAAAUAAAAAUUGCACUAAAUCGAAGUUAACGGAAGAUAAUGGACUGUUUAUAAAUUUUAAACUUUAGGAAACACAAUGACCAAUUUGGCUAUAAAAAAAAAUUAUGAGUUACCAAAUUGAAUUUUUUUGUAAAAUCCAGUGACCAAAAAGGCAUUUAACCCAAAAUAAUAAUAAUAAUUGAUCUACAUCAGAAAAUACAAAAAAGGAAUGUGUAAUCCUAUUUGACAGAAAAGUCAAAGGACUUAUAUCAACGGCAACAAAAUGCAAGGAUUAAACCCAAUUUAUGUUCUCAAUUUUGGACUUAUCCCAAAUUUUCUAUAUAUUUUUUCAUAAUUACUAUAUCAAAUAAUAAAUUAAUUUUUAAUAAAUGUUGCAAUUUAAUUGUUUAACAUUAACAACAGGGAAAGAAGAACAAAACUCAAAACCCAAUUUUCUGAAAGAUCCAAUUUUAUUUCCAUGUACAAAGUAGGGACAUUCUAUAAUGAAGGUGUCAUAUAUAGACCACUCAUCAUGUGAACCUUCAUAUUAGCCAUAGGAUCAUUUCAUUAAACUUAAGUGAAGUUACUAUUCAGAUGAAUCAUGUGGCUAAUAUGGAGGUCCACAUCUAUAGUCCAUAUAUGACACCCUCACCAUAGAACGACUCGUACAAAGUAACCUUACGGCCUACGAGCCUGGGACCCAAAGGCUUCGAAAUAGGCUGGUUAAGUUGGACAGCAAGCUGAGCACGAGACUGUUGAACAGAGUAAAAGACGAAUAAGCAUGUCGCUUUUGAAUGGGCUUAAAGAAAGAGCUUUUAUGAAUGUCCUUUGUUUUCUUAACUUUUUUUUGCUUUUAAUACAAAGGAUAAUCUACUUUAAUCUAAUCUAAAUUACGGGGAGCGGCUUCUUUGGAAUCUUAGUUGGGAUGCCUAGGCUAGAGUGUCUUCGAUUGUGAGCGAUAAUCUACUUUAAUCUAAUCUAAACUACGGAGAGCGGCUUUUUUGGAAUCUUAGUUGGGAUGCCUAUACCAGAGUUUCUUCGAUCGUGUGUGAGACUGCUCUAUUAUUGUAAUGGCGUGAUAAAUAAACGGGAUUCGAACUUGAUCGCAAAGUGGGGAGCACAUCUGCUCUAACCAACUUAACUAAGCCCAUAUCAGUUUGUUUCCUUAACUUUAAAUCUCUUGAACUGUGGUGAUAAAUAGACAAAAUUCAAUUGAGGAUCGUUGGUGUUUGAUGUCAAAUAAAAUAGUAAUUAUUUUCCUUAUUUAUUCCAAAUAUUAAGCAAGAUUCUCGUUAUGGGUGGUCUUCAAUUUUGAAAGCAAAAGAACCGACAGUGCUUGACGAUUCUCUACGAGGUUACGAAUAAUGUUGAAAAUAUUCAAAGUCUUCAAUAAUUUGCCUGAUCAAAGUCCUUUCAUUGAAGGAAGGUUGGAUAUUAAAUUUUUUGGUGAACAACCUACAUCUUUGUGAGUGGCCGAAAAUAAGUAAAAUACGUUGCCCAAACCACUAAGCAUAAUAUUUAAAUGGUUCCCAGAUAAAAUGAUCAUGUAUCAUGCUUAUCUUGGACUAUUGCCUCGUAUUAUAUAAUGUAUUUGCUUCGUAAAAGUUUGUCAGUUGUAGAGUUGUUAAGCAUGAUAUACGUGAUUAGAGAAGGAAUCAACAAGCCUAGGGAAAAGAGAAAAAAAGAAGAGGGGGGAGGGGGGAGGGGGGGAGAGAGAAAGAGGCGAGAGGGACAAAAGUGGUAGGGAGUCACGUGAUUAGAUAUAAAUGGUAUUGAACUCUAUAAUUAUUUAUAUAAUAUAUUUGCUUCGUAAAAGUUUAUCAGUUGUAUUGUUAAGCAUAUAAUAUGGGGUCCUAUACUAUAAUAUGUAUCAAACCAAAAUCUAGAAUUAGGGUUGUAUGUUAGGUAGGAGCACGAUUUGAUAUACUUAAUUUGGAAUAAACUCUGAAUGACAAGAACAGAAUGAUUCGUAUAUCCAAUCCAAAGGUUCACAUCCAAUCAUCCAAAUGAGUCUUUGGUUUAAGUCAUUUUAGGUUGAGUGUGCUUCCGUAAAGUUCCAACAUGCAUUUGAUAAUGUCUUUUUUUUUUCCUUUUUUUUUUUUGAAAAUCUGAGUUUGAUAAUGUCAAGUAGUCCAUUACAUGCGUAUUGAUAUUGUUUUUGUUUUUGUCUUUUUAUAUACAAAGAAAGGGAAAUGAUUAAAAUACAAAAAGAUAAAAAUCUUAGAAAACUUGACACACCAAGAGAUAUUUUCCAGGCUAUUGACACCCCACACACAACACUCCAAGAGCAGGUGGGGACUUUCGACAGAUAGCAUGGAAGCGUUACCGUCAAUCUUUUUGAGGGAAAACAAUAAACAUUUUAAUCACUUUUCGUUGUCCUUUUUUUUUUUUUUUUGGGUUCUUUGAUGAUAGCACACUAUUGGCUAGCUAGCACCACCAAUCGUGAUUCUUCCAAGAAAUAUAUAUCUACUUCUUUUUUUGUAAGAAAAUGGUUGCAAAUAAUUUGUUAGACUUUACAAUUGGAUAUCAGUUUCUUUUUUUUCCUUUUCUAUGGAAAAUCAAAUGGAAUUGUUGAUGAUAUGAGAUGAAUUGAGGUUAUUUAGCACACUAGCACUAGUUAUUUUUAUAUUCUUGUAAAACAUAAUUUAGGUUUUUCCUUCUUUUUUUUUUUUUUUUUUAAGACAUUUCGUAUUGAGAGGGGCGAUAAUGUACUAAACUCACACACACUAUAUGGAUGUCAGAAUUCAAACCCAAAAUCUUACCUAAAGAAGCAAUUGCUUCAAACCACUUCAUUAGUGGGUGCUCUAAACCACUUCAUUAGUGGGUCCUUUAUUCAGAUUUUUACUUUUAAAUGCAAGUUUAUGGUAGUAGAGACAGAUAUGGCCAAAAAUAUUUGGUCACUGCUUGCCUGUUUGGCAUUCACUUGCACGCAAACAAAUUUUCAAAUGGUAGAAAUAAUGUUCUUGCAUGCAUGCCCACUUGCCUCUUCAUAUAAUAUUAUAACAAGAAAAAAUUAUCACUGAUGUCAAUAGCUCCUGGAUUGUGGAUGAGUAUUAAGACUGAAACAAUUAUGACAAAAGAUGCCACUGAACUGAUAGCAAUAAUAACUGCAAAUUUCCAGCUUGCAAUGUUGGAGUUUAGAGUGUGUUGCUCUGAUACUGUUAUUGGCCCGUAGAUGAUAAUGAUAAAGAGCGGCAUUUGAGAUCAACUUUAUAUACCAAUUUGUGUAUUAUCUAUUUAAUAGAGCGUGGGACUCAUUGUAUUGAUAGGUUCCACCUCUAUUAUAGAGAUGAUACACAAGUUGGUAUCUAAAGUUGAUCUCCUUAGCAUGACCCAUAAAACAAUAGGGCAAUAGUUAAUAGUUGAAACAAAGUGAUUUUAUUAAAAAUGAAGGAAAAUAGUACAUGGAUUAGUGUACAUAGAUAUAUAGGAUUCUAGGCUAUUGGCGGCGCUUCACUCAUAAAUCUACGCUAUUAGCCCUUGGCGCAGCUGUGUAACUAUGCUGCUUGACAAUUUAGUUGAUGAACUAGAACUAGGCUAUUGGCCUUAGCUUUAGCUCUUGGCUCCAAGCUUGUUGCUUAGAGCGGGUAGCUCUCUUUGUAGCUGCACCUUUCAUUAUCUUUUGUACAGUUCUAGCUAGAUUGCUCUUGUAAUCUUCAUUCAUUUGUGCGGCUAUUGUUGGCCCGUAGAAGAUAAUGAUAAGGGGCGUCGUGUCUGGUUCGUCGGUGAAGGGGUUUAGUAUAGAACAAUAGGACAAUAGUUAAUAGUUGAAACAAAGUGAUUUUAUUAAAAUGAAGGAAAAUAUUACAUGGAUUUGUGUACAUAGAUUUAUAGGAUUCUAGGCUAUUGCGCUUCACUCAUGACUCUACGCUAUUGGCCCUUGGCUGCGUAUCUAUUGGCAACUUGAGCUCUUGGCGCCAUAUCUUUGUAGCUCCACCUUUCAUUAUUAUUACUUGCAUGCUAUUUAUAGUGGAGAUUGCCGACUCUGUUCCUCCGCCAUGGAACAUCACUAAGCCACAAGUCCUUGUUCUAGAAUAUUCUUCAUUCUUCACUUUGAUUUGCCGACAUAGUCCAUUGUUUCCAGCCAUUAUCUUUUGUACAGUCUUCUAGCUAGAUUGCUCUUGUAAUCUUCAUUCAUUUGUGUAGCUAUUGUUUAGCCAACAUGCAUACGCCUUCCAAGUUGCUUACAGAUUUUUGAACAAUGGAGAUUUUAAUAUACAAGGAACUCAUAAUAUAUGACAGGAAAAUCAGUUCGGUACAAACCCAAUUAAUCAAAGGAAGAACCAUGAAUUCAGUGACAUGGUUCCCCCACUGAUCAAUCAAAUUCCCCAAAACCAAUGAUCCUAUAUGACAAAAAUAUUAUAGUAAGAUUAUAAGAUAUCAGCAGGAAGAGCAAAGCUUUAGAAGGCUUUCUGAUAAGACCCAUGAAUCUUUUUCCAUGACUCUUCCCUCUGCAUCUUCAACUGCUUGUAGAAGUUCCCAAUUAAGGUCUCAGCUUUGGCAAAAAGCUCUGGUCCACUAAGCUCCACUAUUUCUUCUUCUUCCUCCACUUCAUGGUUAUAAUCAGUUACCUCAUCAAGAUCUCCUUGAUCAGCCUCACCAUCCCCUAUGAAGAAAAGGCUAGGCAUGGAAGGACACUUUUUCACACUCUCCAUUUUCACACUGCCAACAAUCUUCUCAGACAGGGACUUCUCAAGCUCAACCACCUUAGGUUUCUCUUGAGCACAUUUUGAAGCAACCCUUUGAUCUUCAUCAUUAUGCGCAAGAAACCAUUUAUCUGAGGAGUAGGCUAAUUCUGGGGCAAUCACAGGUUUGUGAGCAGCAGAAAUCGUACCUUCCUUUUUGUCAUGAUCUGAAGGCUUGGAAGAGGCUGAGAGAAGGCCAGCUUGUGCUCCGAGGGCAACAAUGACGAGGUUAGUGAUGAUAUAGAGAUAAGGAGUCCUUAGUGAUGAGGACAAUAAAGGUGCAAUGGUGAGAAGGAUUGCUAGCAGAGACAACAACAGAAUCUGAGAUUUUUCAAAGGUGUUCAUGGCUGUGGGGCAGUGAGGAAUAAAUAAGAAGGAAUGAGAGGAAUGGGAUUUUUUGUUGUAAAAACCAAGUAGCCUGUGGACAUAUUUAUAGGCAGAGAAAGAGAGAGAGAGAGAGAGAGAGAGAGAGAGAGAGAGAGCUAUUGGUGUCUUAAUUGAGGAUGGUGGCUGCAAAAUACUAUAUAUAAUAGUCAAUAGAAGUACAGAAGAAAUUCAUAUAGGAAAUGAAAGCCUUCAUAAUCACAGCAUAAUUCUUACUCAUCUUUUUUUGACAAAAUCGAUUUCAUUAACACAUCAAGAAUACAUUAAAAGAUGUGACGGCUUCUCGCGUGUCAUUUUCAUGAUUAAUUAAUUUAAGAAUUUGUUACAUUAGUAAUAAUAUUGUCUUAUUCAUUUCGAAGUUGAAUCCAUUGCUUAUAUGUUUUUUGUUUUUUUGCCAAAAGAAAGCUUAUAUAUAUGUUUAUACGAAUAAAUUUUGUUGUUUAAUCAACUAGGUCUUCAGCUGAUGUGGUUUUAACCAUAAUUAAUUCAGGAGUGGCGGCUCUUAGCAAGUCCAAGGUGAGCACUUGCACAAGGCCCUACCUUUAAGAAGGCCCCAUCAGCCACAUGAUAUAUUAAUAUAACAACAUUGGUUUUUUCUUAUGUAACAUGGAGUGGGGCAAAAAAUUCAACACCGAUCCUUUAGAGUUAACUAUCGAUUUACUCUCUAAAUUUAUACGUUACUUUUAAUUUGCGUCCUCAAUUUUUAUUUUUGGAAAAUUAAGUAUACAAACUAAUUUUUAUUGUCAAUUACCCUUUACCAUCUAAAUCUUAACAAUUCAUCUAAUGUAUUGUUACAUGUGAGGGUAAUUUAGUCAUUUUAUAUGUUAAAAUAAUUAAAUAUUAUAAAAUAAAUAAAUAAAACCAUUUUAAUAAACAGAGGGGCCACCCACUCCACCUAUGCCUUCCCUUUUGUUGUAAUUGAAAAAACAUAAGGGAGAGAGAGAGAGUUGUCAUAGGGGAGAAGAAAACAGAGGAGGGGUAGGGUGAAUGAUCUGGGGGUGAAAAAAAAUAGAAGGGGGAGUGGUCUGUGGGGUGGGGGAUUGGUUUGGGGUGGAGGGUGGCUUGCGGUGGGUGGUGGUCAUGGGGAAUGGGAGGACAAGAAAACACGGUAAAAAGGUAGGGGGUCUGGGUUCGAUCUGUGCUCUGUGAGUUCCUAGGAUUUUUAUUUUUUUUAUUUUGUUUUUUUUCUCUUUUUGUUUUGUUUAUUUUAUUGAUUUAACAGAAAAUUAGAUGAACUGUUGAGAUUUAGACAGUAAGGGGAAUUGGUAAUAAAAAUUAGUUCGUGUACUUAAUUUUUCAAAAAAUAAAAUGAGGGUGCAAAUUGAAGUAGAAUACAAGUUUAUGGGGUAAAUCAACGGUUAACCCUAUUAUUUUUGGAUUAACUAGGUUUUACACCUGGCAAGUUAGAUUCAUUAUCGAAAUGGGCCUCAAGGUUUCAAUGUCAUCAAUAUGAAACCCAACGUUUUUAAAUAUGAUUACGCACUCCAUCAACUUCACCGUUUCAUUUUAUCUUUAAUUGUUGUCAAAUUACACACGCCAUUGCCAGUUUCUUUAUUAUUUUCUUUUACACAUAAUCAUGAAAAGCAACUAUCCUACUUGACACAUCACCAAUUUAACAGAAAAUCAAACAAUGAAGUUGAUGAAGUGCUGGUCAUAUUUAAAAAUGUUGGAUUUUAUAUUGAUGAAAUUGAAACCUUGAGGCCUAUUUCAAUAAUGACCCUAAACCUGAAGGGAGUAAAAUGUGGUUAUUUAUUUUAUUUUAUUUUUAUAGAUGUUUCUUAUAUGUUACUGUCUUUUUUAUUGCUUAAUGAUACUUAGUAAUUUAAUGAUCGCUAAGAUUUGGUUUUAUGUUCCUAUUGAAUUAUUUGUUUAAUAAUCCUUUAUAGUAUUUACAAAAUAUAUAUGGUGAUGAGUUUUACUUAUAAAUAUGCUAUCAUUAUAUGGUCCAAUUCUUUUUACAGUAUUUUCGUUGAAGUGUUUUUUAAGAGGUCCUAUUGUUAUUUUGGUACAGAACCCCUAAAAUCCUAGAGUCACCCAUAAGUACAAUAUUAGUAUUUAAAAGUAGAAGAGCAUCCACCAAUUCAAAUCUAUUUGUACCAUAUCUGACCCCUUCACUCACAUCAUGACAUGUGGAAAGUGAAUGAGCCUAAGACCAACCAUGUGAGCCACGCCGAAUAGGUAAUCGGCACACACCACCGAUUCAUACAUGUUCGUCAAAUGGGCAAGUGCUCCCGAUCGACUCCCUUGGAUAGAUCUUCGGCACCUGAUGCCAAACGACCAGUCAGAACACACGGCCGAUUCUACAAGAUAACCUCGGAACUCCCGCCAAGGCCUGUCAAGGCACGUGUCGACCAUCGAAGACUCUCUCACGAGUCCCACAUCGAAAAUAAAUGCUAAGUGAUCACCCAACACCCUUUAUACAUAAAGCCCCUUGGCCCAGCCAAAAGGUAGGACUAUUUACUUGAUUUGUGUUUUCACACUGUCAAUUAAAUUGCUCUUAAGUCACUAAGUUUGGCAUCGGAGGGUCUUCGGCUGACAUCACACCGGUGCUUUAGACCUCACUUAUCGUUCCUUUCCUCAGGCCGAAUCCAGCAUCAUGCCUUGAGAAAGGACGCCACGGACCGAAGGCAUUUAGUUUUAGCACGAACAAAAUUCAUAGCCAUUUGGCAUAUAUAUCUUACCUUUACAAGUUACCUGUACAAAAUGAAUUACAUUUUACAAGUCCUUCAAACUUUGAUACCAUUUUCAAGAAAAUCAACUGGAUGUUAUCAUAAUAUUUAUUGAGGCUAAAAAAUUCUCAAGGAAGGUCCAGGAAUAUUGCAGGCCUAAUGCAUUAUCGUGCUAUAAAAGAAGCCUCUAUAGGAUACGCGGAGGCCCAUCAAGUACGGCUAAGAAACGAGACUACAAUUUGGCACAUGGGGAAGUUAUGGUACAUGUUUACCAAUUUGGAAUGCAAACCUAUAAGGUUUAACAAUUUCACAUGCCCGAGCUCACUUAGCCCACUGCAUUGUCAAGCAUUAUCUAACACAACCCUAAUCCCCUGCAAUACAACGUAGCCCGAGCAAUAAUAUACCACGCCAAGCGACUCCCUUUAGUGCCAAACCACCCAACAAGUUUAAGUAGGCCCAAGCCACAUACAUGCCUAAGGCUCGUUGAGCGGGUGAUGAUGUGGAUGGGUACGAGGAUCUAUAAGGCCCGUUGAGGGUUCAAAAUGUGGAGGUUUUCGGCUGCUUAGGAGCACCAAAACCCAAGCCCACUUUCUUGAGCCCAACCAUGGUGAGAGAAAUUCCAACACCUUUUCCCUUGAGAUCUAACUAGCCUUGCCUAAUUAAAACUGAAACUUUUGAAAUCCAGUUUACAUAAAUAUCUAGACUGAUGAAAUAGAUAAGCCUCAACCUUUCUGUUUGACCAUAACAUUUACCCAUCUUUACCCUUAUGAGCUCAUGCAUGAAAAAAGAAAGGAAAGUCAAGCUGCAGCGUUGCCUAGAAAGGAAGCGUCUGCAAGGUCCAGCUAUAGGAAGAUCUUGGGGCACCAAAAUGUUUUCUCUCAACAGCCAUGAAUUCAACUGAUUUUAGGGAGAUUUCACUUAUUAAUGCCAUAAUGGAGAAAGUGAAGGGAAAUAAAGGAGAAGACUUGGCUAAUUGAGAAGAAACCAUCUAGUGUUUUUGGGGUAAAAAGGAGUUCCAGCACCUAUAAAAAGAUACCAUGGGCUACCCAGCAAGGGGGACUCAACUGAACCAAAGCAAUUGAACGAGCUUAUUCUGUAACUGCUGGAAACAUCAAGCCCAAAAACCUUCCCUUCCAUCUCCUUCUCUAUCCUAAAAACCAACGCAAGUAGGAGCAAGCAUAUUCUCCCAUUGCUGGAAGCACCAUAUUCAAGCUCUGGUUCUUCCAUCUUCUCAUUCCCACUAUAAAAAAAGGCCUAUUCCAGAUCUAAGCCUCUCAAGACAAGCUUAAUCUUGAUUCACAAAAGCUCUUCUACCAAGCUCACAUGGUCAUUGCACAACAUCGCGCAUCAUCUUCAAAUCUUUCAAAGCUGUCGAACUCCAGAACUCUUUCCAGUACCUAUUCUAGCACCCGUCUAAACAAGCCAAAACACUUCCAGCACUUGUUCCACUUUAAGUGAACCCUCCAAACUCCAAUACUUGUCGUACAUCAAAACUUGCAACGAACCAAGGAGCCAUUGAAGAUAACCAAAGCACUCCCUAAGGCUUAAGCUCUUUCGAAGUGAUUUAGAGCUUGGUUCUUGAAUCAGGCACAGGAGCAACAUCAUUCACUUGCUCUUUACAGCAGUCCAUGUCCAUUUGUAGCUAAAGGAACAAAAAGACCCCAAUAAUAAUAAUAAUACAUACAUAUUAGGCUUUAUUUUGUACAUUUUAAGAGGGAUGGGAAUCGAACUUAGGACUUUGAGUGCAGAAUUAAAUGCUAAUUCCCAAUAGACUUUAACAUAAGACAAAUACAUAUUAAAUGCAACACAUAUUAUGAAAAUAAAAAAUACAUUCAACAACAAAAUUGAAAGUGCACCUAUUUUAUUUUAAUGUUUAUUCAUUGAUGCCCAUCAACUAAAUUUAUAAAGAAUUGGAUUUUAUUUAUUUAUUUUUAAUAGAGAAGAAUUUGACCUUUUCAGACUCUUACAUGUUGGACUAUAGUUAAAACCAGUCAAAUAUAUAGUUUGCUUUUUCUUUUAUCCCCAAAAACCAACUUGGACUACAGCCCAUUGUAACCCUUAAAGUGAUUCCGCCCAAAGCAUAAUAUUUUAUUGGUUCCCAAAAAAAAUGACCAUAGAUCAUAUCAUGCUUAUCUUGGACUAUUUCCUGGAAUUACAAUAUGUAUCUGCUUCUUUGGCCUUAUAUUAUAUAUGCUUCAUACCAAGUUCGUAACUUGUACAACUUUUAAGCACAUAUAAGAUGUCAAACCAGAACCUAGGAUGAGGAUAUUAUCUGUUAGGUAGGAGCAUGAUGUAAUGUUUUGGUAAACUCUCAAGCACAAGAAAAGUAUCAUCUAUGAUUCGUGCAUGUAUCCAAUCCGAAGGUUCAUAUAUAUGACCAAAUCCAUACGAUACGAGUCUUGGUUUAGUCAUUUUUAGGUUGAGUGUGCAUUUACACAUUUGAUUUUUCCAUAUCUCCCAAAGUAAAGUUCCAAAUAUUUGACCUAAAUUUCCAAAUGCAUAUUAGAAAUGGUUUUGGGCUUGAGUUUGAUAAUGCCAAAUGGUCGCAUGUAAAAUGGUCCAUUACAUGCGUAAAAGAGAGAUCUCUUUAGGACCAUGUCAUUAAUCGCAUAUUCAAAGGACGAAUAUUGUCACUUACCACCACACAAACAUAGAAGAUAGAAAGAGAAAAAGGGGUUCAACUUUUUAUGUAACCCAGAAAGGGAAAUAAGAUACAAAAAGAUAAAAUCUUUACAAAACUUGGGCACCAAGCUCAUUCCAAUUUCCAGGCUAUUUACAACCGACACACAACAGUCCAAGAGCAGGUGGAGACAGUACCUUCUUUUUUGAGAGAUAGCAUGGAAAUGAUCAAUCUUUUUGAGGAAAACAGUAUUAUUAUACAUUUUAAUUACUUUUGGUUGCCUCUUUUUAAUUCUGCUUUGGCUGGAAUGUACUAUUGCCUGUCAAAAACCAUGAUUCUUCCAAGAAAUAUGCGUUUGAUUUUUUUUUUUUUCAUUUUAUACGAGCGAUAUUGGGGGUUUUUUCACGAGCAAUAAAGGUGCUUUGCGGAUUCAAACAUGAGACCACUGAUCUGCAAGUUAAUUUCCCACUGGGCUAGAUCUGUUGGCAUUUUUUUUCUUCUUAAAAUUGCCAAUGUGCGCCAGGCUAAGUAUUAUUAACUAACAGCCACAACAACAAAAUGACCUCUGAUCACACACUAGUUAUGUUUUUAUCCCUUCUUCUAAAACGAAUUCAGGUUUUCUCUCUUUUCGAAUGCAAGUUUAAGGUAGAAUAGAUAGAUAUGGGCAAAUCUUUGCUCAUUGGUAUUUAGAUUUUCAGAUGGUGGAAAUAAUGUUCGAUUAUGGCAAAAGAUGCCACUGAGGCAACAGUACCUGCAAACUUCUAGCUUGCAAGAAGAAAAAUUACCAGUUUAUAAUUAUUUUUCAGUAUAAAUGUAGCAAAAUAAAUAAAAGAAAGUUCAUCAACCAUAAACUAAAAUAUUUUUAUAGAUUUGCUGAAUGAUGGAGAUUUAGUACAAGGAAUUGUUUUUAAGUAUCUAAUAUCUUAAUUUGUCUGCAAUGCCUGACUAGACUAACCCCCACCCCUGUUGUAAAAACAGGGAUACUGUGUAUAUAUGGUUCUGUACAAACCCAAAUUAAUGGAAGGAAGAACCAUGAGUUGAAUUACAUGGUUUCCCUCUGACCAAUCAUAAUCCCCCAAAACCAAUGAUCUAGGCGAUUAAAUAUGAUAUAAACAAUUAUAAGAUAUAAAGCAGAGAGAGAGACAGAGAGAGACAGAGAGCAAAGUUUAUUAAAAGGCUUUGUGAUAAAAGUCAUGAAUCUUCUUCCAUGAGUCUUCCCUUUGCAUCUUCAACUGCUUGUAGAAGUUCCCAAUAAAGGUCUCAGCUUUGGUAAAAAGCUCUUGCCCACUAAUUUCCCCCACUACUUCUUCUUCUUCCUCCAUUUCAUGUUUUUCCUCAAUUACCUCAUGAUCUCCUUGAUCAG